AUGAGAUCACUUCUUCAAUCCCUCCGGCCAAGAUGUUCAAGGCCUUUAUCCUUGACUCUGAUAAACUUAUACCCAAGAUCCUUCCACAAGCAAUUAAGUCCACUGAGAUCAUUGAAGGAGACGGAGGGCCUGGAUCAAUCAAAAAGAUUACUUUUAGAGAAGGUUAAUCUGCAUUACUAGGCAUUGGAAUAUCACUAACAUUCUUAAUUUUUUUUGUCCUCAUCAUAUUCUGUUUUUAGCUUUUAAAAGCAGCAAAAUUAAGCACUUCAAAAUGCUAACCAGAUUUGCUGGUAUGAAGGGAGCCAAUUCAAUUAUGUAAAGCACAGGGUUGAUGGAAUAGACAAAGAGAACUUCACAUACACUUACAGUGUGAUUGAGGGUGAUGCUUUGAUGGGCACCCUUGAAUCAAUUUCUUAUGAGGUCAAGUUGGUGGCCUUCUCCUGAUGGAGGAUCCAUCUGCAAAAGCACCAGCAAGUACCAUACCAAAGGUGACUUUGAGAUCACAGAAGACCAAAUCAAGGCUGGCAAAGAGAAGGCUAUGGGCCUGUUCAAAGCUGUUGAAGCCUACCUCUUGGCACAUCCUGAUGCCUACUAAGUGAAAUGGGAUAUAUUGUGACAGUCUCGUGUUGUGUCUCAAUUUCAUCAGUUCAAGUUGUGUCCUUUAUAUAUAUUUCUUCUUUGUGGCCAUAAAAAAGAUACAGGCUUGAUGAUACGAGUGCUUGUAAUACUUGAUUGGAAUAAGGAGUCAUUGUUGUCAGAAUCUGUAAAAAAAACUAGAACUUGCAGAGAAAAAAUAAAUAAUUUGAGAGUUAAGAAUUGAAGGAAGGCACACACAUCUAUUUCACAAAUGAGAAUGCCUAUUUAUAGGCUUACAACCAAAUGGAAAUUGCAAAAAAAUCUCAGCUACUUUCAGAUUUUAUUGGCACUACUUCUACUAACUAAAAACAGAAAAUUAUGGAACAAGAAUCUGAUAUGAAACAAUAACAAAGACUAAGUCUAACUAGGACUUUUUCAAACUUCAGAGGCAAACUCUCAUGAGUUCUAAUACUCCUCCUUGAGAUUUGCCUUGGACAUGCCAAGCUUCAACCUUAGGAACUCCAGCCUUGAUUUAGGAAGUGCCUUAGUCAUUAUGUCAGCAAGUUGCACAUCAGUUGAGCAAUAAUGCAACUUGACAGGUGAAUUCUUUUCAGCUUCCCUUAUAGAAUGAAAUUUACAUUUAUGUGUUUGGUCCUACCAUGUUGGACAGGAUUUUGAGCAAUGGCAAUGGCUGACUUUUUGUCAUAGUAAAGCUCUGUUGGUGAGCUUUGUUCCUGGCCUAGAUCAGCAAGCAAUUUCCUUAACCAUAUUCCUUGAUUUGCAGCAGCUGCUAAGGAGAUAUACUCAGUUGAUUGUGCCACUACUUCUUGCUUUCUUGAAUUCCAGCAAACGACACCUGAAUCGAUUGUAAAUACAUAACUUGAAGUGCUCUUCAUGUCAUCAACACUUCCUGCCCAAUUACUAUCAGCAUAGCCAUCUAGCUUAACUUCUCUUGUCUUUAAAUACCAGAUGUCAAGAUUUGUUGUACCUCUAACAUACUUCAGCACCCUUUUUGCGACUCCCAUGUGAACAUUGCUAGGUGAACUCAUGAAUCUUGAAAGCAAACCAGCUGGAAACAUUAAGUCAGGUUUGGUUGUUGUCAAGUAUAGUAGGUUGCCUACCAAGCUUCUAUAUGCAAAGGGUUCCUUAAGUUUCUCACCAUCAUUCUUUGAAAUUUUCUCAUUUUGUGCCAACGGAGUUGCUACUUCUUUACAUGAUUCUAGCUUGAAUUUCUUGAGAAUAUCAACAACAUAUUUUCUCUGUGAAAUGAAGAUACCCGAGCUGCAUUGAUAUAUUUUCAUUCCAAGGAAGUAGUUCGUGAUGCCAAGGUCAGACAUCUCAAAUACAUCUUGCAUUUCCAUUUUGAACUCAGCCAGCAAUCGUACAUUGCUUCUAGUCACUAGCAUGUCAUCAACAUAAAGUGACACUACCAAUUGCAAACCAUCCUCAUUUUGUUUCAAAUACAAAGUAACUUCAUUUUCACUCCUCCUAAAUCUAAGUUGGAUCAGGUGAGAGUCAAUUUUGCUAUACCAGACCCUUGGUGCUUGCUUCAAACCAUAUAGAGCCUUUUGCAGCUUGUACACUUUGUGUUCAUGCCCAGUAACCUCAUAGCCUUCUGGUUGUUGAACAUAAAUUUCUUCAAGAAGUCUACCAUUUAGAAAAGCUGACUUGACAUCUAAAUGGUACACUUUCCAUCCCAUUUGACCAGCAAGUGCAAGUAGCACCCUUAUAGUGUCAUGUUUGGCUACUGGUGCAAAUGUAUCACCAUAGUCCACUCCAGCAACUUGAGCAAAACCCUUCACAACCAAUCUAGCCUUGUGCUUGAAGAUUGAACCAUCCGAAUUGAAUUUGGUUCUAAAAACCCAUUUUACACCAAUUGUCUUCUUAGCUUCAGGUAAUUUUUGUCAACUUCCAAGUUCCAUUUCUUUCAAUAACAUCAAUUUUAGCUUUCAUAGCCUCAAUCCAUUAUGGAAAUCUUGUAGCUUCUAUGUAACAUGUAGGCUUAGCAUGUACAAGAUUGCACCUCUCAUACACAUUAGAUAAUGGCCUUACCUUAAGCACUGGUGUGCCUGAAGUUGCUUCAAUACUUGUACUUUCUACUACUGGUUCAAGAAUAGAUGGAGUGGUUUGAUCACAUUUAUGGACUUUCUUCAAGUCCCAAUUCUAGUAUGAAUUUUCAUCAAAGUGCACAUCUCUACUUAUCACAAUUUUCAUUCUACUCAAGCUAUAAAUUCUAUAACCUUUUGAUUCUACUGCAUACCCAACAAAAACACCUUUCUCAACUCUUUCAUCAAGCUUACCUCUCUUGAUAAAUGGCACAUGAAGGUAACACAAUGAACCAAACACUUUCAAGUGCUUGACAAAUGGUUUUACACCAGACCAUGCCUCUAUUGGUGUUUUGCUCUGAACAGACUUAGUCGGUAGUCUGUUAAGUAAAUAUACUGAGGUGUUAACUGCUUCAGCCCAUAGAAGCUUUGGUAGUUUCUUCUCAAAUAGCAUGCACCUUGUCAUCUCCAUUACCGUUCUGUUCUUCCUCUCAAAGACUCUAUUAUGUUGCUGUGAGUAUGGAGUUGUCAGCUGGUGUACAAUUCCAUCUUCUUGACAAAAAACAUUGAUCUCUUUUGAGGUAUAUUCACCUCCAUUAUCAGUUCUGAGCACCUUAACCUUUUGGCCACUUUGAGUUUCAACCAUUUUCUUGAAGCUUUUGAACACAUAGAGCACUAGUGAUUUGGUUUUUAGAAAAUAAACCCAAGUCAUUCUACUGAAAGCAUCAAUAAAUAGUGCAAAAUAAACAUAUUUGCUCAAUGAGGCUAUCCUCAUUGGUCCACAAAUAUCUUAAUGAACUAAUUCCAUCUUGUGAGUAGCUCUCUUGGACAUAUUUUGAGGGAAUGAUUUGCGAUGUUGCUUCCCUAGCUCACAACUUUCACAAGUUUGAGCAUUAACUAUGAUUUCAGGCAUGUCUUCAACCAUACCAGCUUCUUGCAUGAACUUCAAUGACUUCAAGUUGAAAUGACCAUAUCUUUUGUGCCAAACAACACUCUCAUCAAUCUUGGCACUAAAGACAUGACCUUCAACUAAAUCAAGCUUCAAAUAAAAGCUAUUUCCAUUCAUUUUAAUUUUUGCUAUCUCUAUUCCACGUACAUCAGUGAUAAACCAAAAAUUUUCUUUAAAAAAGACUACAUAUCCAUUUCUUAGCAUUUGUGUAACACUAAGAAGAUUUUGAUCUAGUUCUGAAAUGUAAAGAACAUUAGUGACAAUUUUUGUACCUCUCUUGGUGCUAAUAGCAAUUGUCUUUUUUCUUUGGCAUGCACAACUUCACCAUUUCCCAACUUGACCUUUGGUUGAACUGAUCUGUCAAUGGAGGUAAAAAUUGAUAGAUGUUUGGUCAUGUGACUGGUGCAACCAUUGUCAAUGAGCCAAGUAUUCAGUUCAUGAGAACUGAGGGCUUGUGAUGCCAUAAAUAAAUGCUCAUCAUCUUUUUUGUCUUCUUCAAUCACAUUUGCAUGUUGUUGUGUUUGCUGCUAAGAUAGUUUUUUCUUGGCUUUGCAAUACUUCUCACUGUGGCCAAGUUUAUUGUAGAAAUUACAAUUAAAAAGAGGUUUACCUUUGUACCAACAAUCUUUCUCAACAUGGUUGGUUCUGCUGCAAUGAGAGCAAGACGAAAAGUUUCCUUUUCUUGAAGAUCCUUCAACUUUCCUUUUGUUGUUCUUGAAGAACUUAUUUCCUUGCAAGUUUCUAGAACUCUUUCCCUUAUGAUUUGCUUGAAAAACACCUUCAGUAGCUUCAUCACCUCUCAUUAAGACCCUUUGCUCCUGUGCAUGAAGCUUGUUGGUUAACUCUGCAAUUGUGAGACUUUACAAGUCACAAGACUUUUCAAUUGCAGAGAUCUUGGCUUCAAACUUUUGAGGCACUGAAACCAUGAUCUUUUCUACCACAUUUUGAUUUGUAAAUGCCUCACCAAGAAGCUUCAUUUGGUUUACAACAUCCAUUAACCUGCUAGAAUAAUCUUUCACAGAUUCGUUGUUUUUCAUCUUCAUCAAUUCAAACUCUCUCUUCAAUGUGAGGAGCCUGAUAGUUUUGACUCUGUCACUGUCCUCAAAUUCACCUUGGAGCUUGUCCCAUACCUAUUUAGGUGUUUCCAAGUCCAUGGUUUUGGUGAAGAUGUGGUCUGCAAGUCCUGAAUGUAGGCAGGUGAUGGCUUUGUCUUUCUUGAGUUUUUCCUCCUCAUAUGCUUUCAUCUGAGCAAUUGUAGGAUUUGCUCCCAAUGGUGGUGGAUCAGCUUCAAACACCACAACAUUCCACAAACCUUGAGACCUUAAGUAAAACCUCAUCUUGACAGCCCAAAUGUGAUAAUGUUCACCAUUAAACACUGGAAUAACAAAGGAAGUACUACUGGAAGUAGACAUGUUUGCACCACAACUGCCUGAAAAAAAUAAAUCACUUAACCUCCCUGUGUUUAGCACUCAAAACACUCAAAGAAACUUUGCCUCACAACCUGUAGGAACAGGGCUUUGAUACCAUUGUCAGAAUCUAUAAAAAAAAACUAGAACUUGCAAAGAAAAAAUUAAUAAUUUGAGAGUUAAGAAUUGAAAGAAGGCACACACAUCUAUUUCACAAAUGAGAAUGCCUAUUUAUAGGCUUACAACCAAACGGAAAUUGCAAAAAAAUCUCAGCUACUUUCAGAUUUUAUUGGCACUACUUUUACUAAUUGAAAACAUAAAAUUAUGAAGCAAGAAUAUGAUAUGAAACAAUAACAAAGACCAAGUCUAACUAAGACUUUUUCAAACUUCAGAGGCAAACUCUCAUUAGUUCUAACAAUUGUUCUAUUAUUUUAAUAAACAUAGUGGAAAUCAUAUUUUAUUAAGCAAUAGAUGAGUUCUGGUAUGAUUUUAGUGUUGCUUUUAAUCUUCAAAUUUCCACAAAGAUCUGAUAAAGUUUGGAUAUGAUGGUCUAAUUGGGAACAAACAACCAAAGUAUUUAUUAGACUUGAAUUUACCACAUAUGCCGGUGUUCAUGGCUCAUUGAAUAGCUUGUUCAUGAAAACAGUUUCCUAUGGAAUAAGAUUAAGUUUGGCAAAUUUUAUUAUUACGAAUGGUGGUAACAAAUAGGUAGUUAUAUAUUAACUAGAGACAAUCUGUAGUUUCAUUUCUAAAAAUUAUUCAAUGUAAUUAGUUGACUAUUUAACUUACUAAUUAGAGUAAUUAACUUGUUCUCCCAUGGGCCAUGAAGUUGGUAGAUUUUGCCUCAAUUCUUACUUCUAAUUUAAUAUAAAAUAUUAUAAAAGGAAAGUUUAUUUAGUGAGUAAAGAUGAAAGAGAAACUAUAAAUUAAGCCCUACCGAUGACUUGGGUGGUCGAUGACUUGGGUGGUGGAUUAAUUGCCCAAAGUAAUUAAAUUCACAUAUUAUGUACUUAAGACUUUGACUCUCUCUCCUUGAACCUUUUUGAUAAAGUAUCAAUCAAUGGAAGUCAUUGCAUAGUGACAUUGAUAUAUAGAUGAUUUUUCAAAUAUGCAUAGGUGUAAUUUCUAAAAACAAAAAUAAAAAAUUUUGAAUACAUUCAAAGAAUUCAAGAGAAAAGUUGAAAGUGAAGUUAAAACCAUCAUCAUUGGUUGCAGCCAUUGCCCUUCAUUUCUAACUAUAACCUUUUUCCACCCUCUAAGCUUCUAGUAAUUUUAAUACAAGUGUGUGAUUUCAUUCUCCAUGUUUGCAACAACACGAGAUCAUGGGGUUUGAGUGAGGAGUGUCAAAGAAGGCAAAGAAGCAAAGUUGCUUGGGGAGCGUUUGGGGAGAAAAGAGUUCUUUUGAGAGUUACUUUUUAAGCAUUUUUUGAGUAGGUAAUUGAUAUUCUUGGGCCUUGUUUGUAGACAUUGUUAGUGUAUUUUUGGUGUGAUAUUUCUAUGGGCCUUUUUUAUGGGUUCAAACAUGUGAUACAUGGCUUAUAGUAUUUGAAUUCAUUUUUUUAUGGUUGUUUAUAAUCUUUAAAUUAUGGUUGCAUUUAUAAUAUUUAUGCAAACUACCCUAUGAUUUACCAUUUGAGCCUACAGAUAUUCUCAACACUUCUAGUACAAGAAAGUCAAAUGCACAUUAAUAUGACAUGUGAACAUGAUAUAUUAAAAAUUAAAAUGUGAAAUAUAAAGGAAUAUCUAUAAGCCAUUGCGACCUGAAUUGUGGUUGAAGAAAAGAUAAAAAUGGGCAUGUGAACAUAUAGUUGAAAGGAAAGAGUUUUCCUUUGAUAAAUGACCUAAAUUAAACCUUGACAAGCAAAGCUAUUAUAAUAAGAAGAGGUUAAUAAUACAUCCAAGAACCUUAGGGCCAAUUUUCAACAAUGUGACUCUCCCUCAAGCACCUUUGAUUUUUACUAAGCCAAAAGCAUAUGCUUAUUAAGUCCAACUUCCAUAUCCUUAAUUUUGUCCCUCCGCGGGUAUUAAAAUUUAAUUAUACCAAAUCAUUUCACGAGAUCCAUUUUUUUGUAUUUUACUUCUCCCUCUUAUGAUUUGUAGAUUGCUUAUUUAUCAGGAUAUCAUGUGAUCUGUCUCAUUUUACCUUUUUUUUUCAGUGCAUUGGACAUCAAGACUAGAUCAUCAUUUGAAUUCAAAUUUGGCAGCCUGCCCUGACACGAAAAGAUUUAUUUAUUAGAAAAAAUAUAUAUAAUGGAUUACAUUAUAGUUUUAUGAGAAGCAUCUGUUUUUUAAAUGACGGAUUGCCUCAACACUUGGAAUACUGGAGGGCACUUUCAAACAUAGUAAUCUUCCCCCAAGUCUAUAAAUAUCAUCCCUGGUUCACACAUCUCCCCCACCCCAAAACUAUCCCAACAAACCAGUCACUCCUCUUGCUCCUCCUUUGAUCCCCUCUCAAACUCUAGCAUCAUGGGUGUUAUCAGUUAUGAGCAUGAGAUCAUUUCUUCAAUCCCACCAGCCAAGAUUUUCAAGGCCUUUAUCCUUGACUCUGAUAACCUCAUUCCCAAGGUCCUUCCUCAAGCCAUAAAGUGCGUUGAAAUAAUUGAAGGAGAUGGAGGGCCUGGAUCCAUCAAGAAGAUUACUUUUGGAGAAGGUUAAUCUGAAUUAUAAUUUCUAGAGAUUGAAUCACUAACAUUCUAAAUUUUUUUGUCCUCAAUAUUCUGUUUUUAGCUUUUAAAAGCAGCAAAGGCACUUCAAAAUACUAACCAAACUUGUUGAUAUAUAUGCAGGGAGCCAAUUCAAUUAUGUGAAGCACAGGGUUGAUGGAAUAGACAAAGAGAACUUCACAUACAGUUACAGUGUGAUUGAGGGAGAUGCUUUGAUGGGCACCCUUGAAUCAAUUUCUUAUGAGGUCAAGUUGGUGGCUUCUCCCAGUGGAGGAUCCAUCUGCAAGAGCACUAGCAAGUACCAUACCAAAGGUGACUUUGAGAUCACAGAAGACCAAAUUAAGGCUGGCAAAGAGAAGGCUUUGGGCCUGUUCAAGGCUGUUGAAGCCUAUCUCUUGGCAAAUCCAGAUGCCUAUUAAGAAACUCCUUUGUCUCAUAUCAUCAGUUAAAGUUGUGGGUUGGGUUUCAUAUAUAUUUCUCCGACGUCCGGCUUGAAAUAAAAAGAGUUUCCUGUGUGUAAUCCUUGGACUUGUAAUAUUUAACUCCAAAGAAGGAAAGACGCAUGAUUUUAAUAAAUAUAAAGAAAUGAUCAUCUUGUUUUAUUAAGUUUGAUUAUAGUUUUUGUUGGAUUGUGAAACCUUAAUCAAUUUUGUUGCAUUUUGUUGGGAAUACCGGGAUCGAGUUGUCUGAUCAAGUUGCAAGGAUGGAGUUCCUCACUAAACUCAAAAUAUCAACAAAAAAAAAAAAAAAUGGGAUAAAAUCAAAUUUCAUAUUUUUCUUUAUUUAUCAUAAGAAGUACACAAAAAAACCGAUAUAUCUAGAAUUAUUAAAAUAUAUAUAUAUAUAUAUAUAUAUGUUUUUUUAUGAGAGAAGAAAAAAAAGAGAAAAAUAACUUUGUAUUUUCAUUUUUUUUCCUUUAUUUUUUUUCUUUUGUAAAGUUAUGCUCAAAUUUUCUAUGAUACUAACAGAACCUAUGAUUUUUCAUAUAACUUUCACUUUCUUGAAAAUGUUAUCAUUAUUAUGGUCUAAGAUUAAUAUCAUAUGGUUUCUGAUUUUAGAAACUUAAAAGUUAUUUUUUUUUUAUAUAGGCUUGAUUCUAGAAACUUAAAUAUAGAGAAGAAAAUGAUUCAUUUCUUAUAUACUAUUACGCCUAUGAACUUAACUAGUAAUAAGAUAACUUUCCCCAAUUAAUUAAGAGCAAUACUUAGUAAAUUAUUUUAAUUCCAAUUAAUAAAAACUCAAUUGCUCUCAUAAAAUUAAAGGUUUAUGAGACAAUGAAAAAACAAAUAAAAUUUUAAAAAUGUCCUCAAAUGAUAUAAGAGGUCCAAUAUUUUUAUUAAAAUGUAUUUAUAGAGAAUUAAUUAUAUUUAAAUAUAAUAAAAAAAAAGGUUUAAAAUAUUUUUAGUUUAAAAGUAAUUUUGAAAUUUUAUCAAACACCUAAUUUGAACAUAACAAAGACAUCAAAUAAUAAAAAAAUUAUUUAAUUAUUAAUCUUGACGCUAAUGAUUGAAAUAAGUAGCUUAGAAAAAAUUCUUAACAUCCUCUUCCUUCACCACUAAGGUCACCAUAAUUAGUAAAAAAAGUUAAAUAUAAAAGGUCACUUUCCACUGAUAUGUUAUUGUUUACUGAGUCAAAAACUUCUCCCUUACAAGUAGAUUUAAACUCAAAGAUUCAUGGUUUUUGCCCCUUGUUCUAAGUCAAGUCCUCACUAUUUCAUUCAAAAUUGAGAAAGAUCCAUAGUUUUGUCACUGGUUCCGUAAUUUUUCUCACUCUUAACUUUGAUCCAAUUUUUUGUUUUCCAUUUACACUUCCUGUGUCAUCUUUAAGAUCACUCAAUCUCUAUUCCCUUUGGCUGGUGCUUUGAAUAUCAGGGUCAAGAGUCUAUACCCGACCCAAUUUGUAAAACCUGGUCCCACUCAAAAAUAAAACAAAAUUAAGGUUUUUUAUUGAGAAUAAUAAUGGACUCAUUGGAGUUUUCUUUAAGGCAUCUGCUGAGAAAAAAAGGAUAUACCACCCCCUACAUCAAACAUGUGAAGCUUGAACUCAAUCUAUAAAUACCACCCCCUACUUCUCACUUCUCUUCACCCCAAACCCACUCUUUACGUACCAAUCAAUCCUCGUCCUCCUCCUUUGUUCAUUAAUUCAGACACUCUAGCAUCAUGGGUGCUAUCACUUAUGAAAUGGAGGUCACCUCUUCAAUCCCUCCGGCCAAGAUGUUCAAGGCUUUUGUCCUUGAUGUUGAUAACCUCAUCCCUAAGGUCCUUCCACAAGCCAUUAAGUGCGUCGAAAUAAUUGAAGGAGAUGGAGGGCCAGGAACGAUCAAGAAGAUUAAUUUCGGUGAAGGUUAGCAUGCGUUACUACUAUUUUAUUAGUACCUUUUUUUUUUUUGUAUUUUUAUGUUUAUGCUUUUAAAAACAAUAGAAGUACUUAUUUAUAUGAUUUGUUAUAUAUGUUAGCAAAUAGGGUAAGCAGUGCUUUUUUUUUUUCCUUAACUCGUUGGUAUGCUGCAGGCAGCCAAUUCAACUACGUGAAGCACUGGAUCGAUUCAUUGGACAAAGAGAAUUUCACAUACUGUUACACCAUAAUUGAAGGAGAUGCUUUGAUGGACAACCUUGAGUCAAUCUAUUAUGAGGUGAAGCUGGUGGCCUCUCCUGAUGGAGGAUCCAUCUGCAAGAACAUCAGCAAGUACCAUACCAAAGGCGACAUCCAGAUCACAGAAGAUCAAAUCAAGGCUGGCAAAGAGAAGGCUAUGGGCAUGUUCAAGGCCAUUGAAGCCUAUCUCUUGGCCAAUCCUGAUGCCUAUUAAGUAAAAUUGACCGUAUUGAGAUUAUCUUUAAUUUGUGUCAUUCCUUCAUAUACAUCAGUUAAAAGGCUUGGCUUUGAUAUAAAUCCUACCUUGUGGCUAAAACCCUCCGGCUUGGUAAUAAGAGUUUUGUGGGUGUGUGAUUAUUGAACUUGGCUUGUAAUAUUUGAUUGGAAUGAAGAGCAUUGGUUGUUGUAUGGAUCUAAUAAAUACAAUGAAGAUCAACUUUUCAUUAAACCAGUAACUGGGCAUGAUUCAGGAAGAUGACCAAAAUAUUUAUUCAUACUUGAAUUUGGCUUCAAACCCAAUAAGGAAAAUAUCUAUAUAUAUAUAUAUAUAUUAAAAUUUAUUCUUAAUUAAUUGAUUAUGUGAUUAAUUAAAAUUAUGUAUUUGCUUAGUCUAUUGGACUUUUUCUGCAACUAGUUCCAAAUUAAAAUAUAAAUCUGAACAGCCAAAAGGGUGGAUAGAAUUUUUGGCAGUCUUGCUUUGUAAUAUAGAGGAAAGAACCGAGGGAGAAUUUACUCAUCCAGAGUCAACCAGUGAAGAAAAGCACAAGCGACUACACUUCUUUGAAGGUCUCUUGAUAUGAAGUGUGAACAACUUGAAAGGUGGAUCCUUCAUUAGUUUCACUAAUAUCUUUUACUGCAUAAUACAAGUUACUUGAACAUAUAAAAAUCAUCAAAUAAAUUCAAUAAUUAUUAAAAACAUAGAAUGUAAUUAUUCCACUUUAAACAAUAGAAAUAUGAAAAGAGUGAACUUGUCAUGCGAUUGGGAAGGAUAUCAAAGACUGGUUGAAGGAUUUAUUGAUGAUUGAAGUUGUAAUGGUCACUCCCUUUUAUAUAGGUAUUACCUAUUUUGAAAUAAGGUUCCCAUAAUUUUAAAACGAUAUAUAAUGAUGGAAUGUCUUCUCCUUAACCAAUGUAGAUUAUCAUAAUCACCUUAAUACAGAUAGGACCUUUACAUCAUGUCCCAUGGAAUUGUAAAGAUCAGUCAUUAUAUUUACCUUAGAUUUAAGGAUUAGUUCUGACACUAUUUUGUAACAACCUGUUCCCCAACUUGGUAUGAAAAUCAACGUGUUUUUGACUAACUGUAAUAUCUCACAUCCACUAAGAAAAGAGAUUCCUAAACCUAUAAAUCUGGAGGGUUAUCUUGAUUUUGGAGAUAUGUGUUUUAAGUAUAUCAUUAUCACUUGUAAAUUUUAAGAAGCACGGAGAGGUCUCUGACAUUGCCAAAAAUCUCUGCUGGCAGUUUUGAAUAUACACCACAUACAUUAACUGUUGACUUUGUGUUUCAGAUGGAGCUUAUCCUUUGAUAAGGACUUACAUAUUUAAUAUACUAGAUCUAUAAUAAUUAGAAUGCAAUAACAUAUAUUGAAGGCCCCCUUGUGGGCUUCUAUCCUUGUUAAUAUAAGGUGAAGACUUUGUGUUACAAACUGGGCAUGGGUAAAUAUCUUCGAUCUGUCCUUCUUAGCUAGACCUUAAAUGCAAUAGGCCCUAUCAUAUAUAUAUAUAUAUACACCCAGAAAUGAAGAUGCGCCCAUUGGUGUUGGGUCAGUUUGUGUCUAUCCCAGUUUGGAGAAUAUUUCUGUUGGGUGAAAUGGGUGGCCACCCCAAAUGACUAGCUUCGAAAAUAUCUCCUUGACUGAAUCUCCAGAUCUCAAAGAGACAUCCGCAGGAGUGAAGGUGGAAGUAGAAAAUGAAAGAUUUAAGGCAACAGAAGGGCAUGGACCUUGUUAGAAAAUUAAAUUCUACCACAUACUUCGGCUAUUUACGAGAGCAGUUCCUUUGUUUGUAAUCUUCCUAAAAAAAUUGAAUUGAGAUGCAGCCAUUCCACAAGAAGCUAGUAACAAAGAACAAUUUAUCUUAAUACAUUGAUCAUUAUGAUGAUGACCCCCAUAGCAUUAUUUUUCUUUCUUUCCUUUUUUUUUUUUUUUUUUUUUUUUUUUUUUUUUUUGGUGGUACACAUAGAAGACCAAUCUUCCAUUAUUUAAUUUGUUGGUUGGAAGCAGUAUAGAUCUCCAACGACCUCAAUUAAAAUCAGCUACAAAAGUGACAUUGAAGAUAGAGGUGUAAGCCUCUUGAAUAUGUCACACUAUGCAUCAUCUUCUGGCAUUUUUGUUGGUGUCUCUUGCCUUCUGAUAUUCUUACUUUUAACUUAAUUACGACUUAGAUUAAUAUACUUUUGUUGGUUCUCUUCGAAUUAAGGCACCCUUAAAUAUCCCAUGAAAUUUAAUCUACAGGUAAGGUUGAGAAUAUUCUGAGCAUAUUUGGAACUAAAUGUCUUGUAUUCUUCUUUCUAAACCAUUCUCAGGAUACUAUGCUUUCUCUGGCAAGUAAAAACAAUGGAAAUCAUUUGCAUUUUCUGGCUCAGUUUCAAUUCAAAGAUCAGAUAAAAAUAUUUUGGUAGUUCAAUUUUUUGUGCUUUAUCAGUCAAAGGACAAACUGUACCUAAAUUCCCAGUCAUGACUUGCAGUAACUGAGACAUAGGUCCUUAGAACUGAUCCACCAUACUGAUAUGCACCUAAAAAUGAUGGCUUUCUAUAAGGUAUUUCAUGGUAAUUAAUGCAGAGCAUUUACGCAUCCAUUUCUCAAUCUACAAAUACCACCUCUAGUAGUCUUCACCAUCUCACUCACUCCAAAGUUUUCCAAUUUCAAUUGAUCCACCUCCUUGGUUCUCCCUCUGAUCACUUCCAAGACCAUAAGGAGAACAUGGGUGUUGUCACUUACACUGAUGAGCUCACUAGUCCUGUCCCUGCACCACGACUCUUCAAGGCCCUGAUCCUUGAGGCUGACUCCCUUUUGCCCAAGAUCGUCCCUCAGGCCAUUAAAAGUAUCGAAACAGUGGAAGGAAAUGGAGGCCCUGGAACCAUCAAGCAGCUGAACUUUGCUGAAGGCUAGCUACUUUACAUAAAUUUUCACUAGCAUAUGGUCUUAAUUUACUCACAUAUAUAAAAUUGUACUAACCAAAGAUGUUUGAAUUUUUGCUCUCUAUGCAGGUAGCCAAUUCAAAUAUGUGAAGCAUAGGAUUGAUGAACUAGACAAAGAGAAGAUGAUCUACAAGUAUACUUUGAUUGAAGGUGAUGCUUUGAUGGACAAGAUUGAAUAUAUAAGUUACGAGAUUUCAUUUGAGGCCAGUCCUGAUGGGGGAUGCAAGAGCAAGAAUGUGAGCGUGUAUCAUUCCAAACCCGGUGUGGAGAUCAAAGAAGAGGAAAUCAAGGAUGGCAAAGAAAAGGCAGCAGCUGUCUUCAAGGCUGUGGAAGCCUACCUCUUAGCUAAUCCUGAUGCCUGAGCCUAAUGCAUCCUGUUGAGAGUUUCGAACCUGUAUUGCUUCUCCUCCACUUAAUCACUUGUUGCUUGCUGCCUUUUUGUUUUCCUUCCACCAAAUCUGCCACUCUGGCCUGAUAAAUAAAAGCUCUAUCAACCUGAUAUUCAAAUUUGAUUUGCUCCAUAUUGAUAAUUUUGAUCUACUAUUCUUUCUUGUUGGACUGAACUCUAGAAAGUUUUAAUUAGAAAGUUCGAAUUUAAUUAAAACUGCUAAGAAUGUGUACCUUUCUUUCACAGCUUUAACAUAUCAGAGAAGAAUCUAAAGUAUGACUCGUGAAUCUAACUUUGCCUUACUGUUCCAAGACAUAAUUAGGAUAGUGAUGAAUUGUCAAGCCCUUUAGCUUCUAAAGUAGUAUAGAAAACUUGAGCAUUUUCUCUAUUCCACCACUUGGCUGAGAUUAUCAUACACUUCCUGAGUCCUCAUAAUACUAAUGACCAGAUGGAAUUAAUCCCUUCAUAUAUAUGUAGAUCUGUGCUGUAUCUAUUUUACAACAUGAAUCAAUCCAGAAGAACACGUCACAUUCCUGAAAAUCCAGACCUCAUAGAGCAGGAUUGAUUCAAUUGAUUAGAGGACUGCUAUUAUGUCUUAACGGAAGCCAUUACCAGCUAGAGAACUGGUUACCUCACCAAAAACAUUAAGCCUGUGAUGGCCACCAGAUACUCUGUCCCGUAGGAAACAUACUCCAAACUAUGGCCAUGUUUUCUACUAAUCUAGUGAAACUUUUUUUCUUUUUUUGAGAAAAGAAAUCAACUAGAAAAGACAAAAUCUGUGCACUGAUUUGAUGAUGGUGACUUUUGACAUAAUUCGGGCCACUAUUCCCAACUGUUUCCUCAGGGCCAUGAACUGAUAAAUUGUGGAUUCACAUGCCUGUUUAAUUGCAACACCAAACACAUCCCAAUUGUAUUAAUCACAAGGGUCCACAUCCUUUUCCAUUAAUAUUCCAGGGAAUACAUAGACCAUUCAAGCCUGUGAGCUAUGUGAGCCCUACAGUGUGAACUUCCCUAUUUUGCCUAUUUUCUCAAGAACAGGAUGCUUCAUUGUAAUUUAUGGAUUAUGGUGCUAAGCAAGUCCAUAAUACUAGAAGAUAACAUGGGACUUGAGGAAUCUAUGCUUCAUAAUGAUUACAAAGGAAAUCCAUUAAUUCUAUUACUGUAAAAAAGUUCAGCUUGUCUCUGGGUUCAUCUAUUAGUUAUAUUUUCAGCCUAAAAAAUGGACAUGACCUGUUCUUUAAUGUUUCUUUAGGCUCUCUCAUUGCUGUCCUGAAUGAAAUUGAUUUUCUAGGUAUUCUUCAAAUUACAGUUAUCACAAAAGGGAGGAUAAAAGGAAUGGAAGAAAAUCACAAGGAAGAUAAAGCAAAACUUCUUCAGGAAGGCUUGUGGCAUAGACUGCCUAGAAGCAAAGAAAAUUAUCCAUAAAAUCUGUGAGACUUGAGUCUAUCUCUAUGCCGGUCUUCUUGGCUCAAAUCCUAUUUAGUAUCUCCAAAUUUUCAAACUUGUUGUGACAUAUUAGCAACCAUUCAAAUCUCCUAUCUAAUAAAAUAAAACAAAGAACACAAGUCUAGAUUAAUGUAUCUUGAAUGUCAACAAAUGUCACAUUCAUUCUCUUAAGAUAUGGAAAUAUCAUUUUAAGAUCAAUUUUACCACCCACUGUUGCUUACUAUUGACCCCUUAAACCACAACUAUUCAUUCUAGAAAUCCCCGCAUGGCCCACAAAAAAAAAUAAUAAUCACUUCAUUUUGAUUUUUCUCCACUUCUAAUAAAUAAAAUUCUUCUAAGGGAUAAUUACAUGGUCCCAACUCCCAGGUUUACAAGCUCUUACAACUCUAUGAUGCCUAUUCAAAUGGGCUUGUUUUCUUUUGAAAGGACAUAUGCCCCACAAAGUGGGUUAGGCCUUAUUUUUGAAAGCUUGGAAGGAUAGGUCUGGGCCUGGUUAUCUCAUGUUACCCCUGCCCAAACCCAAACAACGACCACAGGUCAUAUGCCAUGGCAAUAUUGCACCUAUUACGUGAUGUUUCAAGGUAAUUCAUGCCCAACAAUAAUUUUCCUUUCUAAUAAUUAUUGCUACUUUUCAAAGUCGGACCACCACAAGUCAUAUGCAUUGGCAACGCACCCAUUGUAGGAGGUUCUUCUAAAGCAAUGAAGGCCCACAAAUUGUUUUUGGGGAAAAAGAAUUAUCCCUCUAUUUUUCCCUUUUUCUAAUAAAGUUAGUCCUAAAAGUCAAAUUUUCAAACAUUUUUCAAACAAAACAUAAUGUAUAAAGUUUUGUUUGAGACCAACGGAGUUGGUUGAAGAUAUUUGUUAUUUUCCUUUCUGCACAUUCUUCUCCUUAUUUCCUUUUUCUUUUUUUUUUUAUUCCCUUAAAGUAUGAAAGUUUCAUGUCUCCAUAGAUCACUGAGAUGACUUUUAUAUGGAGAUUUCUCCUUGGCAUGUUGAACAGGUCAGAAAUGAAAAAGAUGAGGCCAACAUUAUAAUAUUGCAACGGCAUCGAACUUUGAAUCAUGGAUUAGCAAUAUUUAACCCAAGCCACCCUAAUCUCAAGUUGCUAACUAGUAAAAAAAACACAUAAGAGUCUUCAUCUUCACCUCUCAAAAGAAAUCUAUCCCCACCCAUUGAGCUACAACUCUUCCAUCUCCUUCUCCCAAUCCUCUCCAUACCAUUCCUCUCAAUCAACUCUGUAAAAGAACAUGGGUGUCACAAGACUCAGUCAAAAGUACGCGACUCAUGUCACUCCAGGCAGGAUGUUCAAGGCCUUGAUCCUAGACUCCCACAACCUCUGCCCCAAGCUCAUGUUUUCAUCCAUUAAGAGCAUUGAAUUUCUUGAAGGGGAAGGAGAAGUUGGGAGCAUCAAACAGAUCAACUUCACUGAAGGUCAGCAAAAGUACUAGAUACUAAUUUUCCAGCAUAUACUCAGUGCCUUUGAAUUAGAUAAUUCAGUGAUAACAUAGCUAACAAACAUGUUUGAUUGUGAUGGAAUAUGCAGCUAGUCCUUUAACAUACAUGAAGCAUCGGAUCGAUGCACUAGACAAAGAGAAACUCACAUGCACAUACACUAUGUUUGAGACUGAUGCCCUGAUAAUGGACAAGAUUGAAUAUAUUACUUAUGAUGUGAAGUUCGAGCCAUAUGGUUUUGGGGGGUGUGUUUGUAAUCUGACAAGCGUCUACAAAACAAAAGGGGAUGUAGAGAUCAGAGAAGAGGACAUAGAGCAUGGCAAGGACAGAGCAAUUGGGAUGUAUGAAGUGUUGGAAGCCUAUCUCAUGGCACACCCUCGCGCCUAUACUUGAAAAAAACCUCUCUGAUUAUUUUGAGAAUUGUAUGUUUUUUUUCCUAAUAUGUUUAGCUACCUUUUUUUUUUUUCUUUUUUUCUUUUUUCUUUUUUUUUCUUUUUUUGGUUCUUGUCUUGAAAAAUGCAAAAUACAAUCAGUAUGUGAAUUUUGCCAAGUUAUGGGUUAUGUUGUCUCUGGGCUCUGGUUUUGUGGCUCUGCAAAUGACAAAUUCAUGGCAGGCAGAAAAGUCUUAGCAGCAGAUCUAGCAGUGUUUUCAUUUUUAUCUAAUGAUCUUUUUGCUUGUUAUGAACUUUUUCAUUGGAGUUCAAUCCAUAAGCAUCCUAUCAAUGCCAAAUAUGAGAAUUGAUCGGAGAAAUCAAAUGGGAGAUGAAUAAUAAAAUUUCCAGAAAGAAAGAUAAAGAGCUGAUAGAUAAGUAAAACUGCCAUUGAUGUGAUCAAUCUUCAUAUCUAAACAUAUAUAAAUGCACAUUAUCCAGGUUGAUAUUGAGUUCCCAUGUUAUGUUGAUCUAUGGUCUCAAUCAACUGAAUCUCUCUCAGGUUUUUGUCUGUUUCCUCUUUAAUGGUUUGAUUGUGGUACAGAGAGAGUAGGAUUCUUUCCAAGUCAAUUGAACCUCAAGGCACCCUUCUAUGAUAUGGUACUAUGAUCUCCCUCUGGUUCAUUAAACCACAAAAUAAAAACAAGGGUUUUAUCACAGUGGUGACGAUGAGAGAAUUGACUCCUCUAAUGGGGAAAAGAAGAAGAAUGAUAUAAGGGGUUUGUUUGGUCACAGUGGAAAUUAGUUCGAUGUUCUUCAUGGUGAUGGAUCUCAUCUCCUGCGUUGAUUUCUUUUGUUGGGAUUCCAUCUUGAUUUUCCAUCAUUCACCAUGUACCAAAGGCUUGAACAUCUUUAGCAGGAGCAGCCAGAGUCAUGAACUUUUUGGGUAAAGUAAAGCAGGUAACACCCAUCAUUGCUUUCAGAGCAAGAUUAUGAUCUCUUAGAAAUAAAAUUGAAGUAUAGAUUGGUUUGGUGUGAAGGGUCUUGGAUUCUGUAGGGGAAAAGGAAGAAUGAUAAAACAACUUAUAGGCCAAUUUUUGUGGUAGUUCUAAUUAUCAAAUUGGCCAUUUUUGACUCAACCUCAGCUGCCACCCAACCUAACUUAUCCAAAAUCUAUCUUGUUCAAAGUUCUUGUCUGAAAGGUCUAAACCCUUUUUGCUUUCUCUCCUUUGGCUGGACCCAAACUUCAUCUGGGUCACACGACCCCAGCCAAUUCUGAAAGUUCCUCCUUGUUGAGGUAGUUCAAACCCACCCAGAAGCAUAAGAUAUGCUUUUGUGAUUCCACACUUGAUCUAAACCUGAUAUCAAGAAAGAAAUCUACAAUUCUAUUGAAAGGAUAUGCGUAUACAUCUGACUAGAACUUUUGCCCAUACUGGGACCAUGUAAAGGUGGCUCUUGCCAUCGCAGACAUGGGGUGGGUACCUUGGUUCCUCAGGUCAAGCCGCCCAUGUGGCAUAUGCAUAAGUGCGUGUUUAGUCAAAACUCGGAGAGGCAGAAGGUUGAAUCUCCAAUUAAUUCCUCUUUUGUGAAUUCAUGCCAAACACAUACCACCUAAAACCCAAUCUAUAAGUACUGCAAACUGGUGAAGAUCCCCACAAUUUUCAAAGACCAUUGCUUUCAUAUUCUCCCAAAACAUGGGUGUCACCAGUUUCACACAAGAAUUCACAUGCCCAAUUGCCCCCUCUCGCAUCUUCAAGGCCCUGAUCCUAGACUCCAACAACCUGAUCCCAAAGCUCUUGCCCCAGACCAUAAGAAGCAUCGAUGUUGUCCAAGGAGAUGGAGGAGCUGGAACCAUUGAACAAGUGAACUUCACCGAAGGUCAGUAAUCUUAAAUCAAAAGAAUAGAUAUUAUAUGUUUUAAGCUCAAUAGUUAAAAGCAGUUUGUAUAUACAUAACAUUAGGAACUUUUUCCCCAAAUAGGCAUACACUCUUUGCGAGGCUAAACAAGCUCUAAUACUAUUUGUAACAACCUCGUCUCAACCCCAUGUGUAGGUAUUAUUCGCUCUAAGUCCAAUAAACCCACAUGGCUUUUAAAACUUCCAUAGGGAUUGAGAAUUACUUUGAAACAAUUUAUAACAAUCCACUCUCAACCGUGUAUAGGUAUUAUUUAUGAGCCCACACAAAUUUAAAAUGCUUUUAAAUAAUUAAAAGCAACUCAUACAUGUAUUGCAAUAGAAACUUUUUUCCCUAUCCCAUGUGAAAUAUUACAGCAAGAGCCUGAAAUAUGUUUCUUUUGGCUUGUCAUGCAGCUAGCAAUCUCAAAUACGUGAAGCACCAAAUCGAAGAAUUGGACAAAGAGAAUUUUGUGUGCAAGUAUCGUAUGAUUGAGGGAGAUGUAUUGGGUGAGGAGCUUGAAUCAAUUGCUCAUGAGGUGAAGUUUGAGGCAGCAGAUGGAGGUAGCAUUUGUAAGAUGGCAAGCGAGUAUCACACCAAGGGAAAGUUUGAGAUUAAGGAAGAAGAGAUAAAAGCUGGUAAGGCUAGAGCUAUGGGGAUAUACAAAGUUGUGGAAGCCUAUCUAUUGGAGAAUCCCCAUGUCUAUGCUUAGUUUCUAUCUUCCUCUAUAUACAUAUUCACACAUAUUUGAUUGUCACUUCUCUGUUGUCCAAUGUUUUCUCUAUUAUAUACUUUAUACUGGUGUUUUGUAUUCUUCAUUACAUGUACCCUUAAUUUUUUUCUUUUUUUCCUUGGCCAAAAUUGCCUCUAAAUUUCCCUAUUGUAAUGUUAUUGACAAAUGGAAAAACUAAGAAAUACGAAUUUUUCUAUUUGAAUUGUUGGAAUGGCAACACCCAUAUAAGUUGAGGGUAAUCUUUUCGUAGUUGCAUGAUGAUUGAAAAAUAUUCAAUAAUUAGUUCAUUAAAUAUUGCAUGUUAAUGAAAUGAUUAGUUUGAAAAUUAAGGGGGAUAUGUUAUUAUGAGUUUGGUGAUGUUAGGUGAAAUUCUAGAGAACAUAAAAGCAUCUUAAUUCAUGUGAUGAAAAAAUUGCAAUUGGUAUGCUAUUGGAGAGGUUUGGGAUCAAAAUGAAAAUAUGAAUCUCUAUCUUAAGCCUUAGGGGUGCUUUUCGAAACCUAAAAGUAGUAAAGGCAAAACAAUGUUUAGAUAUACCUAUGAAAUUUCUAUUUGAAGCCUUAUUUGGAGAACUUCUUGAAGCCUAAAAGUAGCAAAGGUAAAACAAGGGUUAGAUAUUACUAUCAAGUCUCAACUAUGAUUUUCAUACUUUUCAACGUGAUCUAUGAAGUAAAAGAAUUCAAGCUUUUACUCGUAGAGUGGUGUCAAAAGCAUACUAUUAUUUGUCUUUAAUAUCAAGUCCAACAAAUUGGUAUUAAAAAUCUUAUUAAUGAUUGUCUCCUUUGUUUUUAUAGUGUCUAGAUUGAAAUUCAAGCAUAUGGUUUGAUUUAACGUUUAAAGAGGUUUGUUUGGAUUUAGAUUAGAGAUGAAUAAAAUGGAUGAUAGUGGAUUCAACUUCGGGAUGGUUUUAUAUGAAAAAAUUAUAUAGAACAAUGAAUAUUUUAUAAAAGCAAAAUUAGUUAGGAAAAAAGAAUUAUUCUCUUAUCUACUUUUUUUCUCUUUCAAUGUUGAAAGAAUCCUCAUUUUCUAAGUACACACUACAAUACAAUCACUUCUUUUAUAUAUCUAUUACAGUUGUCAACAUAUGGAUGUAACAUCUUUCGAUAAAAACCUUUCAAAAAAUAAGAGAAAUUCAUUUGAUAUAUUAAAGAAAAUUCAUUUUGAAAUCUCUUCUUAUAAACCUUUUUAUGAAAACCAUUACUUUCCUAGCUUGUGGAAGAAGAAGAGCUUUAAUAUAAUUCACAUAUAUCCUAACGCUCUCUAAUGAUUAGAAGAGUUUUAUACACUUCACUACCAUCAAAGGAGACUACAAAUUCAGUUAGAAAAUAAAUGCCCUUUAGGAAGAACUUGUUACAUGUGCAAAAAUGUUGCUCUAUGGGAAAUGAUGGUUCAAACGCCGAACCAAUACGGGGCUAAAAAAAAUGAACUCAAACAAUUGUUAAGAGUACACUAAUAUCAAUAGGUGUAUAUAAAUUUUGGCUAUAAGCCUGAAGAAGAUAAAAAUCAGGAGACUAAUGUUAUAAAACGAUGACUCAUGAUACUCAAGGCAUGAGGAUGAAUAUGAUAUUAAAUCUUAUAAAAUGGUAUAGUGAGAUGUUGGUAAUGGCUAGUUUGCUUUCGGUGCCUAGUCAUAGGUAUGGCUUAUAUAAAAGAUUUGAGUUUAAGGUUUAGGAUUUCCAAGGAAAAGAUUAUGGAGGUACUCCUUCAAGAUUGUUAUACGUGCAAUAUAGUGGAAUAGCCACACUCGAAAUGGUCAUGACUGAUGUGAUGUUGAAGUACCAUAAAAGAGUACUAGCCGCACUCUCACCCACAGCAACUAAUUUGCUGAUGGGAUUACUAAUGCCCGAGCCUCAACAGAACUGAAAAAUGAGGCCCAAUGAGACCCUUCAAAUCCAAAUCACAAUGCUACAAUUCCAUAAGAGCUCCACCCAUUUGUCCACUCCAUCAGAAAGCAUGAGUAUUGUUGGUCUUCAUCCAGGAUUCCAGAUUUAACGAACCCAUCUUCCCUCUUUAAGAAUCCUGCAGAAGAGGCCCUUCGUUGAGCGAAUAGGUAAUGAAUAUGGACUGGCCUGCCAUGCAGCAAUGUGAUAUAUCCGCAAUGGGCAUCAGCAACAAUGAUUGGGAGAGAAUUGGGAUGAGCGUUCUUUCCUUUUCACUUUUUUGCAGUCGGCUGCCUUUUACCACCAUAACCAAGUGCGACAGAUAAUUUGGGGAAUGCAUAGCCAGACCGUAUAUUCCCCCAAGAAGACGACCUGGAAAAUACAAGGCAGCGAGUCAAUGUCCUACACUUGAAAACAAGAGUAGGUUUCACUUUCCAUAAAGCACAGUAGCUGUAGGCACUAUAAAUUGCCUGCUUCAAUCAUAGAAAAAAAAAGUUCAUGUAGUGUAAAUCUAUGUUUAUCUACACACUGAAGUCAACCCAUUGAAUUGAUAGAUGGCUAAAUUUCGUAGAGGCAUAUUUGGGUAUGUUCCCAUCUACAUCACCCCCCUUUCUCUUGUGGGCCAACCAGAGGGGCGGUACCAAAUGAAGAAAAUCAAAAUGACCUCAUUCAUAUCAAUUUUCCAACUUCAAUAAGCACAUUUUGAAAAAACAAAAAAAAAAAAAAAAAAACAAAAUCAUGUUUUUCAAGAAUUUGUUCUAUAAUGUUAUUGUGCUUUCAUUUAUUCCUUGUAGAAUUUUUAGAGAAAAAUUAAAAAUAUAAAAAAUAUUUAAAAAAACAUUCUCUUUAUACAAGAAUAUACAAUGCCUUUAUAGAGAAAAACCUGGAUAAACUGUUUUUCAUAUUUAUAUUUUUAUAUGGAAUUUUAUUUUUUAAAAUAAGUAAAAAUUGUUUUCAAAAAUUAUUUUUUUUAAGAACUGUUUUCAAGCAAAUCCUAUUAAAUUUUCAAAAAGAGUGAAACAUCAAAACUAAAGUUCCAGAGAGUCCUCAUGUUCACACCCUCAGUGGUGACAUCAUGGCUUUUCAUAAAGAUCAUUCAAAGCUAUAAGGUGAAUACCACCUCAAAAUAAAGCAUCAUGGUUUUUUUCUACAAAAUUGCCGUUAAUUUUUCUUGAAUCCCACAAGCCUAAAUCUCAAAAUUUGCCAAACAUAUAAGGCUACUGGCUUCCUUGCCUACUAGAGAAAGCAUGCCAAACACCGUCCACUGUUCACAAUAGCAUCAAGAACAAGAACCAAGCCAACUAGGACCACACCGUAACAAAAAGUUUAGUCUGAAAACAGUCUAGUCUUACUUAGGAGAUGGACACUAUAUUUAGAAAUUUUUAAGACGGGCAGAGAUGGAACCUCUCUGGAUCUCAGGAUGGAAUCUUGACUCGUUGAGCCAAUAACAUCAGAACCCAACCUAAUAAAGGUUAAACAAUUGAGCACAUAGUCCAGCAAAAACUGGGCUAAAAAUGAAGAUUCGUUACUUGUGAAUUAUGCAACCUGAUUCCAUGUAAUUGUGCUUAGUGAUUCAAUCCGAAGCAGAGUAAAGAAGAGCUGAAUCCGAGUCAUAGGACCACUUCCUGCAAAGAGGCCAAUAGCAAACCAAACUAAUCAAACCAUAACAAAACUUGGGUAGAUGUCUAAAUCACAAUCUAAUCAACACCCAACUCAUCAGUAAGACUAACAAAAAGUUCAAGCACCACCCAAUGUCAGUGGGAGAAUCUGGUCUCCGUCAACCUUUUAUGGCAAAGCUGAAAGAAAGGUUUGUGGGAUGCAACUCAGUAUAAGAAAAAUAAACUACAAUUUUGACACUAUAAGGUGUUUCUUGUAACAAAAGGAUUCCUCAAGAGUGGAUAUCCUUCAUUGAAAAAGCUACUUUAGAUUUUUUUUUGACAUAUAUAUGAAUGAUCUAUCCAUCAUCUGCUCUCACUUUAAUUCUUUUAUUUCUUUCUUGGCCGGGCUUUGGAUAUCCAAACUGCGCAAACGUCCCUCAAUUAUAGAUGGCCAUCCAUCUUAAAGCAAAUUCCCUUUGGCUCAACAUUCAAAGGUCCAUACAAAACACCGCCCUCUUUCUCGAAGCCAUACCCUCCUCCCUCUCUUUAAGAUUUGAAAGUGACUUCUGAAAGCCAAGCAAGGGCAAAAUUCACUCUCUGAGGGAAAAGCAAAAAAAGAUUCCUUGCAUGUCCCAGGCCUUUUGCCCUUCAAAUAUUCCCUCCUCAUAUACAAAUAAAUGCCACCUAUUGAUUCUUCAUUCACUCUCCACCCUCUCCAUUCCAUAGAAAACACAACCCUUUGUUUUUUCUUCAUUUUCCUGCCUUUCCCUAACUCAUGAUCCCAGAACUGGAGGUAUGUGCCAAAUCCACAGUAGGAACAUAUUGAUACAGAACAACUAGUGCCUACAUCGUAGUUCUAGCGUUCUUCUUUGCAGAUAUCUUGCAAGACAUUUUCCUAACCUGUCAGUUUUCUUGUUAAAAAAAAUGCAGAAGCCUCGGGUCACUGAGAUACAGGUCCGGAUGGACUGUAAUGGGUGCGUACAGAAGAUCAAGAAAGCCCUAUACGGCAUCAAUGGUGAGUGAUUUAUUGCUAAUGGGUACCUCAAUAGUGGUCUUUCUAUUUUGUCCCUUUACUCCUAUGUUUUGGUGUAGGUGACCUAAUUUUUGAGUUCUCCAACAGGUAUAUAUGAUCUCUAUAUUGACUUCCCCCAACAAAAAUUGACAAUAAUUGGGUGGGCGGAUCCUGAAAAAAUAAUGAAAGCCAUUAAGAAGACGAGAAAGAUUGCCACCAUCUGUAGUCAUACAGAACCGACAGACCCAGCCACAAAGCCACCGGAACAAGCACCUGAAGGCGGCGGCCCACCCCCAGCAGAAGCUGCAAACCCUCCCCCUGCAGAAGCUCCACAAGCCGAGGCUGCCCCACCAGCGGAGCCACCAAAAGACCCACCACCACCUGAAAAUCCUCCGCCAGAGGCAACACCAGCACCUGCAGCUGCAGAUGUUAAUGCAGGUAACCCAGCACGACCUAAAGAUGUGGAAGAGGUUCACGUAAUAUACCACCACCCACCUGAGUAUGGCUACAGAUAUGGGUAUGGUCACCGGUAUGGAGGGCACUGGAACAACUACUCCAAUGUCCAAGGAUUGCAACAAGAGCCACCCCCAACCGUCUACACCAAUGUCCAAGGAGUCCAUCACGAGCCACCCCCGACAAUGUACACCAAUGUCCAAGGACUCCAUCAUGAGCCACCCCCACCUGUCUAUGUGACUCAUAGGUACAACACAUACAAGCCACCACCUUACAUCACUGAAUACGAGUACAUCCGGUCGCCACCACGGCACGCACAUUACAGUAGGAUGGACCGCUAUAGUGAGGAUUAUCGCAACGUGAAUAACAGCAAUGGAAACAUCACUUCAAUGUUUAGCGAUGAAAAUCCAAAUGCGUGUAGAAUAGUCUAGACAGGGUAGAGAAGUCAGUUUGAAAACGGAGCUCUUUCUUUUGCCUCCAAGAGAGUCUUAGCUAGAAAGUCAUUGGAGAAUAAUUAAUGAAAUAAAAGUAAUUUGUGGCCGUGAUGUUUCCUAAUAAGCACGUGAAGAUAUUGCGAGAGGAAUGAGAUUCUGAGCUUGUAAGUGGAGGAAGAAUCGAUCCUGCAUUCCACUUCUGAUAGGGCCAAUACAUACUGCCGGGUAUUCAUUUCUUAUGUAAGAAUCCUGUAAAGCAUAUAUUCUACAAGCCUAAUCCACAUCCUUCCAUUUUUCAAAAAGACAUCCAUCCUUCUCUUUAGUUUAGAUUAUCUCAUAAAAGCAUCUGCCCUUGAAAGACGAAACAAAGAUCAACAAUUUUUGCUUGUCAUAAAGUUAUGUGAACUGCCUUUUUCCAUAGUCCAUUGAUAGUACAAAUUUUCUUUUCUUUUUCUUCUCAGCUGAUUAGAUCUGCAAUGACAUUCAUAAUCUAUCAUCUAAAAUUCAAAAGAUAACAGGAUGUUCAACUCUACAAGCUGUGUGAUAUAUAUGCAUGAUGACAAACAAUGGAUCAGAAUUUCCUGCUUGGUUAAACGAUACAAUGUCCUAGAAUGUUAAAAGAAGCAUCAUAAUAGCAUAAUUUUACCAUGAUUAGUUCUCUAAUUGUCCAACCUGCACUAUAUUUGAAGUCAUGCAAAGAAGUAAAAUUAAGGAUCACCAAAGAAAGUGGUUAAAGGGGAUUCAAACCCCAAAAGAAUUUCAAGCUAUUUUGUAUAGUCACAAUCAAGAUUGACAACUACAACAGAUCCCUGAAACUAUAGUACAUUUCUUUUUAAGGUUGUAGUUAAUUACGACCAUGGGAAUUAUUAGAGGUCUAAAGCUCAGCCAUCUCCUGUACUUGAUGCCAAACCCAUCCCUAUAAGCUGACCACCAUAGAUCAUCUAGACCCUGGUGCUUAUAACUAGAGCAAACCAAAAUCCAGUUUGGCAGCAUCUCAGUAACAGCCUGAAUCAUAAGAACUGAUGCUUUUUUAUUAUUUGAACCCAGCCGCUUUGUGACAAUGGAACCUAACAGCAAAAAAGGAUCAUGCUUGAAUUUUUAGCUUCACAACAUAAAUUGAAGCAUAUUUGAGAAAGAAGAAAGUUCAAUAUUUCUCCUAGAAGAAGCAGGUAGAUGUUGUUUUUGCCCUACAUACAGAGGUUCAUUUCAUCAGGCUCCACCUCCAAGUGCAACCAGCAAAAAGGGAACAUCAAUCCUAACAGCUCAAUUUUCUGAAAAACAUGCAACAGAAGAAAGAAGUCUUCAAGUGUUUCUUUCCAGUGAUUAGAUUUGUUAAGAUUUGCCCAAACGAAAUCGGAAGAGAGAAGCAAGAAGCAAAAUAGAAAAUGAACUAUGAGAAUUAAUAUCCAAGUUUAUAUCAAACAUAAGCAUGCCCUUCAAACUACACACAAUGGCUGAAUGCCAUUAUUCUUAUAUUUUAUUUUUAAUAUCAGACAGGCCUAGCUUACAUUAAACCGUAAGAAACUUGGCUCUAACUACUGCACAAAUCUGGAGCUGAAUAUGAUUCCUUUCCACCACCAUGUAUUCAUGCCUACCAAAUAAGAGGCCUUUAUCUUAUGAUUGAUGUUUUCAAGUAUAAAAGAGUUGUGUUGUGUAAACUACCAUCAAGGGUCAUGCUCAGUCACUACACUAACAAUAAACCCAAUGAAUGGACAUAUGAAAGAUGAGCCUUCCAUGCCUCGUUGUCACCUACCAACAUCAAAUAAAAUAUUCUCACUAAUGCACAUUCUCUAUUAUUUAUGAAAAUUAAAAUACUUUCACUAUCUUCAUUGAUGGUGGAUAAAAUGAACUACAUCAAAAUUCUGCUUUCAGGCUUUUGUUAAUUGAGGUUGGUCAUUCCUUCAAAUUAUGGAGCACAAAGCAUAGCAGAGAACAAAGUUGUCGACCACCAGAUGGUUAUGAUAACUAAUGAAAUGAUAUAAAUAAAGAUAAGACAAUGACCACAUUAUUGAAGUCCCUCACAAAUAGGGUUGCAAAUGAACUGAGCUACUCAUCAUUCAUGUUGGCCCAGCUUGGUAAUAGCCUCAUUACCUUGAAUCCAGACCAAGCUCAAGCCUCAUCUUGAAGCCUGUUUAAUAAAGAAGUGAUGUAAAGCAGAAGCAACAUAGGAGAGAUCUCAAGGAAAGUAAUAAAAGAAGAAAACUUCUAUUCUUUAACUCAAACUAAUUCAAAAUCUGAAUGUACCUCAAAUGCAUGAAUAUUUCUUUUUACAACAGAAAAAACUCUAAAGCCAAAAGAAUUCUACAGCUUGCUAAAUCUUAAACUGUCAGAAAAGGUAGUCGGGUGCCAUGUUUUUUUAAUGACUUGGCAGGUAACUGCAUAUCUGACAAAAAUUCUGCCAAGCUCCAUACAUUUCAGCAAUUUCCAUUAAUGAUUCUGAUUCCACCUGACUCCGUCUGCAUCCAAGUAUGGAAGUAAUGGAACAGCAGUCACCCAUUCCAAUUCCUUGAUUCCCAAUUCCAACUAGCAUUCCUAUCCUCUCAUUCCCCCUGUCUACACAGGGCCUUACAAUAUUGUACAGCUUCAGAUAAUCUCCAUCAAGUAUUUUUCAAGUACUAAUGACUCAAAAGCCCAUGCCUAGUAAUAAAAAAGGCAAAGGGAUAUUGACUUGACAAAGAAUUAAUACCUUCUGCAGUAAGAUACAGUUAGUCAUCAUUAUCACUGCUUAUCUGGGAUUCAUCAUCUUCUUCUCCAUAAAGAACAUCCUCAACUUCUUCUUCUUCAUCUUCACUUUCAUCCACCUGGUGACCAUGUUGUAUUUGACUUAUGUUUUGGGAAGCCUUAUCAAUCUGUUAAAAGAAAGAAAUAAAGUCAAAUGCCAAAAAAAAUCAUACAACAUAUACUGAACUAAGGUGAGGAUGUGAAGUUACUAACCUGUGCCAUUACAAGCUGCAAACCACCUGAUAGCUGUAAUAAAGAUUGAACAGCCGUCCCUCUAGAUUUUGUGCUCUGAGAGGGGAAAAAACAUCAUUCAAGUCCUCCACACUAUGAAUUAUGACCCUAGAAAAGUAUGAAUAAAGUGCAACAACAUUUUGGGGAACAAACCAAUAGGAACAGCAGAGCAUGAAAACUAUGUGCAAACUAGAGAACCUACAAAUAUUAUGCAUAUCACAAAGACCCUAGAAGGUCAGCUGUGGAUAUCAUUUGAGUUGAAAGAACUAAAAUGGUCAAAUAUUUAUUUCCCAGCCCACAAAACUGAGAAGGAGCAGAGGUCAGGAUCAUGAAUACAGACCCCAACUUUAGGACUUCAAGUUCCCAAAAUCAAGACUUUGAUCUCUAAGUAGAUGUCUAGCUGUAAGGAAAGGUUCUCCUGUUGAAGUCUAGAUUUUGAUGAAACCUAUAUUGAAUUACAGAAAUUAUAUAUUUCACUAUUUCAGUGAGCUGUUAUUUCAAGUCAAACCAAAACCCAACUGAAGUUCUAAUCAUACAUCACAGGACCACUAUGGCAGGAGCUUAAGGGCUGGGAACACUCUAGGGAAAAGCUUUGGCUCUGUUUUGCAUCUCCAGCUGAUCUCAGCCUAACCCAACCAACAACCCUACUGUCAAUACCAAGGUAUGGUUAGACGUUGAACAAGCCCAAUAAUAUAUCAGUUGUCAUAUAAAAAUAAAAAUAAAACCCAUGCACAGCUUCUUUUUUUCACUUUUUGCCCAAAAAAUAAUAAUCAAACUUUAGAAUAACAUGAAUUUUCCUGAUUCGGAAAAUGAUUUAAUUUCUUUAUUAAUAUAAACAUUAAUAUAUAACAUCAAUGCAGAUAAAUGGACUAAUGAAUAAUACACUAUACAGAUUCUAUUUACAUCAAUAGUACUACUAUAGAUUGUAACCAUGUAAUAUUAAAAUUGAUAAACUUGAAUGGCAUUGCCUAUAAAGUAACUACACUAAUUGACUGGUUCCCUGAUAUAGAUUCACAUUCAAUAGUAUUCAGAAUUGUUGGCAGAUAGUCAUGAUUUUCAAGUAAAGGCCACUCCUUCACCUUUUUGAUACCCUAUAAGCCUCUUCAUUUACGCAAAAACAGUCGAACAUUAUCAAUUUAUACAUAGAAACUAAGUAAAUUUUCCCCAUCAUCUUUUCAUACAGUCUACAAACCACAAAGGGGAAGGACUCACAGAAUUAAAAAUUUCUAAUACUAACAACAAAAGCAAGUUCAUAUAUAAAAAUACAUACAUGAAGGAGAAAUGAAGAAAACAAGACUUUACCUGGUGCAAGGAAUCAAGAAGCUGGGUCACUGGUUCCUGAGAUACUAUGUGUUGACUAUGAUUCACUAAUAUAGUAUAAAUCCAUGGGAGGACAUAGUUUCCACUGCAUGACCUGUUGAAGACAACCAAAGCUCUGAGGCAGUAAAAGCAAACACUGACUUGGGCACCACCUGGCUCGUAUAUAUCUAAAAGUACUGGUGAAAAUUGGCUGAUUUGACUUUUAAGUUUAGAAAAAUAAAAACGAAGAGAAAGAGGAGGAAGAAGAAGAAGAAUAAGAACCUCCCCCAUAUAUCAAUUCUAAGGUCCACUCUUUUCUCCCUGACAUGGGUACAAUCUCCCUCAUAUUUUGUACUAAUGACAGGUAAAAAUUGAAUGCUUUAAAGAGGUCAGCCCAAAAACAUAUAUGGAAAAUUUUUAUGUCAAACAAAAAGAAUAAAGGACAAAAAAAAAACAGUAACUUUGACCAAAUAAGAAAUUUGUACUUUCUUUCAACACAAGCAAAUAUGCACAACCUUUCUUUAAAAAUAAAAUAAAAUAAGUUACAUGUGCUUGCAUCUCUCAGUCACAUCUUCCCAUGUUGUAAUUCAAUCUUUUGCAUUUUAUGGUGAUGAUCAGAAGGGAAUGGAUCAGAAUCCCCUUGCACACCACAACCAUUUUUACAUUAUUUUUGUUAAAAUCCAAAGUUGUUAUUCAACUAAAGCUAGACCAUAGACAAUUAUCAAUCAAGUACUCCGAGUGGAUUUUGGAACCACAAAUUGGGUAUGGAGGAUUGACUAAACAAGGAUUGAAAUCACACAAGUUAAGGGUAUCUCUAUAUUUUAUUUAAAAUAUGUAGCAAGCUCAUUAAAUGGGUCUCAAUCAAAUUCAGUUGAUAGUUGACGGUUUAUUUUGAGUAAAUGAUAGUUAAUAUUUUAUUUUUAGAAGAUGGUGCUAAGGGGAGGAAGAAGUCGGUUUGUGGUGGAGUCUAAGUGGUUUGAGAUUGAGAUUGAGGAGUCAGGUGGGAGUUUGAAAGGAUGCAUAUGGGAGAGAAGUAGGGGUUUUGAGUCUUGGAUUAGAUUUGGGGAGGCUAGUCUUCGUUGUCUUUUGGAAGGCGUUGAAACCUGUUGUAGAGAGGUGGAUGAUCAAAGAUGGGCUAUUGAAUGGUUGGAGGGUAACAGAAAGUUUANNNNNNNNNNNNNNNNNNNNNNNNNNNNNNNNNNNNNNNNNNNNNNNNNNNNNNNNNNNNNNNNNNNNNNNNNNNNNNNNNNNNNNNNNNNNNNNNNNNNAUUAUCCUUCCUGAAGGAAAGGGUUAGGCCAGUGGAUGGAACUCUUUGGUUAUGAGGUUGAGAGGUCUUGGAGUGACACUGACAGAAGGAUUAAAGAUUUCCAAUGUGCCAGAGUUUUCGAUGAAGCCGAAGGGAGUCCUGAAGGUUCAGUGGAAGGAAAAGGGGGUGGAAAUGAAGUCUUUUGCAGAAGCUGUUAAAUCGUCACCGAGAAGGGCGGGUGAGUCAGUGUGGUUAGAGGUAGGGGAAAAUGAGGUGCGUGGUAGACUAGAGCAUCUGAAACAUUGUCUAAUAGGGAGGUGGGGUUCUAUCUCAGUUCCACUACCUGAGUUGGAUUUCGUAAGGAAUUGGACCCGCCAGAUUUGGGAGGUUAAGGGGAAGUUGUCGAUUGCCACGUUGGGCAGGUGUAUUAUGUUGUUCGAAUUCGAUCAGGCUCAAGAGGCUGAGCGUGUUUUGGCCAGAGGCAAAAGAAGCAUUAAGGAUAAUUGGCUUAUCCUGGACAAAUGGAAUUCGGAGGUGGGGUGUUCCUUAAAGAAUCCCAUUGCCGCAGAGACAUGGGUUAGGGUGGUCGGGCUCCCACUCCAUUUCUAGUGUCUUGAGGUGUUUAAAAGUAUUGGAGAUGGGUGCGGAGGAUUUAUAGCAGUGGAUGAAGGAACCAAAUCCAUGUCUGAGCUGCAAUGGGCGAGGAUUUUGGUGAAGCGUGUGGAUUGGGAGGUCCCUAGCUCAGUUCAUAUAGCUUUGGGGACAGGGUGCUUUGCCCUUCAUCUAUGGUGGGAAUCUGCUCCUUGGUUCUCACAGGUGGUACCGGCGGGAAGCUCCUCCGAGAAAAGCGGGUUAAGGGCAGGUGAAGAAGUUGAUGGGCCUCUUCGGGUGGCUUGCUGUGGGAGUCAAAGGAAGGGGGUGGAGCAGUUGGGGUUGCAGGUGGAGGUACGAGACGUGGCGUGUAAUGGAGGAAAAACUCUCCUUCCCUCUGUUGAAGCCUCUGCAGAUGGGACUGUUGAGAGGAGAUGGGCUGGUGGCCCAGCCGACCUAGUGGGAAGGGGUAGGGAGUCUUCUCCCAUCAGUUUGGUCAACUGCGGAAGUGGGCAGGAAGGCCCAAGCAAGAGCUCUGGCCCUUCAGCUUUAAGCUGUGGGGAAGCCCAAGUCUUUUAUAGGAUCGAUUUGGGCCGGGGUCCAAGGCCCAAUCCCUGCUCCUUUAGUGUGGGGAUGUCGGGUGAGGCCUGUGGGCCUGUCCAAGCUGGGGCUUUGUUAGAUGAGGUCUUUGAUGGUUUCGAGACCCCUUCCUCGCUCCCUAGGGCUCAGUUUCUGCAGCCGAUUCCCAUCUCCAGGGGUGCUAGUCAAGACGCAAGAGGAGAAGUCGAUCCCCUCGUCGGGCUGCCGCGAGACUCGAUGGCGCGAGUUUCCUCUCAGAUGAUGGAUCGGGGGUUCCUGACUGACGAAGCUCUAUGCGAAGAGGCUUCCAGGUAUGUCGAUCUCUGUCAUAUUCCUUUGGGGGGUCGGGAUCUCUCUUCUCCUUCUUCUUCUUCUUUUGAACGGGUGACGAUGAAUGAGGGGACCACUGGUGUUUCGUUUUCUGAGGGCAUCGAAGAGGAGCAGACUUCGUUGAGUAUUAUUUUGGCUGAUGGUAGCAAGGGAGUGCUAGUCUCUAAGGGUGAGAAGCAAGUGGCUGGAGAAGGACUGGGGGGGGAGUUUGAGGGGAUGUUUCAGGAUCUAGAUGGGUGCCGGUGGGACGACAAUUACUUGGCGAGGUUUAGCAAAUUCUUGGGCUUCUCCACGGACGGGUUUGAAGGCGAAGUUCUGAAUUUGCUCCUAAGGACUAAGAGAAGAAGAUAGCAAAAUCUGAAGAAGGGCACGUCAAGGACCACUAAGUUUGAUAGGGAAUUGAAAAAACUUGAGUGGUCUAUCAAUUAUACUGGGGCAAGAAAGAAGAAAUCUGUGGUCAGAGAAGGAGGGGUUAGAAUCUCGACAGUUAGAUGAAGCUAAAGAUUCUAUCAUGGAAUGUCAGAGGGGCCAAUGACAGAAGUAAAAGGAAGGUUAUCAAGGCCCUAAUCAGAUCACAAAAGGUGGAUUUGGUGUGCUUGCAGGAGACCAAAAUCCAAGAAAUGUCCCAAGGGGUUAUUCACAGUCUUGGCGUGGGAAGAUUCUUAGGUUGGGGAGCUGUGGAUGCAAGAGGGGCAGCUGGAGGGGUGGUGGUUUUCUGGGAUAAGAGAGUUUUGGAGCUAGUAGGCCUGGAAGUGGGAAUCUUCUCAAUCUCGUGUCAAUUUAAGAAUUGCGAGGAUGGGUUUAUGUGGUUCUUCACAGGGGUCUACGGACCUACUAUGAAAAGGUUUAGAGAACCUUUUGGGGAAGAGUUAGGUGUUAUUCGAGGUUUGUGGUCUGAUCCCUGGUGCAUCGGUGGGGACUUCAAUGUUAUUAGAUUUCCCAGUGAACGGAGUAGAGUUGGAAGACUAUCUGGUCCUAUGAGAAGGUUUUCAGAGGUGCUAGAUGAGUUGGCUUUAAGAGAUAUGCCUCUUCAGGGGGGUCCUUAUACGUGGAGUGGGGGGUUAAAUGGCCAAUCCUGGUCGAGAUUGGAUCGCUUCCUGAUUUCGGAGGAUUGGGAAAACCAUUUUAGUGGAGUGUCUCAGUGCACACUACCAAGGCCUGUGUCUGACCAUUACCCAAUCCUCUUAGAUGGGGGUGGUGUUAGGAGAGGUCCUAUCCCUUUCCGUUUUGAGAAUAUGUGGUUGAAGGAUGAGGGAUUUAAGGAGCUUCUGAGGGGUUGGUGGCAAGGUUUUAAUUGCAGUGGUUCAUAUAGCUUUGUCCUCACAGAAAAACUAAAGGCUUUAAAAGUUAAGCUGAAGAAUUGGAAUAAGGAAGUCUUUGGUAAAGUGGGAGUAAAUUUGAGGAUGGCUUUGGGCAGAGUUUCUUUCUGGGAUGAUCAGGAGAGGCAGAGAACGUUAAACGAGCAGGAGUUAGAGGCUAGAAAGGAGGCCAAGGAGGAGUUUAAAAAGUGGGCGAUUAUGGAGGAAAUCUCGUGGAAGCAGAAAUCAAGACAAAUAUGGUUGAAGGAAGGAGAUAAGAACACGGGGUUCUUUCAUAAGAUGGCGAACUCUAACAGUAGAAGGAAUUGUUUGAAAAAGAUUAAAGUCAGAGGUAUUUGGCUUUCAGACAAGCAAGAUAUUCAAAGGGGAGUGGUGAGGGCCUAUCAGGAUCUGUUAUCGGAUCCUGGUGGCUAGCACCCGAGUAUGAGCAGCUUGGAGUUUGAUAGUAUUGGAAGAGAGGAGGCUGUCAGGCUGGAGGAGAUGUUCUCUUUGGAAGAAGUGUAUCUGGCCCUUUCGGAGCUAAAUGGGGACAAGGCUCCUGGACCGGAUGGAUUUCCCAUUGCCUUCUGGCAGUUUUGUUGGGAUUUUGUCAAAGACGAAAUUAUGGGCUUCUUUAAGGAUUUUUUUGAGAGGGGAAAAUUCGUUAGAAGUCUCAACUCCACGUUUCUGGUUUUAGUCCCCAAGAAAGGUGGGGCUGAGGAUUUACGUGACUAUAGACCCAUCAGCUUGGUGGGUGGUCUGUACAAGAUUCUCGCCAAGGUUCUAGCCAAUAGGCUGAAGAAAGUAGUGAGUAAGGUGGUGUCUUCGGCCCAAAAUGCCUUUGUUGAAGGAAGGCAAAUCCUUGACGCAGCGUUAAUUGCUAACGAGGCCAUAGACUCGAUGCUGAAAGGGGAUGAAGCUGGUGUGUUAUGCAAGCUGGACCUAGAGAAGGCUUAUGACCAUAUUAACUGGGAUUUUCUGAUGUUAGUGAUGCAAAAAAUGGGCUUUGGGGAGAAGUGGGCCGGCUGGAUCAAGUGGUGCAUCUCCACUGCCUCUUUCUCAGUUCUGAUUAACGGGUCACCAGCGGGUUUCUUCCAAAGCACUCGAGGGUUAAGGCAAGGGGACCCCAUUUCCCCCUACUUGUUUGUCUUAGGAAUGGAGGCCUUAAGUUGCCUCAUUAACAAAGCGAUUAGGGGGGGCUUCCUUUCCGGCUGCAGACUAAGGGGAAGGGGUGGAAAUGGGAUUCAAGUAUCUCAUUUAUUAUUUGCGGAUGAUACGCUGGUCUUUUGCAAGGACUCCCAAGACCAAAUGGUUGUUCUAAGCUGGCUUUUAAUGUGGUUUGAAGCCAUUUCUGGUCUGAAUAUUAACUUGGAAAAGAGUGAAAUUCUGCCGGUGGGAAGUGUUGAGAAUGCUGAGGUCUUGGCUUCUAAAUUGGGCUGCAAAGUGGGGUCUCUUCCUUCCACUUACUUGGGGCUGCCUCUAGGUGCUCCUCACAAAUCAGUGGUUGUGUGGGAUGGUGUGGAAGAAAGGAUGAGGAAGAGACUCGCUCUAUGGAAGAGGCAGUUUAUUUCUAAGGGGGGGAGACUCACUCUCAUUCGGAGCACUUUGGCUAGCAUGCCGAUUUAUCUUAUGUCCUUGAUGCGUAUCCCAAGAGUUGUAAGAUUGAGGCUUGAGAAAAUCCAAAGGGAUUUCCUUUGGGGAGGGGGUGCGUUGGAGAAGAGGCCUCACCUUGUAAAUUGGGAUGUGGUGCGCUCUCAAAAAAUGAAGGGUGGAUUGGGGAUCAGAAAUUUUUCUAUCCUCAAUAGGGCCCUGUUGUGUAAAUGGAGCUGGCGCUUUGCGGCUGAAAGAGAUUCUUUUGGAAACUUGUUAUCAGCUCGAAGUAUGGGGAAGAAGGAGGGUGGAUCUCUUGUGAGGUUAGGGAAGGCUAUGGGGUGGGGUUGUGGAAGGAAAUUAGAAAGGAAGGCGUUUUGUUGUUUAAAAACGCUUCCUUCACUGUAGGGGAUGGUAGAAGGGUGAAAUUUUGGAAGGACAUUUGGUGUGGAAACACUCCCCUAUGUGAGGCUUUUCCUUCUCUGUUUGCCUUUGCGGUUUCCCAAGAUGCGUGGGUAGAGGAUUGUUGGGAUUAUAUGGGGGAUGCAGGGGGAUGGAAUCCUUGUUUCUCUAGGUCUUUUAAUGACUGGGAGCUGGAGGUGGUGGCGAGUCUCCUUUCGGUCCUUCAAGGAAAGAGGCUCAAUGUUGGGAUGGAGGAUAAAGUGGUGUGGAAUGCUUCUAAGAAUGGGAGUUUCUCUGUAAAAUCCCUUUACAAUACUCUGGAUUCUGGUGGUGCAGUCCCGUUUCCGUGGAGAAUCAUAUGGAGCCCUUGCAUGCCUACUAAGGUGGGUUUUUUUGCUUGGGAAGCUUCUUAGGGGAAGGUCCUAACCCAAGAUCAUCUCAAAAGGAGGGGCUGGUCUCUAGCAAACAGAUGCUUCUUAUGUUGUGAUGAUGAGGAGACUAUUAACCACAUCCUUAUUCAUUGCCCCAAGGCGAAGGUGUUGUGGAAUCUUAUGUUUACGAUGUUUAGGGUUAAUUGGGUUCUUCAGCUCACAGUUAAAGACACUCUCCUUGGCUGGUCCGUUUCCUUUGUAGACAAGAAGCGUGGGAAGAUUUGGCGGGCAGCCCCCCUUUGUUUAUUUUGGACGAUGUGGAAAGAAAUAAAUAGGAUAGCUUUUGACAAUGAGGCUUUGUCGAUCCAAAGAUUGAAAACCUCCUUCGUUUGUAAUCUUUCCUCUUGGACUAAGUCUUGUUUAGAUGGAGAGCCCCACUCCUUAAUUAAUUUUGUAGAUUGGUUGGGCUCUAAUUGAGGGUUGGUGAGUGUAUGCUUCCUUGUGCUUUUUGUUUUUGGGGCCUCUCGUGUAUACUUCCUGUAUGCUUUGGGUUCCCUUCUUGCUUCCCUCUUUUUAAUAUAAUUUUUCUGUGUUUAUCUAUCAAAAAAAAAAAUAUUUUAUUUUUGUGUAAAAGAAUAAUAGUUUUUAUAAGUCAACAACUUUGCUUAUAUUCAUGCUCAGACAUCACCCGGUGCAUCAUACACUAUCAGUUGAAUAUGGAAAAAAAAUCAACUUACCUAAAUAAAAAGAAAAAGAAAAGAAAAGAAAUAGAUGAUUGCCACAUUAUAUGGGAAUUCAAAUUAUAAACUUAGGGAUCCCUAGAUAAAGAAAACAAAAAAGGGCAUAUGUUGCAAGAAUAGAGGCACAUACCUUGAUUGCCACAUAGUCACCAAGACUUUCAACAACUCAUAUGCAUCGCCAGGUAUUAUAGACGAAACAGCUGCCCUCAUCUGAUGGAGAAGAUAUAUAGAGAAAGAGUCAUAAGACAAACUGAAAUAGAAAAAACAAACACAUGAAACCAAAAAUACACCACUAGCAAUCUCUUUUCUAUUUCCGCAAAGAAACACACCUUCUUUGGAGGCAUAUUUUCUUCAAGACUGAUACCCUUAAAUUUUCUAGAAUUAAGCAUUGAAUUGGAUGUAAGAUCAUCUUUGUUAUCAAGCAACCCUAAUGAUCUCAGCUGCUCCUCCAAACAAGAAGUUUCAUUGGAAGCUUCAACUGAUUCCAAGCCAUCUGCAUGUACUAACAUAACAAAAAAAAUUGGACCAGGAAGAAGCAAAAUCCCUGAAGGGUAACUCCCUAACAGGAGUAGUUAAGUACAAAAAUAUUAUGACCAUAUACUUUGAGAACCUUUUCCACUAUACCAAAAGUUGAAGUCACAAUUCAAGUAGUUUUAACAGGAAGGGAAAUUCUGAAAGAGAAGUUUAUUGUUGAUUUGUGCACAUCUGAGUUUGUCAAGAAUUUGCUCAACUUAAACAAGAGUCUAACAUUGAGAUAUACACCAAAUAUUAAGAUAUCAAGAUAUUUACAAUGCCACCAACAACUCCAGACAGCUCAAGGAAAUUCAUUAGAUUGCACAAAAUUCAGGAUAUUAACUCAACACACAACCCUUCUGAAGACAUAAAAGUCCACACUGCUUCCAUCAACAAAAGCAGUGGAACAAACCCAUAAAACAUCAAUUACCAAACACAAAACAGGAUUUAUGAUCAUAUUUAUUAAAGAUGGCAUAUUCUUACAUCAAAAUCCAAGCCCAUUGCCAUCCUCAUCCUCUUGUCAAUAAAUAUUGUUAAUGGUGAACUGAAAAUCCAACUUUUCAAUGGGUAACUUGCUCUCUUGUUGAGUAGAGCAAAUAACCACAGGAAGGCAACUUUAUUUCAUGAAUAUGAGCCUUAAACAUGAGGUAGGAUUUAAAUUCAAAAUUCUGCCAACCACAUUCAGUUCAUUUAAUUUUACCUCCUCUCUGCUUCUUCCUCCAUCUUGAGGUCAAAAUCCAGCUUCCUAGUUCCAACUUCCAUUAGUGUUUCUUGAAUUUUCCUUUCCUCUACCAAAUGGCAGUAGAGUCUAUAUUGUGUCUCCAAGCAUAUGCAAAAGGAAAUACGGGAUAGACCAAAGUACCACAAGAACAUGUCAUUGCUUUUAGUGUGAGGAGAGAUCUAAAACCAAAUUUCCAUCAAAACCAUUUGAUUUAUGUAACCAUUCUUAUAGACAUCCUUCAGGAUGAUCAGGCUCAACAAACCAUCUUGAAGAAAAUAUUAAUGGUCAAGGAACCAUUGUAGGCCCCCAAUAAAAUGGAGAUUGCCCCAGUGAAAGCAACCAAUAAUUCAGUGACUCUACCAACAAAUUACAUAAGAGUUGUGUAGCUAAAAUUAGGAAACUGCUCUGGAAGAAAGUUAAGCGUACCUUUGCUUUCCACAGCCUUAUUUUGACUCCUGACAUUCAUCAAAUCAUCAGCCAUUAUCUCAUCGGGGUCAAUAUUUGAGUUUUGAUAUCUUUUAUUUUUUUCAUGAAAAUCAAAAAUCUUGGGGAUUGGAAGCAAGGCUUCUUCAGCAUUUGCACGGUCUAAAGCAGUAACUGUCAAAUAAUUAAACAAGUAUUUAGUGAUCCAUAUAAAAUGUAGAACAAAAAUUAAAAAUUUUCACAUGGGACUAUAGGGAUAAAUGUAAAAAUUUCCAUUUCUUUUUACCAUCCAUACAACAACUAUUUGAUAUUUCAAAAAAAAAUACGAAAACUUUCAGACUAACAAACCAUAAACAUCAAAUCAAGCCAAAAUUGUAAAGAGAAGACUUGGAGAACACUGAGAAAAACCAUUCCUGAGGACACAUGGAUGAAACAUUAUAAAAGACAAAAAAUAAAAUAAAAUAAAAAUUAAACAAUCAAAUGAUCUAAUUGUAUGCAUCAAAAUCAACUCUGGGAAAAUGUCGGUUGGGGGGACUUUCUUACGCGUGGAAAAAUGGAGCCCCGAAACGGGGUGUGUGAUGGAAGGGGAAGCUAGAAGCGAGGCUUGGGUGAGGAUAGUGGGGUUACCGGUCUCGUUAUGGGACUGGGACAUUCUGAGAAGAGUAGGGGAGGAAUGUGGGGGAUUCUUGGCAGUCGACACGCAAACGGAGAAGCUGGAGGAGUUGCAGUGGGCCCGGAUACUGGUGAAGGUAAACGGUGACGAGCUUCCUAAUGCGGUGGAAAUUUGGGUUGAUGAGAGGUGCUAUGUGCUAACCCUGUGGUGGGAAGUCAGACCGCUUCUGAGGAUUUUUCCGACUGAAAAAAGCGGGAAGAGAGCUGUGGUAGAUGUCGACAUUGGGGGUGAGGCAGAUACACGCGCGGGGAAGCGCGUGGUGGAGGAGGGUAACGACACGAGGCUCGAGGUCAUGAUUCAGUCUGCAGAUGGGAUGCAGAGUCAGACGUAUGGGUCAGGGCGUCCUAUGGGCUCUAUUCGGAGCCAUGAUGGGGUGUUGGGCCGGACCCGUGGAGGCAGGCCAUUGCUGGGUGGCUCCCCCAAGAAGGGCCCAGUUGAGGUCCCUCUCCCUAGUCUAGAAGUGGAUUUAGCUUUUGGUUCUUUUGGGCCGUGUCUUAAUGGGCUGUGCACAAGGAAGGAUUCUGGGCAGACCAAGGAUAAUGGAUUAAAUGAGGAGCCUGGGCUGGUAAGGGUUCAGCCCCAUUCAGUGCCAGUGGGCAAAGCCCAAGUGGGAGAGGCCACUUCUUCAAAGAGACUAGAUCCAAACUGCUUGGGAUGGCCAAAAUCAGAGUCUUCCAUUUUCUGGGAGAAGGAUGGCUUAAGAAAGCAAUUUGAAAUAGAAAUCCAAGUUGUGGAGAAAUCAAAGACUGAUCUUGCCCUAAUUGAGGAAGCUUCGAGGUAUGGGAAUGCUUUUAAUCUUAAAGGAGCAUUAGUCUCUGGAUUCUCUUCCCCUUUCUCUUUUUUUCAUGGUCGGACUCCUGAAAGGGAGUAUUACGACUAUUCUGGGACCGUGUGUGAGACCGUCCAGGGGGAAACGCCGUUAUGUAUGCUCAAUGCUUCGGGCUUCACGGAGGGUAAAACCGUUACUCAGUGGGAGCUGGUGGAGGCAAACAACGGUUGCAGUGAAGUAAGCAGAGCGGAAUUGAGACCAGAUCAAUCUAAGCCUCAAGAAGGUAGAGAUUGGGAGGAGGCCAGUUGGGAGGAGAGUGAUUUGGCUAGGUUCAGCAAUUUCUUGGGGUUCUCCACAGAGGGACUGGAGAAGGAUAUCAUGGACUUUCUGGUUAAAAUUAGAAAGAGAAGGGAAAGAAUCCAUAGUAAAUCUUUGUUGGAAAAAUCUAAAUUUGAGAGGGAGUUAAGAAGACUAGAGUGUUCUAUCAACUACGAAGGAGGGAAAAGACAGAUUGGUGGUAGGCAAGGAAGAGGGUGUCAAAUCUUAGAAGUCCUAUGAAGUUAAGACUAUUGAGUUGGAAUGUCCGUGGAGCUAAUGAUAGUUCCAAAAGGAAGGUGAUUAAGGCCCUGAUUAGAAGCCAGCGGGUGGAUGUGUUCUGCCUCCAAGAAACAAAAAUUCAAGCUAUGUCGGAGGGUGUGAUGAGAAGCUUGGGUAUGGGUAGGUUCCUAGGUUGGGGGGCCUUAGAAGUUUCAGGCUCUGCAGGAGGGAUUUUGGUAUGUUGGGAUAAAAGGACGUUGGAUGUGCUCGAUGUGGAGGUGGGCCAAUUCUCAAUUUCCUGUAGAGUCAGGAAUGUAGAAGAUGGUCUAAUUUGGAUGUUCACAGGAGUGUAUGGACCUUUCUCUAGAGAGGAAAGGGAUUGUUUGUGGGAGGAGCUAGGAGCGAUUAGAGGUCUUUGGGAUGUUCCUUGGUGCUUAGGGGGGGACUUCAAUAUUACCCUCUUUCAAGGGGAAAGAAGCAGGCAAGGAAGGAUUACUGGGGCGAUGAGAAGAUUCGCCCAGAUGGUGGACGAGCUUGAGCUGAUUGACCUUCCUUUGCAAGGGGGGAGGUGUACUUGGAAUGGGGGUAGGGAGAGUCAGUCGUGGGCUAGGCUCGACAGAUUCUUGGUGACCCAGAAUUGGCUUGAUCAUUUCAGUGGGGUGAUUCAGAGCAGGCUGCCAAGACCCACUUCAGACCACUUUCCCAUUUUGCUGGAGUGCGGAGGUCUUAGGAGGGGUCCCUCCCCGUUUAGGUUCGAAAAUAUGUGGCUUAAAGUUGUUGGGUUUAAGAACUUGCUUCGGGGGUGGUGGCAGGAGACUGUGGUGAGAGGGAAUGCCAGCUUCAGACUGGCCUCAAAGUUGAAGGAGUUGAAGAAGAAGAUCAAAGUGUGGAAUAGGGAUGUAUUUGGUCGGUUGGAAGUUAACAAAAACUUAGCUCUCCAUCAAGUAGAGCACUGGGAUGGGGUGGAAAAUGAGAGGAUCCUUUCAGAGAGGGAGACAGAGCUAAAGAAAGAAGCCAAGGAAACCUAUCAGAAGUGGGUGUUGCUGGAAGAACUCCAUUGGAGGCAACUGUCCAGGGAACUUUGGUUAAAGGAAGGGGAUAAGAACACAGGCUACUUCCAUCGAAUGGCAAACGCACACCAAAGAAAUAAUACAUUGGACAGAAUCAAGAUUAAUGGGGUAUGGCUGUCGGAGGAGCAGGAGGUGAAGGAGGGGAUUGUCAAUGCCUUUCAGCAGCUUCUCUCAGAAGAGUCAGGCUGGAAAGCUGACAUAGAGGGGUUGCAUCUAAGUCAUUUAAGUAGUCAAGAAGCUGGAAAUUUGGAGUUACCUUUCUCUGAAGAUGAAAUACAUUCUGCCUUGAUGGAUAUGGAUGGGGACAAAGCCCCAGGCCCGGAUGGGUUUACAGUAGCUUUUUGGCAAGAAUGCUGGGACUUUGUGAAGGAGGAGAUCCUGGAGUUAUUCAAGGAAUUUUAUGACCAAAGAUCUUUUGCAAAGAGCUUGAAUACAACGUUUCUGGUUCUUAUUCCAAAGAAAGGAGGCGCCGAGGAUUUGGGUGACUUUAGGCCGAUCAGCCUAUUAGGGGGAUUGUACAAGCUUUUGGCUAAGGUGUUGGCAAAUAGGCUGAAGAAGGUCCUAGGAAGGGUGGUUUCCUUGGACCAAAAUGCGUUUGUGAAGGGGAGACAAAUAUUGGACGCUUCGCUUAUAGCUAACGAGGUGAUUGAUACUUGGCAAAAACGCAAGGAGAAAGGGUUGAUUUGUAAACUGGACAUUGAAAAAGCCUAUGACAGCAUAAAUUGGGAUUUUCUUAUGAAGAUUCUGUGUAAAUUGGGCUUUGGGUCUAGGUGGAUGGAGUGGAUCUGGUGGUGCAUUUCAACUGCCAAAUUCUCUGUUCUUGUUAAUGGAGUGCCAACAGGCUUCUUUUCAAGCACCAAGGGGUUGCGUCAGGGAGACCCCCUUUCUCCUUACCUUUUUGUCUUGGGUAUGGAAGUGCUUAGUGCACUUUUAAGAAGGGCUGCUGUCGGGGGUUUCUUUUCAGGCUGCAGAUUUUGGGGGAGGAGCAGGAUGGAGUUAAAUGUCUCUCAUUUGCUUUUUGCGGAUGACACAAUUAUUUUUUGUGAAGCAAGGAAAGAAAACAUGACUUUUCUAAGCUGGAUUCUGGCUUGGUUCGAGGCUGCGUCUGGGUUAAGGAUAAAUUUAGCCAAAAGUGAGUUAAUUCCAGUUGGCGAGGUGGAAGAGAUUGAGGAGAUGGCCGUGGAGCUAGGUUGUAGGGUGGGGUAUUUGCCCAAUGUGUAUUUGGGGCUGCCGUUAAGGGCUUCCCACAAGGCUUCCUCGAUGUGGGAUGGGGUGGAGGAGAAAAUGAGGAGAAGAUUAGCCUUGUGGAAAAGGCAAUAUAUUUCCAAAGACGGGAGGGUUACCCUCAUUAAGAGCACACUGGCCAGCAUGCCAAUUUACCAAUUGUCCCUCUUUCGAAUGCCCAAGAUGGUGGCAAGAAGGCUCGAAAAGCUACAAAGAGACUUCCUUUGGGGAGGGGGAAGCUUGGAAAGGAAAGUUCACUUAAUUAAUUGGGAGGUGGUGUGUGCUCAAAAGGAGAAGGGGGGUCUUGGCAUUAGGAGGAUUGCCCUUUUGAAUAAGGUUUUGCUGGGAAAAUGGUUAUGGAGGUUUGCCUUUGAAAAGGAUAAGCUUUGGAAGAAGGUGAUUAUGGAGAAGUUUGGUCAAGAGGGCCUUGGUUGGAGGACUAAUGAGGCUCGUGGGACGUUUGGAGUGGGAGUUUGGAAGGAGAUUCUGAAGGAGGCUGAUUGGUGUUGGGAUAACAUAGAGUUCAAGGUGGGUAAAGGGACCAAAGUUAGGUUCUGGACUGACCAUUGGUGCGGCAAUGCAGCGCUGUCUCAAAUUUUCCCCCUUUUAUUCGAAUUGGCAGCUCAUAGGAAUGCAACGGUUAAUGAAGUUUGGGACCCUAAUUUUGGCCAAGGAAGUUGGAACAUCAGUUUCUCUAGAGACUUUAAUGAUUGGGAGGUGGAUUUGGUAGGUAAUUUGCUGUCUAUGCUAAGGGACUACAAAAUUUCUUCAGAGGAGGAUUCGGUUUUCUGGAAAGGUGGGGGAAGUGGCAUUUUUAGGGUUAAGGAGGCUUACAAUCUGCUUGUUGAUUCAAAUGAUAUUGUAUUUCCGAAAAAGUGCAUUUGGGUGGACAAGGUCCCAACUAAAGUUGUGUUUUUUGCUUGGGAGGUCACGUGGGGGAAGGUUCUAACCCUGGAUAGGCUUCAAAAUAAGGGGGUGGCAGCUCCCUAACCGAUGUUUUUUGUGUGGGUGUGAAGAAGAAACUGUAAAUCACAUUCUUCUACAUUGUACAGUGAUCCGGGUUCUUUGGGAGAUUGUCCUAGUCUUGUUUGGCAUUCAGUGGGUGUUUCCAUAAACGAUUAAAGAUAUGCUUUUCAGUUGGAGGGGUUCUUUUGUGGGGAAAAAAAGGAAAAAGACUUGGAUUUCCAUCCCGUUGUGUAUUUUUUGGACGGUUUGGAAGGAAAAGAAUAGAUUAGCUUUUAGGGGGGGAUUCUUAUCUAUACAGAAACUCAAAAAUUCUUUUGUAUGUAAUCUGUGGAGUUGGGCUAGGGUGUAUAUUGGAGAGGAGUCCUCUUCACUCUUAGGUUUUCUAGAGUGGCUAGCGUCCACUUGAGGGUAGGUGUGGUUGUGGGCUUCUUCUGGUUUUUGGGUUUGGCUGCUUUGUAUACGUCCUGUAUGCUGUGUGGCUUUUUGCCUUUUUAAUCUAAUAUCUGCUUACUUAUCAAAAAAAAAAAAAUCAAACAAAUACUAAAAAUAAGAAGAUUUCACAGGAGUUGAUGGCUCCCACCUAAAGAAUCUCCAUGCCAAAGAUUAAGAUUGCCCUUUUUCACCCAUCUUUGAUAUUUUUAUGGAACCAUAAAAGAUAAGGAAAAUGGUCAAAGAAAUGGGCAGCAAGAGACCACUACCAUCCAGGUGUAUCAAGUUUGAUCAGAAGCAAAUCAUUUUUGUAUAAAACCUAGUUUAUUCUAUGAAAGAAAAACUUCAUUGUAAAUAAAAUAUGAAUUUCCAAAACUUUUGUACAGGUUUCUAAGACAUUAGGAUCCAUACUGUAGUGUUCAACUAAUUAAAACAGAGUCAAUAGUAAAAAUUUUGAUCAAGCCUUACCUCCAUCUUUCACACCAAGCCCUUUCUUAGAUUUAUGAGACUGGUCCAUUGGUAGAAGGAUACCAUCCUGGGAGAUGUUUAUCUUGAUGUCUGUGCCAGAAUGCACUAUGACUUUCUGAAAUGACGGCUUUACUAGUGAACCAUAGGCAACAAAUACAUCACCUGAUGCAGGUUUGACAACACCUUGUAAUUUCGCAGCAAAUAUUGUAGGCAAUGAACCCUUGUGAUUCUUAGAGAAGUUGUCUUCAAGAGAUACUGAAACUUUUGUGGGCUUUGUAUUACGUAAGUCCUCCAUAUUCUUUGCAUACCAAAAAUAACAAACACCAAUUUCAGAAAUAGCCAAGACAUAUAAGCCUGACUUAUCUGUAUCCCCAUUGUCAAUGCACCUGCUAUCUAGGAAGACAGCAGGGUGCUCCAUUGCAAGAACACAGCUGGCUGACUGUUUUUUGCUACCAUCAAUUCUCCAAACUGCAAUAUAUCUCUCACCAAUAGCAGAUGAUAGGAUGUACUCCCCAUCAUCAGUAAAGAUCAUACAGCGAACAGCUCCCUGUUAAUGAGUGAAGAGAUAAUUUACUCAACUAUGAACAGAAAAUAAAAAAGAUAACCAGUUUACUCCACACAUCAGGUUGAUUGUUUUGAAUGAGAUGAAAUAGGAGUAAACUUGAUAAGAAAUAUAAAAACUGAAUAGGACUCACAGGAUGACCAGAAAACUUCUGUAUCUUCUUGUGAUCAGAAGAAUUGAGGAUCUUUAAUUGAGCAGCUGCAGUCGCCAAUACCUUUCCAUCUGAGGUGGACAAAUUCCCAUCCAAGUGGCAUUAUCAUAAAAAGAAGAGUAAUCAGCAUACUGAAAAAUCUUGCAUUCUGGUUUCCAGCAUAGACAAUUUCCUGUCUUCCCAGUGGCUUUUAAUGCUUUAUUCUUGUAAUAUUAGUAAAUUGUCCAUUUUGUGUAUUCAUUUAAUAGUAACCAUAGAGCCAUCUUCAAGACAUGAGCUCCAUCAUUCCACAUGACAUUCUUCAUAAAAUUUUUUUUUUUUUUUUAUCAGUGACAUUCUUCAUAAAAUAUUUAAUUCAGUUGACAAUCAAACACUAAUUUACCAUCGAAUAAUGUGUUUGCUUCUACAUAAAAUAAAGCAACAGCAACUCAAAAGCUAAGGGCAAAGACCUGACGAAACAGACAUAGAUGAUAUUGCCUUUGUAGAAGCUCUAAACUUCCCCAAUAGGUUUCCUGCACUGGAAUCGAUUUUGGAAAUCAUCCCAUCAGCUCCAGCAGCAUAAAUGCAUGAACCAUCAGUAGAACAUGAAAUAGCACUAACACCCCUGCACAUUGUAGAAGCAAAUCCGGUUGAUCAGGCAUUCCAAGUGUAAAUGCUGUGUUUUAACAUUAUGAAUAUUCAGCCCGCAUCAUCCAUUUAAUUAAUAGAGUUUGUCCAUUAAAUUCUCAGAGUGAGAGAGAGAGCGAGAGAGAGAGACCAGCAUGCUACAAAUGGCAUUCCAUCACCUAAAACACAAUAAACUUUUUUGGUCUCACCAUCCGGUCACAGCAAUAUAAUUUGAAUUGAAUAGUAAUGGCUUAACUCAAUUCCUCAUUUUCUACCAUGUCUUCUAUGUACUUUAGACAGAAAAUGUGCAUUAGUAUAUCACAUCACUGUAUCUAAUUUAAGAAUCAAUCAUAAGAAGGAAUUUGAUGCAAUUCAAAUUGCAGAUAAAUAAAUGAGAUUAUAGAUAUUAGAAGAACAAAAAAGUUUUGAAAAACAAGGUUCAUCCUUUGGUCCUAAUAAUACUUGCUAUUUUUUUUUUUUAUAAGUAAACACAAAAAAUAUAUAUAUAUUAGAAGAAAGGGCGCCUUAAGGUUGACCCAAAGCAUACAGGGGCAUACAAGAGGCGCCAAAAAGCAAAAACAAAAAGAAGAGGAGAUACAAAAUAUUACCAGUCCUCAUCUAGAACCCAACCAAUCAAAAAGGUUGAUUAAAGGAAGAGGUCCUUCAUCUAUAAUCAACUUAGUCCAAAACCAAAAAUUACAUACAAAAGAAUUUUUCAUCCUAUGAAUUGAAAGCUCCUCAUUUUCAAAAGCAAUUAUAUUUCUUUCCUUCCAAACCACCCAAAAAAGACAUAAGGGGGCUGUCAUCCGCACCUUACUACGCUUCUUGCCCAUGUUGAUACCAUGUCAACCAAGAAGGGUAUCUCUAACCAAAUAAGGAAGCACCCACAUCACUCCAAAAAGAGCAAACAAUAACUCCCAUAAAAUUCUUGCCUUGGUGCAAUGAAUUAGAAUAUGAUCAAUAAACUUUUCUUCCGCACAACAAAGGAAGCAUCUAUUAGCUAAAGUCCACCCCCUCUUUUUAAGUUGAUCCAAAGUUAACACCUUACCCCAAGAGGCUUCCCAAGCAAAAAAAACCACUUUAGUAGGAACACAAGGGCUCCAAAUGAUGUUCUUUGAAAACUGAAUAGCACUUCUUGAAUCUAGAGCACUAUAAAGAGAUUUUACAAAAAAAAAUCUCGUCCUUAGUCUCUUUCCACAGCACCCUAUCUUCCAAAUUAGGAUUAAGCCACCUUCUUUGUAUUGUCACUAGUAACUUCCCCACCUCCUCCACUUCCCAAUCAUUGAAAGGCCUAGAGAACCUAGGACUCCAACAGUCCAACCCCCUUCCACGCUCGUUGAGUCCCACAACUCCACUAACCAAGCCUCUUUAGAAGUUGUUAAGGCAUACAAAGAGGAUAAAGAAUCACAAAGAGCAAUGUUCUUGCACCAUUUGUCUUUCCAAAAUUUCACUCUUCUACCAUCCCCCACAAAAAAUACAACUUUGUUUUGCAAAAGAGACUCUUCCUUCUUGAUUUCCUUUCAAAAUCCCACACUAAACCCUUCCCUCACAUCCCUAGUACACCACCCUCCUUCUUCCUCCCCAAACUUCCUACUAACCAAGCCUCCUAAUAAUACUUGCUAUAUUGCAUUAAUUAGAAGGAAUCAAGGGUUAAUUAAGUAUGAAGCAUGAAAUUGUCUAGGAAAUUUGUGUCAAGAUAUGUUAGAAUGAAAGAAAGUUUGAAUAUUGCUCCACAGUAGGAUUGGUUUUUAUUCAUGGCAUAGGAUUUUUUUUCUUAGGCUAGGAUGGAUUGGGUUCAACUAGGCAAUAUUUACAAUAUGAUGAUGAUUUCCUUCAAGUGUUUUAGAAAUUCUAUCAAAGACAGGACUCUUUGGAGGAUAGCAUGUCUCUCCUUGUUGUGGAUUGUGAGGAGAGAGAGGAAUGCUAGGAUUUUCAAGGGUACUUUGAGGACGCCGGAGAUUAUGUGGGAUUCGCUUCAGUUCUAUGUUUCCUUUUGGGCUUAUUGUACAGACAUUUUUAAACCGUAUCCUUUGAGUGUAAUUCAACUUAGUUGGCUGUCGAUUUGAACACCCUAGGGUUGGGUCUACAAGUUCUAGGUUUGUCAUAUGUGUAUAAGCCUUUUGUCCUUUUUGUAUAGUCUUCCUUGUUUAGUAGAGGUUUACUCAGUUUUUGGUUAGGUUUGUACAUCAUGGGGAGGACUUAUCAUCCUUCUCAUGUUUUUCUCUUUUAAUACAAUUGUUUGCCUCUGUUCAAAAAAAAAUAUUGCUCCAACAGUCAGGUCUGGGAAUCAAGCCCUUCAGGAAGCUAUAAGAGGGAUAAAUACCGCAUCCAAACUCAAGUUAACUAACUGAAAGAAAACUCUAGCAACUUACAAAAAAUGUACCUUUACAUUUAAAAAUAAUGAAAAGAAAGAAAGCUGUUAGCAAGGAACUCACCCAGGAUGGCAGUCACCAAUUCUCCACUUCAACUCACCAGCAGAUACAUCAAGUGCUAAAACAUCACCGCUGCCUGUUCCUAGCACUAAUAAUGAACAUCGAAGCUUCCUUUUUUUCUGCCAAUCAUUAACAGAUGACAAAAUAAAGAUAUAGGUUACCAAUCCAAAAAUGUAAUGGCAAAGCAAUUCUUCAAUUAAAUUUUAAUUAAAACAACUAAACAAGGACCUUGCUGUCCAGAGACAACCACUUCAAGCAAGUAUAAUCAACUGAAAGGUGCCCUCUUUCAGGUUUGCUGUAUAAAUUAGUUGUGUCUGUUGAUAUGAUGUCUGCAAAUUCAGUCUGAACCUGACCCUUCAAAGUAUCCCAAAUCUGAACAGAGAAAAAAGUAAAAUUAUAAUCUACAUGAACCACUAAACAAACCACAGGUAACAACCUGUUUCCUCUUUCAACAAAUAUCCCUAUCAAUAUACUUAAACAUUCAUAUAUACAUUAAAAACUAAUAUAGAUUUUCAGAAAUAGCUUACCAACCGGAAGAGGGUUCAAACAAUAAACAAAGACAAAACAAUUCUAGCACUGAUCAUUAAAGAUCCAAAAGUAUAUCAAAUUUAGUAAAAAGAAACAGACCAAAACCUACAAAAUUAUUGUUAAACAAGUGAAAAACAAAACAUUAAAUUAUCUAUUAUCACUCUUGGAGACUGACAGUAUGAAAAUAAGUUCAAAUGCCUCAGAUUCCUUCAUCUCCAUUCUUAAUUCCUAGCCUCUUCAACAACCAAGUUUCAAGUACCUUAAUUCGUCCAUCUCCAGAACUGAUAGCAAAGAAGUCCAAAGAAGGGCUAAAGGUUGUUAAUAAAUCUCGGAUAUUCGAUGGGCCCAUGGUCCUGUAUCAAAAGAAUAAAUUAAAUGUCAAAGUCCUUACAAUUCAUAAUUUACAAAUUAGAAAUGAAAUUGUAGAUAUACGAGAGGUGUUCCAAGACGUUAUUAAGGGAGAUUGACUGUAACUGCCUAUUGAUAAAGAAACAAAACAACUUACCAUGACGAAAAUAAUAUAGCUCAAAAUCACAGUAGGAAGUGCCAAAAAAAGGUGGCAAUCCUAUGAAACAUAUGAUGAAGAAGAGAUAAAAAAAAUGUAUAAGAAAGUCACAGCAUUAAAAAUUUUAAAGCUCGCCAAUAUGUUGCCAAUCCAGUAAAUCAUUUCAUUAACUAAACUGAUUCAGCACUCAAGCUCUAAUAACCUUCGUUUGGUAGCGGAGAAAAUGGAAGAGAAGGAGGAAAAAAAUGCAAUAUCAUGCUAUCUGUUACUGAAUCAAGCCAAACAAUUCAGUUAAACUUGGCUAAACAGCAGUUUUAGCUUUCUCAGCCUGAGUAACGAAAAUUCAAGAUUUUAUCUCUUUUACUUUCCUGCAUUUUCUCAGCUUCCCGGUUUGUCUACGGACAAACUAGAGGAAAAUAAAAAGAAACUAAAACCAAAAACCAGGUAUUUUCAGUUGUUCUCCAUAAAAAGCAAACGAAAAAUCAACAGAACUAAAUCCUGAGAAAUUACCGAUCCGGAUCAGGCUGAAUUUCCGGUUCUCUUAGAAAAUCUUAUAUAGCAGUUCCAAUAAGGGACCGUCGUGCAUCAUCAUACUAAUUUUCCUCCGUUUUUCAGCAACCAAACAGAGGAUAAACUUGUUUUGAGGAGAUGAUGCACGCUUACCUGUUUUGGCGACCGGCGGCGGCGAGAAGCAAAGAAAAAGAGAGAACGAGAGAGGGGUUUUACCUGUUUUGGCGACCGGCAGCGGCGAGAAGCAAAGAAAAAGAGAGAACGAGAGUGGGGUUUUAGGAACGCAGCCGCGUAGCUGCUCUUUUCACAAGGGCCCCUUUUUUUUUCUUUUUCUUUUUUUCUUUUUUUUUUUUCAAUUUUAGGAUUUUUCAUUUUAGCCUCCAUAUUUGAGUGUAUUUAGAUUUGUGGAACCUGUUUUGGGGCUUUUUGUUAGGUACAAUUGAGAUGGGCUGAACCAAAAAGCCCGCCAGGAUGAACAACAUUAAUGGGCCUGAAUUUUAAACCUGUGGAUGGGCUUUGUACUGGAUUCAGCUGUCUGAGCCCAAUGAGUGUUGAAUGUGUUUCUAUAUAAAAUUAAAUUUUUAACAUUGAAAUAUAAGGACUUACUUAAAAACACAUUUGGUAACUCUAUUUUUUUUGGUUAAUAAUGGACUUUAAGAAAAAUAUAUUAUUUUUUAGAAUAAAUUUGAGGCAUGUUUAGGUAUUUUUUGUGGUAAAGAGUUUUGAGAAACAAUGGGAAANNNNNNNNNNNNNNNNNNNNNNNNNNNNNNNNNNNNNNNNNNNNNNNNNNNNNNNNNNNNNNNNNNNNNNNNNNNNNNNNNNNNNNNNNNNNNNNNNNNNUACUUACACGAGGCUUUCAUGAAAAAUAAAUCAAUAAAAACAAUUUUCAUAUUUGAAUUUUGAAACAUAAAACAACUCAGAACUGUUUUUAAAAAUUGUUCUUAAAAAUAGUUUUUUAUUAAGUCACCUUCAAGGAAGCUUUUAUCUUUUAUUUUUCUAUGUUUCAUCCUUGCAUAAAGGGAGUAUAAAGACGUAAGUUAAUCUAAUUAACAAAUAUAGAUAAUCAUCCGAUAAAUGAGUAAAUUAGGUGAUGAUCUCUUUAUAUAUGCAAGUAAUGAAUGUGAUGAAAAAUGAAAAAAAAAUAAGGGGAGAGAUGUUGUAAAUAAAGCGUUUUUAUUGUGGUUCAACUACCUAUCCACUUCCACACCUUGAUAGAUUUCACAAUUUUAAAAGUUUUCUUAAUCAUUAUUCUCCUUAUUAUUCUUUAAGUUUGGAUUUCUUAAGUUUCAAUAGACUUUUACAAUCACUAAGGUGGUGUUUGUUUUUCACUUACUUCCAAAUAUAAGUUAAAACUAAAUAAUACUUAAUAAUAUCAAGUAUUAGGUUGUUUUUUUUUAUAACAUUUUAUUUCUAUAUAAUAUUAAAAAGUAAAGAAAAAUCAAUAUAUUAUUUUUUUCAUUAAAAAAAAGUCAAAUAUUUUGAUUUUUUUAAGCUAAAAAUUUAUAAUAAAAAAUAAAAAAUAAAAAUAAAAACAAAUAAACAAACAACUUAAAGUGUAAAAACAGAUUGUUUUCAACAAAAAUUUAAAAAAACAAACACCUUUUAAAUAAGAUUCCUUAACCACUCGUACAAUAGAUCCUUUAAACACAAAAUGUAAUGAAUGAAUACAACUCUGGUGAAAUGACUAAAGUGCUCACAAUGAAAAGAUAAACAAGUUUGGAUUCAAUAUAAUUUUGGGUUAUCUAAUUAAAAGGGUCAUUAAAAACCCAAUUUUGGAAAUAUAACCUUUCAUCAAUUUUUUACCUCAUUUUAACAAAAAUGCUCUUAUUAUUUUCUUAUAAAAAUAAUCAUUUCUUUUAAACCACACUAUAAAUAUUUCAAAUAGUCAAGGGCUUUUAUGUAAAAAAAAAAUGAAUUACUCUUCAAAUAAAAAUAUUGGAGGGAAUAAAUUCACAAAUAUGGGGUAUUUCAUCCCUUUUAACUAAUUAUUUCUAUAAUUUUAAGAGUUUAAGAAGGCUAGACAAAGACUAAUUAUUAGACACAUUUUGUAAAAACACUAAUUAUUAGACACAUUUUUCGCUCGACACUUUUUUUUUUUAUAAUCAAUGGAAGAUAGGAAUACAAUCUACUACUUUGGUCAAUUAAGCAAUCAUACAAUUGACUACAACCUAGUCAUUAGACAUUUUUUUUUUUAUAAUAAUUAAAAGACAUAAAUACAAUCGAUUACUUUGGUCAAUUAAUCAAUUAUUCAAGAAAUUUAGAAAAAUAUUGGAUAAAAGAUAUAUAUAACGGAUUAUUUCAAAUUGAAACUUAAGAUCAAAAAUCUUGCUUAUAAUGUUGAAAAAUCUUGUAAAACACAAGUUUUUAUCUUUGAAGUAAUCAAUUUCAUUUUUCACAAAAAAAUCAUUAAUAAUACAUGAAUGAAUUCUUUUAAAAAAUCUUAUAAAAAAUGUGAUUAUUUUUCAUUCCCAAAUACUUAGGUUCUAAAGGUCAAUUUUAAAGCAUACUUAUCCUUACUAUGCCUUACAAGAAAAACUAUUCUAUACAUAUGAUCUUGUAAAAAAGUGUAAAUAAAAAAAUAAUAAAAAGAAAAAAGAAAAAAAAAACCUCCCUUGUUUUCCUCUUUUGACCGGAUAUCAUUAUCAUACUUAAAAUUAAAUAUUUAAUCAAAAUAUUAUUUUACUAUCAUCAAAAUUUAGAUUUAACCAAACUUUAGGCUAGUAUGUUGAUAUGACAAGUUAAUUUUCUAUCUUAAAGUUUUAAAAACUUUUGAAAUUAAACAUUUUCUUACACAUUUAUUUUUAAAGUUUUUAGCAUAAAAUUUAAAAUUGAAGCUUUUAAAGGAAAACCUCAUAAUAUAAUAUACUAGAGAGACAUGGUCAAACAAAUAGAGACGAAGCCUCAAAAGGAAGGGGCAAUGGUUGAACCACUUGACAUUGUUGCCUACUACUAAGAUGGUGUAAGAAACAACAUAACCAAUGGAACAUAUGCACAUUAAACAUAGUACAAUUAUUAUAAAUGUCUUAUACAUUAUGUGUGAAAAUACGAAAUAAAUAAAUAAAAUUAUAUUCAACAUUUAUAUUUGUAUACAAACAAUAUUUUCCGAUAGUUUGAUAUAAAAAAACAAAUAAAAAAAAAUGAAGAAAAACAUAUAAAUAUAUUUUCAAUGGACAAACUUAUUCAAUUAGUAUAAAUAUCUUGUAUAUUUAAUACAUAUACCUUAUACUUUGUGAAAAUGCAAAAAUAUAGUAUUUGAUAUUUAUACAUGUGGGUAAGUAAUUUUUCUAAUGGUUUGAUUUAAAAAACAAAUAAUGAUAAUCAAGAAAAACAUGCAAAUAAAUUAGUGUGAAUGAUAAAGGGUGUUUUUUACCAUAAAUUUUCAUGGGCUUAGCAUCAAUUAUGCAUCUAUAGAUGUUAACCCAAUUAGCAUAAUGUGAAAACCCUUACACACAAUAUAUAAACCCUAUACUUGAAUUAGGAAGGACAAAAAAAAAAAAUAGUUAGAGCAUUUGGUACCAUCAAUGAUGACUUCACCUAAAAAAAAGGUUAAUGAACAUUAUGUUUUCACUGGAAGAGCAACUCUGGUAGGACAUAUGAAGUAAAUCAAUGCUCUUUUUUUAACGACGAAGUAGCGAAGUCAAGAUAAUAAGGUUUUACUAACAACAUUAAAGACACGAAUUCCCCAAUAUACUCCAAUUCAUAUUCAAUUGACAGAGCAAACCCAAGUCAACACAUAAGAUUGAUUAUUACUUGUGAUAAUUGAAACCCUAAUUAAAUAAUUAAUGACACAAAUAUAUACAUAAAAAAUAGGGACAUUUGUAUUUUGGACCUCAGGUGAGUCCAAAAAUUAAGGUUUGGUUAAUAUAACUUACAUAAUUGACGAAAAUGAUAUAAGUUAUCAAAAGACCAAAAUACUCAUUGACAUUUCACGUAAGCUUUUUUGGUCUUUAUUGCACCACUAUUCAUGCAACCAUAAUAAUUAUAUUUUAACCAUUUAGAUUUUUCAUUGUUUUUUAAAACUUUUUUUUAUAAAUAAUUGAAAAUUAGCAUUAUUUUCUAUUUUAAAUUAUAAAUAAAGAAAAAUUACGUUCAAAAACUAUUUUAAAAAAUGCUUUCUAAAAAAAUGGUAAUAUGAUUUUAUAUUUUUUAUAUUUUCUUUUAGAAAAAAAAUUUUAAUUAAAAAAUGAAAAAUAAUAAAAAUUGAAAACCUUGUUUAGUACUAUUUUUUAUAUGAAAAUAAUAAAAAGAAUUAAAUUUCAUUCAUUAAUUAUCCAUUAAAUUUUAUAUGAAAAAUUUUUAUAAGAGUAAAAAGAUUCAAUAUCUUUAAAAAAAAACAAAACAAAACAAAAAGUUAAAAAUGAGUAAUACUUAAUUGGGAAUAGAAAAGGGGAAAAAAUACAAAAAAAAAAAUUGAAAUUUACACUCACUAUGUGCCAGGCAGGGAUUAAGGUAGUUUAGGGAUUAAUGAAAGAUAAUAUCAUUUAACUUAAUUUUUACACUUUAUUUGGGUUUUGGGCUUAAAUGUGCAUAAUAUAUGAAUCUUUGGUCAAUUUUUGGGCCCAACUAGGCCCAAAACACAAUUCUCUCUAAAAAAAUAUUUAUUAAAUAAAUAAACUAAUAAAAAUCAUUUAAAGAGUUUCAUAACUUAGUGUGGAAGCUAUUAUAAGAAAAAAGUAUUAUAUAAUAUAGAGUCUAGUUUCAAAGUUUAAAUUUAAGUCUUAAGACAAAUUCACAUUCAAAACUAGGUUUUUAAGUUUGAAAAAUAGAUCUCUUAAACCAAUUAAACGGUAAAAAAAAAAAUUAAAAAGAAAAUUUCUCUAGCUGGUUUCUUCAUCUUGAAAACUAACGGAAAUAUAUAUCAAUAUUUGAUAUGAAAAUUCGUAACCUUAGAAACACAGAACAAAGAGAGUCUGAAGAGACUAUACCAUGAGAGCUUUUCCGAAAGGUUGGUAAAACAUCGUAAUCACCUUUGAGUCUUGCUGAGAAAACAAAGCUUAUUUGCUCGUAGACCAUCGUAGUGGUCGUCAUACCGUGUGAGGACCGGGGAAGCAUCUUUGCUCGUAGACCGGCUUUUGUAGUCUUUCUUUAACAAUUACAAGUUGUCAGGAUUCCCUUCAUCCUCCCAAAUAAUAUUGUUUUUGGUCUUGUUCUGGUUGCAUCUCCGUGGAAGGAAAGAAGAUGAAUCAAGUUCCUUUGUAAGUAUCAAUGUCUCUGAUUCAUUUUUUGGUUCCUAGAAUCGAAUCCUCGCUCUGUUCUUGCUUAAUUUCUCCUUUUUCUGUUGGGUCUUUCACUGCAGGUUUAGCUCUGCACGGGAACUGGCAAAUUUGGUGCUGAGCUCCAAUCUAAUCGACUGUGCUUUCACCAAAAUUCUUGAACUUAAGAGAGGCCAAACAGCCUUGCCUGUUCAAUACAGACUUUAUCAACUGUCUUCCAAGUGCACAAUUGUAGCUUUUGUCUCUUCACCUGACUGCACUCAAUACCCUCUUCCUGGACAAGGAGAUUUAGAUCGGUCUCCUCUCUUUGACUUCCUCCGUACCGAAGAAUACCCGUCCGUCUCCAUUAACAGAGCAGCAUUAGCCCUCUUUACCCCUCUCCAUGAUCAUCUCUCUGGACUAACAGAUGAGGUCAAAAUCUGAUACUUGUUUGAAUUUUCGUUUCCUUUUCGUUAACAAUUGUGAGACACGAAACAGCUUGACCAUGAGAUCUCCCUCAUGGAGUCGAACUACCUGAAGGAUAAGACGUCACACAUAUCCAUUUUCAUGGCAUCGUCACAUGACCCAUUGAUCGGUUGUGAUUCAACUCUUAAUAGGAACACAGUAGAACUGGUGUUGGUAUCUGUCUUUAGAUCAGCUUGCAUAUAUCUUGUCACUGAAAAAGGAAUGUUCAGAAGUGAGAUUAGUGGCAUUAUUCUGACAUGGAUUUCAUAUGGUUACUUGUUUUGCAGUUGACUCAGAUUGAAGGUCAGUUAAUCAUCACUGGGCACUCCCUGGGAGGAUCCGUUGCUUCUCUCUUCACCUUACGCCUGCUAGAUGGCAAUUUAUUAAAACCCAAAUGCCGCCCCUUUUGUAUCACCUUUGGUUCACCCCUUAUAGGCGACUUUGGCCUCCAACACUCCAUAUGGAAUUCUUUCUUCCUGCAUGUAGUGUCUAACCAAGACCCAGUCCCCGGACUCUUCCUCCCAUCCGGCAGAUCUCCGCUCACAUCCUCCCAUUCACAAACUACCGGUUACAAGCCCUUUGGGACAUAUCUCUUGUGCUCUGAACUUGGUUGUGCUUGUUUUGACAACCCUGAUUUAAUUUUGGGAUUGCUUAAAGUCAUAUCAUCAGAGGUUGCCGGAGGAUUGCAGGAUGUUGACUAUGGGGAGAUUUUAAGAAACCUCAAGGAGAGGGCAAUCUGCAAGGGACUGCCGCAGGUGGGUGAACGGUUUGCAGAUCCAUUUUCAGCUGGGAUCAUCAUGGAACUUGAGACAAUUGGAUUUAAUCAAACAAAGGUAAACAGCUUUCUCCCAUCUAAUGAUGUUAUGAAACAUGGUUUACACUACACCAAAUACUGCAAUAACUUCCCUAUUCAGAUUUAUCUUCUUGUUCUUUGGGAUCUUCCAUAACUCGUCUCAUUUUUAAAAUUCAUGGCAGCUGCUGCAGCAUAACAUUGAUAUCAAUGCUAUGAUAAGAACAAUGGAAGCGGAAACCAGAAGACUAAUCCAGAAAAAUAAAGUUUCCGAUGCCAAGAAACUGAAUGACAUAAAAAGAGACAUGGCCCAGCUAGAAUGGUAUAAGAAGAAAUCGGAAAUGGGUUACUACGAUUGCUUCAAAAACCAGGGGUCUAAAAGGGACCUCAACGUUGAACAGUUUAGGGGAAACCUCACAAUGUACUGGGAAGACAUGGUUGCACAAGUACAGAGGAAGCCCCAGGAGGAAGGAGCAACAUUUCGAACCCGUUGGUUCUAUGCAGGGACAGUUUAUAGGAGAAUGGUUGAACCACUGGACAUUGCUGCCUUCUAUAGAGAGGGUGGAACAGACUACAUAAACAAUGGAAGAUCUCUUCAUUACAAGCUGUUGCAGCAAUGGUAUGAAGAAGAUGUGAAACCCCCCUCUAGAGAUAAGCUUGAUUCCAAGAAGCAAAAGGUGUCUGGUAUCCUAACUGAGGAUUCUUUGUUUUGGGCACAUGUGGAGGAGGCCAUCUUGUCAUGCGAAUUGCUCAAGAGUAAAAACUGUACUCUUGAGCAGGGAAAAUCAUCAUGGGAUAAUCUAGUUAAGUUCGAGGAGUAUGUAAUGGAACAGAUUAACAACUAUGCAGCGUCCCCUGAGAUUUUCUUGCGGGAAAGCAGCUUCAUGAAAUGGUGGGGACUGUAUGAGGGCUACAUAGAUACUUGCAGUAAUUCCCAUGGGUCGCAAUUGAUCAACUUCAUGAAGAAACGUAGCUAUAUGAAGUAUGGUUAGAGGGGCAAUCCAGUUUGUGUGUUGUGUUUAUUGUUUUGUGAGCGUUCAAUGGAUAAAACUAGAAAGAGUGUGACCUUUUUCCCUUUUUCUUGGUUGCUGCCCAUAUUCUCAGCACUAUUUUCUUCCUUCUUUUCCUCUGUUUUUUUUGAUAGGAAAUGAAUAUUAUGAUGUUGCUGGGAUGCACUUNNNNNNNNNNNNNNNNNNNNNNNNNNNNNNNNNNNNNNNNNNNNNNNNNNNNNNNNNNNNNNNNNNNNNNNNNNNNNNNNNNNNNNNNNNNNNNNNNNNNAGGGGAAGAAAAACAUGUUUGUUUAGAUUCAACUCCACCAAAACUUGCAACAACUUCCCAUUGAAAAUUUCCUUUUAAGCUUCUGACUGACAUAAAACUAGAUAUGUUCCAGCUAGAACGGUACAAGAAAGAAAUCAAAAGAUGAGCACAAGUAGAGAGGAAGCCUCACCAGGAAGGGGCAGCUUUGCAAACCCUCUGGCUCUGUACAGGAACGAAUUAUAGAAAGAUGGUUGAACCACUUGACAUUGCUGCCUACCACAGAGAGGGUGGAAGACACUACAUAACCAAUGGAGGAUCUAAACAUUACACGCUAUUGGAGCAAUGAUGCAAUGAAGAGGAGAAGGGGGCUUUGUCUUCUCAUGCAAAUUGCUCUCAGAGCUCAGAACCUACUCCUGAAGGGAAAGAAUCAUCAUGGAGUGAUCUGGUUAAGUUUGAGGAUUUAUUUAUAUAAUUGAACUGAUUGGAAGCUAUGCAGUGUCGGCCCCCGCCCGAGCAGCUUCAUGAAACGGUGGAAAGAGUUGGAAGAAGUCAUAGAUACUUGCUAUAGGAGCUUCAUGAAGUAUGGAGAGGUGUGGCAUAGAUACUUGCAGUCUCUGAAUUUCCCAAAUCCAAUUUCAGAUUGUGUUUUUAGAUUCGUGGAACUUGUUUUCGGGCUUUUUGUUAGGUACAAUUGAGAUGGGCUGAACCGAAAGGCCCGCCAGGAUGAACAAUAUAAUGGGCCUGAAUUUUAAACCAGUGGAUGGGUUUUGUACUGGAUUCAGCUGUCUGAGCCCAAUGAGUAUUGAAUGUGUUUCUGUAUAAAAUUAAAUUUUUAACAUUGAAAUAUAAGGACUUACUUAAAAACACAUUUGGUAACUUUUUUUUUUUUUGGUUAAUAAUAAAUUUUUUUAAAAAAAAUUAAAAAUAUAUAAUUUUUUUAGAAUAAAUUUGAGGCAUGUUUAGGUAUUUUUUGUGGUAAAGAGUUUUGAGAAGCAAUGAGAAAUAUACAGAAUACUUUAAAAACUUUUGCAUAAGUAAGAUACUUACACGAGGCUUUUAUGAAAAAUAAAUCGAUAAAAACAAUUUUUAUAUUUGAAUUUCAAAACAUAAAACAACUUAGAACUGUUUUUAAAAACUGUUCUUAAAAAUAGUUUUCUAUUAACUCACAUUCAAGGAUGCUUUUAUCUUUUAUUUUUCUAUGUUUCAUCCUUGCAUAAAUGGAGUACAAAGUCGUAAGUUAAUCUAAUUAACAAAUAUAGAUAAUCAUCCGAUAAAUGAGUAAAUUAGGUGAUGAUCUCUUUAUAUAUGCAAGUAAUGGAAUGAAUGUGAUAAAAAAAUAAAAUAAAAAAGUAAGGGGAGAAAUGUUGUAAAUAAAAUGUUUUUAUUGUGGUUCAACGACCUAUCCACUUCCACACCUUGACAUAUUUCACAAUUUUAAAAGUUUUUUUAAUCAUGAUUCUCCUUAUUGUUCUUUAAGUCUGGAUUUCUUAAGUUUCAAUAGACUUUUACAAUCACUAAGAUGACGUUUGUUUUUUCACUUAAUUCUAAAUAUAAGUUAAAACUAAAUAAUAUUUAAUAAUAUCAAGUAUUAGGUUGUUUUUUUUAUAACAUUUUAUUUCUAUAUAAUAUUAAAAAGUAAAGAAAAAUCAGUAUGUUUUUUUUUUAUUUAAAAAAAGUCAAAUAUUUUGACUUUUUUUUAAGCUAAAAAUUUAUAAUAAAAAAUAAAAAAUAAACAAACAAACAAACAACUUGAAGUGUAAAAACAGAUUGUUUUCAAUAAAAAUUUUAAAAAAUAAACACCUUAUAAAUAAAAUUCCUUAACCACUCGUACAAUAGCUUCUUUAAGCACAAAAUGUAUUGAAGCGCUCACAAUGAAAAGAUAAACAAGUUUGGAUUUAAUAUAAUUUUGGGUUAUCUAAUUAAAAAGGUGUAGACCCCCGGAGGCAGACAGUUUUUUUAGUUAUUAUUAUUAUUUGUUUAUUUUUAAUUUUUCCUACCUUUUUCUUCCCAAGCCGCUCGACAUGAUGGGACUAAAGUGGGCUGGUUUUUGGGGCAGAGAGGGGACUCAAGUGGGCGUUUUUUUUUUUUUUUGGGCGGCAGAUGGGAUGGUGUACGGGGGAUGGCUUGUGGAGGAAGACUCAAAACAGGGGAAGGAAGCGAAAGAAAGGCAGGAAAAAAAGUGUUGGAGGACGGGGGGGAUACCUUGCUCAAGGAGAAAACUUUCAGGUAAAAUUUUCUGUGAACUCCAUGUUUCUUCGUUAUGACAUUAUUGUGCUCACUUCUUUUGUUGAUUCCAGGAUGUGAUUUGUUGGUCGGUUUGGAUGUCAUGGAUUAUUGGUUUAUUUUUGCUGAAUUUAUCCGUGUGCGGAGGUGCUCUGUUUGACUCUAUUCUGGUUUCCCUAACUCCUUCCAUAAGCACCUGAAUGUAUGAAUUCAUCCCUGAGCCCGAUUAUAUAAAAAUCAUGCUUUGUUCCCUGUGGUUUCUUCCCUCUGUUUGUUGCUCUAUUCCUUGUUGGUUGUGGGAAUGAGGUCAUCGAUGGCCAGGUUAUCGAAACUGGGGAAGUGACUUCGUGAACGGAUCACCUUCUAUGCACCCAUCUCAUCUUUCUCAUUCACUCAUCACGGCUACACUUCCAUGAUUACACCAUCCUCAGUCAAAUACAUAUCUCCAUACCCAUUUUUCACCUUUCCCGUACCUUCCUCACCUAUCCAUCACACCCAUCGUCAUAUCUAGUUCAUCACUAACCCAUUUUCCUCUCGCCAGCCGUGGUUAUGCUUCGUCCAUCUCAUGCAUACGAUCCCUCACUACUAUUCCUAUAUUCUCAUCCUUCCAAACUCCUCAACACAACACCUAACCCUCAUACCUGCACCCCGCCAUGCCCGCGCCUAGCUCACCCCCAUAGGAACCUCAAAGCCGUUCGCCUACUUGCAUGGGAGCCAUGCAUGCCGCCCCUCCCCGCGUCUUCCUGCACCGGCUAUGUGCGCGCCUGCACCAGCCACCAAUGGCGGCAGCGCCUUCUGGACGUCGCCAGGCCGCUGCCACCUGCUCCGGCAACGCGCGCGCCUGCACCAGCAGCCAUGGCGGCGGCACCUUCUGAACGUCACCAGACCGCCGCCACGGCUCCCCUCUUCCCCGCGCCGCCGCUGCUCCUCUUUUCCCCGCGCCGCCAUGGCUCUCCUCUUCAUCGUGCCGCCGGUGGAGUCUUCGCGGGUGGAGAGGCAAUUGGUGAAGAGAAGCUUUGCCCAUGAUGGUUUUUGGGCUUGGGUUUGAACUGGGAACCCAGGCCCAAGCCUAUGAAGAGAAGCCCAGGUUUAUGAAGGCUUUAAUUGCCUUGGGCUUGCCCAUUAAUAUCAUAUGGAUUGGGCUUGAUGAGGAUGGGGCUUAUUGGUGGAUUUGGGCUUGACUAGGUUUGGGCUUUAUUAGGGUUGCUGAUGGACUGGGUUUGGGCUCUAUUAUUAUUAUUAAUUCAACAUUUAAAAUACUAUUAUUAUCAUUGUUAUUAAUCAAACUUUUAAAAAUCUUAUUAUUACUAUUAUUAUUAUUACGUUUAUCAUUAUUAUUAUUUCUAUUCAACAUUUAAAAUAUUAUUAUCAUUAUUAUUAUUAAUUCAACAUUUAAAAUAUUAUUAUUAUCACUAUCAUUAAUCCAAACUUUCAAAACCCUAUAAUUAUUAUUACUAACCCAAAUUUCAAAAUCUAUUUAUUUAUUAUUAUUUAUUAUUAUCAUUAAUCCAAAUUUCAAAAUCUAUUUAUUAUUGUUAUCCUUAUCAUUAAACCCAACCUCCAAAAUCUCAUCAUUAUCAUUAUUAUUAAUUCAAACUUUCAACACCUAUUUAUUAUUAUUUAUUAUUAUCAUCAGUCCAAACCUCCAAGAUCUCAUCAUUAUUAUUAUAAUUAACUCAACUUUCAAAAUUUAUUUAUUAUUAUUAUCAUCAUUAAUCCAAGCUUUCAAAAAUCUCAUCAUUAUUGUUAUUAUUACCUCAACUUUCAAAAUCUUAUUUUUAUUAUUAUCAUUGAUUAAAACUUUCAAAACCUUAUUAUUAUUAUUAAUUCAAACUUUCUAACUUCCAAUUUCCAAGCCCAAUUUAUAAAAAUUCAACCUUCAAAUGAUACUCCAAAAUUCCGAUCUUUAAAACUCAAUUUCGAUUUCCGAAAAUUCUCAUACUCACUUUAAUCUAUUUAAUUAUUGUUAUUUUGAUUAUUUAUUUCAAAACCCCAUUUCAAAUCAAAUUCUCUAAAACUUCUGAUUCUCGAAUUAAAUUCCUAAUCCCAAAAAUUCUCAUGUUCGCACUAAAUUAUUUGAUCAUUGAUAUUUUAUUUAUUUAUUUAUUUCAAAACUCCAUUUUAAAUCAAAUUCUCUAAAACUUCUGAUUUCCGAAUUAAACUCCUAAUCCCAAAAAUUCUCAUGUUCUCAUUAAUUUAUUUAAUCAUUAGUAUUUUAUCUCCAUUUUAAAUCAACUCUUUAAAACUUCAGAUUUACAAAUUAAAUUCCUAAUCUUGAAAAUUCCCAUAUUCACAUUAAUUUAAUCACUAAUAGUUUGUUUAUUUAUCUUAAAAUUCUAUUUUAAACAAUUCUUUAAACUUUCUAACUUCUAAAUCUAAUUUCCAAUUUCAAAAAUUCCAGCAUUCCAUUCAUUUAUUUAAUCAUUAUUUUCGUCCUUAUUAUUAUUAGUCCAUUUAUUUACUUCAAAAUUUCAUUUUUAAACAUUUUUUUGAAUCCCAAUUUUCGAACUUAAUUUCCAAUUUCUAAAAUUCUAAUUUCCUUCAAGUUUGACAUCCCAAAAUUCCAACUCUUAAAUUUAAUUCUCAAGACUCCAAUCUUCAAAUAAUUUUCGAGACUCCAAUUUCCAAAUAAAUUUCAAAAAUUCAAUUUUCUCUCUAACAGUUUUAAUUCUCUUCGGGUUUCAAAUAAUCUUCGAUUUCUCUUGAUUUUAUAUAAACAUGAAUGCUAUUUUCAUAAUUCCAGAAUAAUGGGAUUUGUGAUAUUAAUUCCUGCAAAAAUGAAUGGGCUUUGGUGGGGGCCCAACAUACGUGCUUUCCUCAUGAUUGAUUGAUUGUUUGAUUGAUUUAAUUGCCAUGCGUGCUUGAUUUUAUUCUGCUCUAUGGCAUGCCCGAAAUUAUCCUUUAAUUGUGCACUAACCUCACUUUUUGAUAAGCGCAUUGUGGCUCGUCACCCAGGUACGUAUCUAUCCCCAUUCUGAUAUUUCCAUAUACAUGUUUUGAUUCUCCUAUGUGCAUGAUAGUUCCGGGUAUUCAUUGUUUUUCCUCAUCAAUUGCCAUGAUUGCUUCAUUUUAUUAGUAGAGACCCAUUUAGGGACUUAGAGGGGUGCUACGGUUCAUACCGUACCUUCCUGAUAAGUAACCUGACCCUCGGACCCGAUCCGGUUUUUCACAGACCACCUUUUCCAAAGUAAGGAGUCACACUUAGGGUUUUUCUUUCUUAUUUUGUUUACCCUUUUAAAAAUAAAACAAAAAUAAGUGGCGACUCCAAGUCAUUUUCUUAAACAAUAAAAAAUCAAAUUUUCAAAUAAAAAUCGAGUCCGCCAUUGAGUGGGAAACGCAUGAGCCGAAAUGCGGGGUCCACAAAAGGUCAUUGAAAACCCAAUUUUAGAAAUAUAACCCUUCAUCAUUUUUUUUAUCUCAUGUUAACAAAAAUGCUCUUAUUAUUUUCUUAUAAAAAUAAUCAUUUCUUUUAAAACACACUAUAAAUACUCCAAAUAGUCAGGGGCUUUUAUGUAUAAAAAAAUGAAUUACUCUUUAAAUAAAAAUAUUGGAGGGAAUAAAUUAACAAAUAUGAGGUAUUUCAUCCCUUUUAUCUAAUUAUUUCUAUAAUUUUAAGAGUUUAAGAAGGCUAGACAAAGACUAAUUAUUAGGCACAUUUUGUAAAAACACUAGUUAUUAGACACAUUUUUCGCUCAAUCAAUCAAUCACGGAGUUGACUAGACACUAAUUAUUGGACUUUUUUUUUUUUUUUUUUAUAAUAAGUGAAAGACAAGAAUACAAUCGACUACUUUGGUCAAUUAAACAAUCAUUCAGUUGACUAUAAACUAAUCUUUAGAUUUUUUUUUUUAUAAUAAUUGGAAGACAUGAAUACAAUCGAUUACUUUGAUUAAUUAAUCAAUUAUUCAAGAAAUUUAGAAAAAUAUUGGAUAAAAGAUAUAUAUAACGGAUUAUUUCAAAUUGAAACUUAAGAUUAUAAAUCUUACUUUUAAUGUUGAAAAAUCAUGUAAAACACAAGUUUUUAUCUUUGAAGUAAUCAAUUUCAUUUUUCACAAAAAAUCAUUAAUAAUGCAUGAAUGAAUUCUUUUAAAAAAUCUUAUAAAAAAUGUGAUUAUUUUUCAUUCCCAAAUACUUAGGUUCUAAAGAUCAAUUUUAAAGCAUACUUAUCCUUACUAUGCCUUACAAGAAAAUCUAUUCUAUACAUAUGAUCUUGUAAAAAAAUGUAAAUAAAAAAAUAAAAUAAAAUAAAAAGAAAAAAAAAAGCCUCUCUUGUUUUCCUCUUUUGACUGGAUAUCAUUACCAUACCUAAAAUUAAAUAUUUAAUUAAAAUAUUAUUUUACUAUCAUCAAAAUUUAGAUUUAACCAAACUUUAGGCUAGUAUGUUGAUACGAUAAGUUAAUUUUCUAUCUUAAAGUUUUAAAAACUUUUGAAAUUAAACAUUUUCUUACACAUUUAUUUUUAAAGUUUUUUAGCAUAAAAUUUAAAAUUGAAGCUUUUAAGGGAAAACCUCAUAAUAUAAUAUACUAGAAAGACAUGGUCAAACAAAUAGAGACGAAGCCUCAAAAGGAAGGGGCAAUGGUUGAACCACUUGACAUUGUUGCCUACUACUAAGAUGGUGUAAGAAACAACAUAACCAAUGGAACAUAUGCACAUUAAACAUUGUACAAUUAUUAUAAAUGUCUUAUACAUUAUGUGUGAAAAUACGAAAUAAAUAAAUAAAAUUAUAUUCAACAUUUAUAUUUGUAUACAAACAAUAUUUUCGAUAGUUUGAUAUAAAAAAACAAAUAAAAAAAUGAAGAAAAGCAUAUAAAUAUAUUUUCAAUGGACAAACUUAUUCAAUUAGUAUAAAUAUCUUGUAUAUUUAAUACAAAUACCUUAUACUUUGUGAAAAUGUAAAAAUAUAGUAUUUGAUAUUUAUAAAUGUGGGUAAGUAAUUUUUCUAAUGGUUUGAUUUAAAAAAAAAAUAAUGAGAAUCAAGAAAUACAUGCAAAUAAAUUAGUGUGAAUGAUAAAGGAUGUUUUUUUACCAUAAAUUUUCAUGGACUUAGCAUCAAUUAUGCAUCUAUAGAUGUUAACCCAAUUAGCAUAAUGUGAAAACCCUUACACACAAUAUAUAAACCCUAUACUUGAAUUAGGAAGGACAAAAAAAAAAUAGUUAGAGCAUUUGGUACCAUCAAUGAUGACUUCACCUAAAGAAAAGUUAAUGAACAUUAUGUUCUCAAUGGAAGAGCAACCCUAGUAGGACAUAUGGAGUAAAUUGAUGCUCUUCUUUCGACAACGAAGUAGCUAAGUCAUGAAAAUGGGGUUUUGCUAACAACAUUAAAUGCAAGAAUUCCCCAAUAUACUGCAAUUCAUAUUCAAUUCAUAGACUUUCAACUAACUACUCUCAAUAACGAGCAAACCCAAGUCAAUACAUAAGAUUGAUUAUUACUUAUGAUAAUUGAAACCAUAAUUAAUAAGACAUAUAUAUAUAUAUAUAUAUAUAUAUAUAUAUAUAUAUAUAUAUAUAUAUAUAUAUAUAUAUAUAUAUAUAUAUAUAUAUAUAUAAAAAAAAUAGAGACAAUUGUGUUUUGGAUCCAGGUGGAUCAAAAAAUAAGGUUUGGUUUAUAGAACUUACAUAAUUGAUGGAAAUGAUAUAAGUUAUCAAAAGACCAAAAUACUCAUUGACCUUUCACGUAAGUUUUUUUGGUCUUUAUUGUACCACUAUUCAUGCAACCAUAAUAAUUUUAUUUUAACUAUUUGGAUUUUUCAUUGUUUUUUAAAACUUUUUUUUUUAUAAAUAAUUGAAAAUCAACAUUAUUUUCUAUUUUAAAUUAUAAAUAAAGAAAAAUUACGUUCAAAAACUAUUUUAAAAAAUACUUUCUAAAAAAAUGGUAAUAUGAUUUAUAUUUUUUACAUUUUCUAUUAGAAAAAAAUAUUUAAUUAAAAAUGAAAAAUAAUUUUUAAAAAUAAAAAUUGAAAACCUUGUUUAGUACUAUUUUUUUAUAUGAAAAUAAUAAAAAUAAUUAAAUUUCAUUAAUUGAUUAUCCAUUAAAUUUUAUAUGAAAAUUUUUUAUAAGAGUAAAAAGAUUCAAUAUCUUUAAAAAAAGAAAAAAAAAACAAAACAAAACAAUAAGUUAGAAAUGAGUAAUACUUAAUUGGGAAUAGAAAAGGGGAAAAAAUUGAAAUUUACACUCAUUAUAUGCCUAUGUAGGGAUUAAAGGUAUUUUAGGGAUUAAUGAAGGAUAAUAUCCUUUAACUUAAUUUUUAUAAUUUAUUUGGGUCUUGACCUUAAAUGUGCAUGAUAUAUGGAUCUUUGGUCAAUUUUUGGGCCCAUUCGGGCCCAAAAUACAAUUCUCCCUACAAAAAUAUUUAUUAAAAUAAAUUAAUUAAUAAAAGCCAUUUAAAGAGUUUCAUAACUUAGUAUCGAAGCUAUUGUAAGAAAAAAGUAUUAUAUAAUGUAGGGUUUAGGUUCAAAGUCUACCUAAGAUUAAAUUUAAGUCUCGAGACAAAUUCACAUUCAAAACUAGGUUUUUAAGUUUGAAAAAUAGAUCCCUUAAACAAAUUAAAUGGUAAAAAAUAAUUACAAAGAAAAUUUCUCUAGCUGGUUUCUUCAUCUUGAAAACUAACGGAAACAUAUAUUAAUAUUUGGUAUGAAAAUUCGUAACCUUAGAAACACAGCUUUGAGUCUUGCUGAGAAAAACAAAGCUUAUUUGCUCGUAGACCAUCGUAGUGGUCGUCAUACCGUGUGAGGACCGGGGAAGCAUCUUUGCUCGUAGACCGGCUUUUGUAGUCUUUCUUUAACAAUUACAAGUUGUCAGGAUUCCCUUCAUCCUCCCAAAUAAUAUUGUUUUUGGUCUUGUUCUGGUUGCAUCUCCGUGGAAGGAAAGAAGAUGAAUCAAGUUCCUUUGUAAGUAUCAAUGUCUCUGAUUCAUUUUUUGGUUCCUAGAAUCGAAUCCUCGCUCUGUUCUUGCUUAAUUUCUCCUUUUUCUGUUGGGUCUUUCACUGCAGGUUUAGCUCUGCACGGGAACUGGCAAAUUUGGUGCUGAGCUCCAAUCUAAUCGACUGUGCUUUCACCAAAAUUCUUGAACUUAAGAGAGGCCAAACAGCCUUGCCUGUUCAAUACAGACUUUAUCAACUGUCUUCCAAGUGCACAAUUGUAGCUUUUGUCUCUUCACCUGACUGCACUCAAUACCCUCUUCCUGGACAAGGAGAUUUAGAUCGGUCUCCUCUCUUUGACUUCCUCCGUACCGAAGAAUACCCGUCCGUCUCCAUUAACAGAGCAGCAUUAGCCCUCUAUACCCCUCUCCAUGAUCAUCUCUCUGGACUAACAGAUGAGGUCAAAAUCUGAUACUUGUUUGAAUUUUCGUUUCCUUUUCGUUAACAAUUGUGAGACACGAAACAGCUUGACCAUGAGAUCUCCCUCAUGGAGUCGAACUACCUGAAGGAUAAGACGUCACACAUAUCCAUUUUCAUGGCAUCGUCACAUGACCCAUUGAUCGGUUGUGAUUCAACUCUUAAUAGGAACACAGUAGAACUGGUGUUGGUAUAUCUGUCUUUAGAUAAGCUUGCAUAUAUCUUGUCACUGAAAAAGGAAUGUUCAGAAGUGAGAUUAGUGGCAUUAUUCUGACAUGGAUUUCAUAUGGUUACUUGUUUUGCAGUUGACUCAGAUUGAAGGUCAGUUAAUCAUCACUGGGCACUCCCUGGGAGGAUCCGUUGCUUCUCUCUUCACCUUACGCCUGCUAGAUGGCAAUUUAUUAAAACCCAAAUGCCGCCCCUUUUGUAUCACCUUUGGUUCACCCCUCAUAGGCGACUUUGGCCUCCAACACUCCAUAUGGAAUUCUUUCUUCCUGCAUGUAGUGUCUAACCAAGACCCAGUCCCCGGACUCUUCCUCCCAUCCGGCAGAUCUCCGCCCACAUCCUCCCAUUCACAAACUACCGGUUACAAGCCCUUUGGGACAUAUCUCUUGUGCUCUGAACUUGGUUGUGCUUGUUUUGACAACCCUGAUUUAAUUUUGGGAUUGCUUAAAGUCAUAUCAUCAGAGGUUGCCGGAGGAUUGCAGGAUGUUGACUAUGGGGAGAUUUUAAGAAACCUCAAGGAGAGGGCAAUCUGCAAGGGACUGCCGCAGGUGGGUGAACGGUUUGCAGAUCCAUUUUCAGCUGGGAUCAUCAUGGAACUUGAGACAAUUGGAUUUAAUCAAACAAAGGUAAACAGCUUUCUCCCAUCUAAUGAUGUUAUGAAACAUGGUUUACACUACACCAAAUACUGCAAUAACUGCCCUAUUCAGAUUUAUCUUCUUGUUCUUUGGGAUCUUCCAUAACUAGUCUCAUUUUUAAAAUUCAUGGCAGUUGCUGCAGCAUAACAUUGAUAUCAACGCUAUGAUAAGAACAAUGGAAGCGGAAACCAGAAGCCUAAUCCAGAAAAAUAAAGCUUCCGAUGCCAAGAAACUGAAUGACAUAAAAAGAGACAUGGCCCAUCUAGAAUGGUAUAAGAAGAAAUCGGAAAUGGGUUACUACGAUUGCUUCAAAAAUCAGGGGUCUAAAAGGGACAUCAACGUUGAACAAUUUAGGGGAAACCUCACAAUGUACUGGGAAGACAUGGUUGCACAAGUACAGAGGAAGCCCCAGAAGGAAGGAGCAACAUUUCGAACCCGUUGGUUCUAUGCAGGGACAGUUUAUAGGAGAAUGGUUGAACCACUGGACAUUGCUGCCUUCUACAGAGAGGGUGGAACAGACUACAUAAACAAUGGAAGAUCUCUUCAUUACAAGCUGUUGCAGCAAUGGUAUGAAGAAGAUGUGAAACCCCCCUCUAGAGAUAAGCUUGAUUCCAAGAAGCAAAAGGUGUCUGGUAUCCUAACUGAGGAUUCUUUGUUUUGGGCACAUGUGGAGGAGGCCAUCUUGUCAUGCGAAUUGCUCAAGAGUCAAAACUGUACUCUUGAGCAGGGAAAAUCAUCAUGGGAUAAUCUGGUUAAGUUCGAGGAGUAUGUAAUGGAACAUAUUAACAACUAUGCAGCGUCCCCUGAGAUUUUCUCGAGGGAAAGCAGCUUCAUGAAAUGGUGGGGACUGUAUGAGGGCUACAUAGAUACUUGCAGUAAUUCCCAUGGGUCGCCAUUGAUCAACUUCAUGAAGAAACGUAGCUAUAUGAAGUAUGGUUAGAGGGGCAAUCCAGUUUGUGUGUUGUGUUUGUUGUUUUGUGAGCGUUCAAUGGAUAAAACUAGAAAGAGUGACCUUUUUCCCUUUUUCUUGGUUGCUGCCCAUAUUCUCAGCACUAUUUUCUUCCUUCUUUUCCUCUGUUUUUUUGUUAAGAAAUGAAUAUUAUGAUGUUGCUGGGAUGCACUUUCAUUGUUGUUCUAUUACAUUGUGUUUUAUUUAUAUCCUAAACAAAUAAAUCAAAACAAGAAAAUCAAAUAAGACUUAAAGAGUCUUUUCCUUCAAAAAAAAAAAUGGGGAAAAAGAAAAACAUUUUUGUUUAGAUUCAACUCCACCAAAACUUGCAACAACUUCCCAUUGAAAAAUUCCUUUUAAGCUUCUGAAUGAUAUAAAACCAGAUAUGUUCCAGCUAGAAUGGUACAAGAAAGAAAUCAAAAGAUGAGUACAGUGGGUUAUUAUGACAGCUUUAGAAACCUGGGGUGUAAAAGAGACAUUAAAAUGGAACCGAUGGGAAGACAUGGUAGAACACGUAGAGAGGAAGCCUCACCAGGAAGGGGCAGCUUUGCAAACCCUCUGGCUCUGUACAGGAACGAAUUAUAGAAAGAUGGUUGAACCACUUGACAUUGUUCCCUACCACAGAGAGGGUGGAAGACACUACAUAACAUUACACGCUAUUGGAGCAAUGAUGCAAUGAAGAGGAGAAGGGGGCUUUGUCUUCUCAUGCAAAUUGCUCUCAGAGCUCAGAACCUACUCCUGAAGGGAAAGAAUCAUCAUUGAGUGAUCUGGUUAAGUUUGAGGAUUUAUUUAUAUAAUUGAACUGAUUGGAAGCUAUGCAGUGUCGGCCCCCGCCCGAGCAGCUUCAUGAAACGGUGGAAAGAGUUGGAAGAAGUCAUAGAUACUUGCUAUAGGAGCUUCAUGAAGUAUGGAGAGGUGUGGCAUAGAUACUUGCAGUCUCUGAAUUUCCCAAAUCCAAUUUCAGAUUGUGUAUUUAGAUUCGUGGAACUUGUUUUCUUGCUUUUUGUUAGGUACAAUUGAGAUGGGCUGAACCGAAAGGCCCGCCAGGAUGAACAAUAUAAUGGGCCUGAAUUUUAAACCAGCGGAUGGGCUUUGUACUGGAUUCAGCUGUCUGAGCCCAAUGAGUAUUGAAUGUAUUUCUGUAUAAAAUUAAAUUUUUAACAUUGAAAUAUAAGGACUUACUUAAAAACACAUUUGGUAACUUUUUUUUUUUUAUGGUUAAUAAUAGAUUUAAAAAAAAAUUAAAAAUAUAUAAUUUUUUAGGAUAAAUUUGAGGCAUGUUUAGGUAUUUUUCGUGGUAAAGAGUUUUGAGAAGCAAUGGGAAAUAUACAGAAUACUUUAAAAACUUUUGCAUAAGUAAGAUACUUACACGAGGCUUUCAUGAAAAAUAAAUUGAUAAAAACAAUUCUCAUAUUUAAAUUUCGAAACAUAAAACAACUCAGAACUGUUUUUAAAAAUUGUUCUUAAAAAUAGUUUUCUAUUAAGUCACAUUCAAGGAUGCUUUUAUCUUUUAUUUUUCUAUGUUUCAUCCUUGCAUAAAUGGAGUACAAAGACAUAAGUUAAUCUAAUUAACAAAUAUAGAUAAUCAUCCGAUAAAAGAGUAAAUUAGGUGAUGAUCUCUUUAUAUAUGCAAGUAAUGGAAUGAAUGUGAUGAAAAAUAAAAUAAAAAAGUAAGGGGAGAAAUGUUGUAAAUAAAGUGUUUUUAUUGUAGUUCAACGACCUAUCCACUUCCGCACCUUGACAUAUUUCACAAUUUUAAAAGUUUUCUUAAUCAUGAUUCUCUUUAUUAUUCUUUAAGUCCGGAUUUCUUAUGUUUCAAUAGACUUUUACAAUCACUAAGAUAGUGUUUGUUUUUUCACUUAAUUCUAAAUAUAACUUAAAACUAAAUAAUAUUUAAUAAUAUCAGGAUUAGGUUGUUUUUUUUAUAACAUUUUAUUUCUAUAUAAUAUUAAAAAGUAAAGAAAAAUCAAUAUAUUAUUUUUUUCAUUUAAAAAAAGUCAAAUAUUUUGACUUUUUUUUAAGCUAAAAAUUUAUAAUAAAAAAUAAAAAACAAACAAACAAACAAACAACUUAAAGUGUAAAAAUAGAUUGUUUUCAAUAAAAAUUUAAAAAAAAACAAACACCUUCUAAAUAAAAUUCCUUAACCACUCGUUCAAUAGCUCCUUUAAGCACAAAAUGUAUUGAAGUGCUCACAAUGAAAAGAUAAACAAGUUUUGAUUCAAUAUAAUUUUGGGUUAUCUAAUUAAAAGGGUCAUUGAAAACCCAAUUUUAGAAAUAUAACCCUUCAUCAUUUUUUUAUCUCGUGUUAACAAAAAUGCUCUUAUUAUUUUCUUAUAAAAAUAAUCAUUUCUUUUAAAACACACUAUAAAUACUCCAAAUAGCCAAGGGCUUUUAUGUAAAAAAAAAUGAAUUACUCUUCAAAUAAAAAUAUUGGAGGGAAUAAAUUCACAAAUAUGAGGUAUUUCAUCCCUUUUAAAUAAUUAUUUCUAUAAUUUUAAGAGUUUAAGAAGGCUAGACAAAGACUAAUUAUUAGGCACAUUUUGUAAAAACACUAGUUAUUAGACACAUUUUUUGCUCAAUCAAGCAAUCACACAGUUGACUAAACACUAAUUAUUGGACUUUUUUUUUUUAUAAUAAGUGGAAGACAAGAAUACAAUCGACUACUUUGGUCAAUUAAGCAAUCAUUCAGUUGACUAUAAACUAGUCUUUAGACAUUUUUUUUUAUAAUAAUUGGAAGACAUGAAUACAAUCGAUUACUUUGGUCAAUUAAUCAAUUAUUCAAGAAAUUUAGAAAAAUAUUGGAUAAAAGAUAUAUAUAACGGAUUAUUUCAAAUUGAAACUUAAGAUCAUAAAUCUUACUUUUAAUGUUGAAAAAUCAUGUAAAACACAAGUUUUUAUCUUUGAAGUAAUCAAUUUCAUUUUUCACAAAAAAUCAUUAAUAAUACAUGAAUGAAUUCUUUUAAAAAAAUCUUAUAAAAAAUGUGAUUAUUUUUCAUUCCCAAAUAUUUAGGUUCUAAAGGUCAAUUUUAAAGCAUACUUAUCCUUACUAUGCCUUACAAGAAAAUCUAUUCUAUACAUAUGAUCUUGUAAAAAACUGUAAAUAAAAAAGAAAAAAAGAAAAAAAACCUCUCUUGUUUUCCUCUUUUGAUUGGAUAUCAUUAUCAUACUUAAAAUUAAAUAUUUAAUCAAAAUAUUAUUUUACUAUCAUCAAAAUUUAGAUUUAACCAAACUUUAGGCUAGUAUGUUGAUACGACAAGUUAAUUUUCUAUCUUAAAGUUUUAAAAACUUUUGAAAUUAAACAUUUUCUUACACAUUUAUUUUUAAAGUUUUUAGCAUAAAAUUUAAAAUUGAAGCUUUUAAAGGAAAACCUCAUAAUAUAAUAUACUAGAAAGACAUGGUCAAACAAAUAGAGACGAAGCCUCAAAAGGAAGGGGCAAUGGUUGAACCACUUGACAUUGUUGCCUACUACUAAGAUGGUGUAAGAAACAACAUAACCAAUGGAACAUAUGCACAUUAAACAUUGUACAAUUAUUAUAAAUGUCUUAUACAUUAUGUGUGAAAAUACCAAAAAAAAAGAAAAAUUAUAUUCAACAUUUACAUUUGUAUACAAACAAUGUUUUCGACAAUUUGAUAUAAAAAACAAAUAAAAAAAAUAAAGAAAAACAUACAAAUAUAUUUACAAUGGACAAACUUAUUCAAUUAGUAUAAAUAUCUUGUAUAUUUAAUACAAAUACCUUAUACUUUGUGAAAAUGUAAAAAUAUAGUAUUUAAUAUUUAUACAUGUGGGUAAGUAAUUUUUCUAAUGGUUUGAUUUAAAAAACAAAUAAUGAGAAUCAAGAAAAACAUGCAAAUAAAUUAGUGUGAAUGAUAAAGGGUGUUUUUUACCAUAAAUUUUCAUGGACUUAGCAUCAAUUAUGCAUCUAUAGAUGUUAACCCAAUUAGCAUAAUGUGAAAACCCUUGCACACAAUAUAUAAACCCUAUACUUGAAUUAGGAAGGACAAAAAAAAAAUAGUUAGAGCAAUUGGUACCAUCAAUGAUGACUUCACCUAAAGAAAGGUUAAUGAACAUUAUGUUCUCAACGGAGAGCAACUCUGGUAGAACAUAUGGAGUAAAUCAAUGCCCUUCUUUUAACGAUGAAGUAGCUAAGUCAUGAAAACAAGGUUUUGCUAACAACAUUAAAGGCAAGAAUUCCCCCAAUAUACUCCAAUUCAUAUUCAAUUCACAGACCUUCAACUAACUACUCUCAGUAACGAGCAAACCCAAGUCAAUACAUAAGAUUGAUUAUUACUUAUGAUAAUUGAAACCCUAAUUAAAUAAAUAAGGACACAAAUAUAUAUAUAUAUAUAUAGGGACAGUUGUGUUUUGGACCUAGGUGAACCCAAAAAUUAAGGUUUGGUUUAUAUAACUUACAUAAUUGAUGAAAAUGAUAUAAGAUAUCAAAAUAUCAAAAUACUCAUUGACCUUUCACAUAAGCUUUUUUGGUAUUUAUUGCACUACUAUUCAUUCAACCAUAAUAAUUCUAUUUUAACUAUUUGGAUUUUUCAUUGUUUUUUAAAACUUUUUAUUUAUAAAUAAUUGAAAAUCAACAUUAUUUUCUAUUUUAAAUUAUAAAUAAAGAAAAAUUACGUUCGAAAACUAUUUUAAAAAAUACUUUCUAAAAAAAAUGGUAAUAUGAUUUAUAUUUUUUAUAUUUUCUUUUAGAAAAAAAUAUUUAAUUAAAAAAUGAAAAAUAUUUUUAAAAAUAAAAAUUGGAAACCUUGUUUAGUACUAUUUUUUUUAUAUAAAAAUAAUAAAAAUAAUUAAAUUUCAUUUAUUGAUUAUCCAUUAAAUUUUAUAUGAAAAUUUUGUAUAAGAGUAAAAAGAUUCAAUAUCUUUAAAAAAAGAAAAAAAAAACAAAACAAAAAGUUAGAAAUGAGUAAUACUUAAUUGGGAAUAGAAAAUGGGAAAAAUUUUGAAAUUUACACUCACUAUAUGUCUACGUAGGGAUUAAGGGUAUUUUAGGGAUUAAUGAAGGAUAAUAUCUUUUAACUUAAUUUUUACAUUUUAUUUGGGUCUUGGGAUUAAAUGUACAUUAUAUAUGGAUCUUUGGUUAAUUUUUGGACCCAUCCGGACCCAAAACACAAUUCUCCAUAAAAAAAUAUUUAUUAAAAUAAAUAAAUUAAUAAAAACCAUUUAGAGAGUUUCAUAACUUAGGUGGUGUUUGUUUUUUUGGCUUUUUGGUGAAAACCAUUUAGUUUUAGAAUUUAGGUUGUUUGUUUUUUUACUUUUUCAUGACUUAUUAUAAACUUUUUACAAAAUAGAAAAAGCCAAAAUAUAUGACUUUUUCUAAAUAGAAAAAUAACACAAUGGUUUUUUUUACUUUUUAAUACUUAAUAGAAAUAAAAUAUUAUAAAAACAAACAACCUAAUAUUUAAUACUAUUAAGUAUUAAAGUUCUAUUUAGAAUUAAGUAAAAAAACAAACACCACCUAAGUGUCGAAGCUAUUGUAAGAAAAAAGUAUUAUAUAAUGUAGGGUUUAGGUUCAAAGUCUACCUAAGAUUAAAUUUAAGUCUUAAGACAAAUUCACAUUCAAAACUAGGUUUUUAAGUUAGAAAAAUAGACCCCUUAAACCAAUUAAAUGGUAAAAAAAAAUUACAAAGAAAAUUUCUCUAGCUGGUUUCUUCAUCUUGAAAACUAACGGAAACAUAUAUCAAUAUUUGGUAUGAAAAUUCGUAACCUUAGAAACACAGCUUUGAGUCUUGCUGAGAAAAACAAAGCUUAUUUGCUCGUAGACCAUCGUAGUGGUCGUCAUACCGUGUGAGGACCGGGGAAGCAUCUUUGCUCGUAGACCGGCUUUUGUAGUCUUUCUUUAACAAUUGCAAGUUGUCAGGAUUCCCUUCAUCCUCCUAUAUAAUAUUGUUUUUGGUCUUGUUCUGGUUGUAUCUCCGUGGAAGGAAGGAAGAUGAAUCAAGUUCCUUUGUAUGUAUCAAUGUCUCUGAUUCAUUUUUUGGUUCCUAGAAUCGAAUCCUCGCUCUGUUCUUGCUUAAUUUCUCCUUUUUCUGUUGGGUCUUUCACUGCAGGUUUAGCUCUGCACGGGAACUGGCAAAUUUGGUGCUGGCCUCCAAUCUAAUCGACUGUGCUUUCACCAAAAUUCUUGAACUUAAGAGAGGCCAAACAGCCUUGCCUGUUCAAUACAGACUUUAUCAACUGUCUUCCAAGUGCACAAUUGUAGCUUUUGUCUCUUCACCUGACUGCACUCAAUACCCUCUUCCUGGACAAGGAGAUUUAGAUCGGUCUCCUCUCUUUGACUUCCUCCGUACCGAAGAAUACCCGUCCGUCUCCAUUAACAGAGCAGCAUUAGACCUCUUUACCCCUCUCCAUGAUCAUCUCUCUGGACUAACAGAUGAGGUCAAAAUCUGAUACUUGUUUGAAUUUUCGUUUCCUUUUCGUUAACAAUUGUGAGACACGAAACAGCUUGACCAUGAGAUCUCCCUCAUGGAGUCGAACUACCUGAAGGAUAAGACGUCACACAUAUCCAUUUUCAUGGCAUCGUCACAUGACCCAUUGAUCGGUUGUGAUUCAACUCUUAAUAGGAAUACAGUAGAACCGGUGUUGGUAUCUGUCUUUAGAUCAGCUUGCAUAUAUCUUGUCACUGAAAAAGGAAUGUUCAGAAGUGAGAUUAGUGGCAUUAUUCUGACAUGGAUUUCAUAUGGUUACUUGUUUUGCAGUUGACUCGGAUUGAAGGUCAAUUAAUCAUCACUGGGCACUCCCUGGGAGGAUCCGUUGCUUCUCUCUUCACCUUACGCCUGCUAGACGGCAAUUUAUUAAAGCCCAAAUGCCAUCCCUUUUGUAUCACCUUUGGUUCACCCCUCAUAGGCGACUUUGGCCUCCAAGACUCCAAAUGGAAUUCUUUCUUCCUGCAUGUAGUGUCUAACCAAGACCCAGUCCCCGGACUCUUCCUCCCAUCCGGCAGAUCUCCGCCCACAUCCUCCCAUUCACAAACUACCGGUUACAAGCCCUUUGGGACAUAUCUCUUGUGCUCUGAACUUGGUUGUGCUUGUUUUGACAACCCUGAUUUAAUUUUGAGAUUGCUGAAAGUCAUAUCAUCAGAGGUUGCCGGAGGAUUGCAGGAUGUUGAUUAUGGGGAGAUUUUAAGAAACCUCAAGGAGAGGGCAAUCUGCAAGGGACUGCCGCAGGUGGGUGAACGGUUUGCAGAUCCAUUUUCAGCUGGGAUCAUCAUGGAACUUGAGACAAUUGGAUUUAAUCAAACAAAGGUAAACAGCUUUCUCCCAUCUAAUGAUGUUAUGAAACAUGGUUUACACUUCACCAUAUACUGCAAUAACUGCCCUAUUCAGAUUUAUCUUCUUGUUCUUUGGGAUCUUCCAUAACUCGUCUCAUUUUUAAAAUUCAUGCCAGCUGCUGCAGCAUAACAUUGAUAUCGACGCUAUGAUAAGAACAAUGGAAGAGGAAACCAGAAGCCUAAUCCAGAAAAAUAAAGCUUCCGAUGCCAAGAAACUGAAUGACAUAAAAAGAGACAUGGCCCAUCUAGAAUGGUAUAAGAAGAAAUCGGAAAUGGGUUACUACGAUUGCUUCAAAAACCAGGGGUCUAAAAGGGACAUCCACGUUGAACAGUUUAGGGUAAACCUCACAAAAUACUGGAAAGACAUGGUUGCACAAGUACAGAGGAAGCCCCAGAAGGAAGGAGCAACAUUUCGAACCCGUUGGCUCUAUGCAGGGACAGUUUAUAGGAGAAUGGUUGAACCACUGGACAUUGCUGCCUUCUACGGAGAGGGUAAAACAGACUACAUAAACAAGAAAAGAUCUCUUCAUUACCAGCUGUUGCAGCAAUGGUAUGAGGAAGAUGUGAAACCCCCCUCUAGAGAUAAGCUUGAUUCCAAGAAGCAAAAGGUGUCUGGUAUCCUAACUGAGGAUUCUUUGUUUUGGGCAUAUGUGGAGGAGGCCAUCUUGUCAUGCGAAUUGCUCAAGAGUCAAAACUGUACUCUUGAGCAGGGAAAAUCAUCAUGGGAUAAUCUGGUUAAGUUCGAGGAGUAUGUAAUGGAACAGAUUAACAACUAUGCAGCGUCCCCUGAGAUUUUCUCGAGGGAAAGCAGCUUCAUGAAAUGGUGGGGACUGUAUGAGGGCUACAUAGAUACUUGCAGUAAUUCCCAUGGGUCGCCAUUGAUCAACUUCAUGAAGGAUCGUAGGUAUAUACAGUAUGGACGUUAGAGGGGCAAUCCAGUUUGUGUGUUGUGUUUGUUGUUUUGUGAGCGUUCAAUGGAUAAAACUAGAAAGAGUGUGACCUUUUUCCCUUUUUCUUGGUUGCUGCCCAUAUUCUCAGCACUAUUUUCUUCCUUCUUUUCCUCAGUUUUUUUUGUUAAGAAAUGAAUAUUAUGAUGUUGCUGGGAUGCACUUUCAUUGUUGUUCUAUUAAAUUGUGUUUUAUUUAUAUCCUAAACAAAUAAAUGUAAACAAGAAAAUCAAAUAAGACUUCAAAGAGUCUUUUCCUUCAAAAAAAAAAAAAAUGGGGAAAAAGAAAAACAUUUUUGUUUAGAUUCAACUCCACCAAAACUUGCAACAACUUCCCAUUGAAAAAUUCCUUUUAAGCUCUGAAUGACAUAAAACUAGAUAUGUUCCAGCUAGAAUGGUACAAGAAAGAAAUCAACAGAUGAGAACAAUGGGUUAUUAUGACAGCUUCAGAAACCUGGGGUGUAAAAGAGACAUUAAAAUGGAACCGAUGGGAAGACAUGGUAAAACACGUAGAGAGGAAGCCUCACCAGGAAGGGGCAGCUUUGCAAACCCUCUGGCUCUGUACAGGAACGAAUUAUAGAAAGAUUGUUGAACCACUUGACAUUGCUGCCUACCACAGAGAGGGUGGAAGACACUACAUAACCAAUGGAGGAUCUAAACAUUACACGCUAUUGGAGCAAUGAUGCAAUGAAGAGGAGAAGGGGGCUUUGUCUUCUCAUGCAAAUUGCUCUCAGAGCUCAGAACCUACUCCUGAAGGGAAAGAAUCAUCAUGGAGUGAUCUGGUUAAGUUUGAGGAUUUAUUUAUAUAAUUGAACUGAUUGGAAGCUAUGCAGUGUCGGCCCCCACCCGAGCAGCUUCAUGAAACGGUGGAAAGAGUUGGAAGAAGUCAUAGAUACUUGCUAUAGGAGCUUCAUGAAGUAUGGAGAGGUAUGGCAUAGAUACUUGCAGUGUCUGAAUUUCCCAAAUCCAAUUUCAGAUUGUGUACUUAGAUUCGUGGAACUUGUUUUCUUGCUUUUUGUUAGGUACAAUUGAGAUGGGCUGAACCGCAAGGCCCGCCAGGAUGAACAAUAUAAUGGGCCUGAAUUUUAAACCAGUGGAUGGGCUUUGGACUGGAUUCAGCUGUCUGAGCCCAAUGAGUAUUGAAUGUGUUUCUGUAUAAAAUUAAAUUUUUAACAUUGAAAUAUAAGGACUUACUUAAAAACACAUUUGGUAACUUUUUUUUUUUGGUUAAUAAUAGAUUGUUUAAAAAAAAAUUAAAAAAAUAUUAUUUUUUAGAAUAAAUUUGAGGCAUGUUUAGGUAUUUUUCGUGGUAAAGAGUUUAGAAGCAAUGAGAAUAUAUAUAGAAUACUUUAAAACUUUUGCAUAAUACUUACUUACAUGAUGCUUUCAUAAAAAAUAAAUCAAUAAAAACAAUUUUCAUAGUUGAAUUUCAAAACAUAAAACAACUCAGAAUUGUUUUUAAGAAUUGUUCUUAGAAAUAGUUUUCUAUUAAGUCACAUUCAAGGAAUCGUUUUCAUAUAUGCAAGUAAUGGAAUGAAUGUGAUGAAAAAUAAAAAAUAAAAAGUAAGGGGAAAGAUAUUGUAAAUAAAGUGUUUUUAUCGUGGUUCAAUGACCUAUCCACUUCCACACCUUGAUGUAUUUCACAAUUUUAAAAGUUUUCUUAAUCAUGAUUCUCCUUAUUAUUCUUUAUGUCGAGAUUUUUUAAGUUUUAAUAGACUUUUUCAAUCACUAAGGUGGUGUUUGCUUUUUCACUUAAUUUUAAAUAUAACUUAAAACUAAAUAAUACUUAAUAGUAUCAACUAUUAAGUUGUUUGUUUCUAUAACAGUUUAUUUCUAUAUAAUAUUAAAAAGUAAAGAAAAAUCAACAUGCUAUUUUUGUCAUUUAAAAAAAGUCAAAUAUUUUGAAUUUUUUUAUUUAGCUAAAAAUUUAUAAUAAAUCCUAAAAAGAUAAAUAAUAAUAAUAAUAAAUAAAUAAAUAAAUAAAAACAAAUAAACAACUUAAAGUCUAAAAACAAAUUGUUGUCAACAAAAAAUUAAAAAAACAAGCACUUUCUAAAUAAGAUUCCUUAACCACUCGUACAAUAGCUCCUUUAAGCACAAGAUGUAAUGAAUGAAUACAACUUUGGUGAAAUAACUAAAGUGCUCACAAUGAGAAAAUAAACAAGUUUGGAUUCAAUAUAAUUUUUGGCUAUCUAAUUAAAAGGGUAAUUGAAAACCCAAUUUUGGAAAUAUAACCCUUCAUCAUUUUUUUUACCUCAUUUUAAUAAAAAUACUCUUAUUAUUUUCUUAUAAAAAUAAUCAUUUCUUUUAAAACAUACUAUAAAUACUUCAAAUAAUCAAGAGCAUUUAUGUAAAAAAUGAAUUACUCUUCAAAUAAAAAUAUUGGAGGGAAUAAAUUCACAAAUAUAUGGGGUAUUUCAUCCCUUCUAACUAAUUAUUUCUAUAAUUUAAAGAGUUUAAGAAGGCAAGACAACUAAAUAAAUGAAGUUUUCAAGUUAUUGUCUCUAUCAUAAAUAAAGUCCAAUAAUCACAUUUGUAUCGUUUUGUACAAAGACUAAUUAUUAGGCAUAUUUUGUAAAAACACUAAUUAUUAGACACAUUUUUCGCUCAAUCAAACAAUCACACAGUUGACUAGAAACUAGUUGUUGGACAUUUUUUUUUAUAAUCAUUGGAAGACAAGAAUACAAUCGACUACUUUAAUCAAUUAAGCAAUCAUACAGUCGACUAUAAACUAGUCAUUGGACAUUUUUUUUAAAAUCAUUGGAAGACAGGAAUACAAUCGAUCACUUUGGUCAAUUAAUCAAUUAUUCAAGAAAUUUAGAAAAAUAUUGGAUAAACGACAUAUAGUGGAUUAUUUCAAAUUGAAACUUAAGAUCGGAAAUCUUGCUUUUAAAUCAUGUAAAACACAAGUUUUUAUCUUUGAAGUAAUCAAUCUCAUUUUUAACAAAAAAAAUCAUUAAUAAUAUAUGAAUGAAUUCUUUUAAAAAAUGUGAUUAUUUUUCAUUCCCAAAUACUUAUGUUCUAAAGGUCAAUUUUAAAGCAUACUUGUCCCUACUAUGCCUUAUAAGAGAAUAUAUUCUAUACAUGUGAUAUUGUAAAAAAGUUUAAAAAAUAAAUAAAUAAAUAAAUAAAACCUCUUUUGUUUUCCUCUUUUGACUAUAUAUCAUCAUUAUCAUACUUAAAAUUAAAUAUUCAAUCAAAAUAUUAUUUUAUUAUCAUCAAAAUUUAAAUUUAACCAAACUUUAGGCUAGUACGUUGAUAUGACAAGUUAAUUUUCUAUCUUAAAGUUUUAAAAACUUUGAAAUUAAACAUUUUCUUACACAUUUAUUUUUAAAGUUUUUAGCAUAAAAUUUAAAAUAAAAAAAUACAUUAUUUUCAAAUUCAUUUUGAAAAUUUUUAUUUUAAAAAUAAAAAAUUUAAUAAAAAAAAAUGCAGGCCAGUUUUUUUUCCCUCUUUUUACCCUACAGUUUAAUUAAUUUGAGGUUAGAGGAAAGCUAUGAAAGAAAGAAAAUAAAAAUAAAAAAGAAAAUGAAAGAAUGAAAAAUAUAGCAAAAAAAUUUAAAAGAAAAAAUCUACAAGCUAAUAUUUUUUUCUUAUUUGAGAUGAUAUUUUAUAUUUAGCUUUACUACAAGCUAAAGUCACCAAAACCAUGAUCACAAAAGGGUAAUAUUGAUAUAAUGAAAGAUUAUGAAAAAAAAAAAGUUCUAUAACAAGCAAUAUUUGCUUGACUUUCAUUUAAAAAAAUUUAAAAUCAAAAUACUUUUAGUAAAAUUAUCUAAACAUGUCAAACCUAAACGAAGUGAGUGUUUCAUAUUAAGUUAUUUUUUAAGCCAAAAAACUUAUUUUAAUAGAAUUAAUCACAUAGAUAAAAAGUUGCUAUCGUGGUGGGAAAAAGGUUUUCUUUCAUUUAUUAAAUGCUAAUAAAUUUUGAAUUAUUGAAUUCAUAAAUCUUUUAAUAAAGGUCUCAUUACGUUACAUCUAAGGUUUUAUUGUGUUGGCAUCUUAUGUCUGGUGUUAUUAUUUAUUUUAUAUCCAUUUUAUUGUUUUAUAGUUUAAUCUCAUUUGAUUGUACUAUCAUUAAAUAAUCUAAAUUUGAUUACUAUGAGAUUUUAAAGUUAGAUAUGAUGUCAAUCAUGGUAUAGAUUUUGAAAGAUAUUAUCAAAUCAAAUAUUUAGGGUAUUUGAUAAAUCAAUUUAAUAACUUAAAAUGAUUUAAUAAUUUAUUUAUAUUAAUUUAAAGUUUUCAAAUAAAUUUUUUUAUAAAUAUAAUUUUAGAUUUAAGUAAAGAUAAGUUAAUUUUAAAUUUUAAAUUAAAAUAAUUAACUCAUUCUUAGUUAAAUCUAAAACUAUAUUUAAAAUAAAUAAAAACAGAGAUGGAUAUAAAUUAAGUCAAUAACUCACUUUAAAUCAUUGACUUGAUUUACCAAACACUUCAAAAUCUCACAUUUACAAGACCUGAAGUGGAUCCUUUUCAAUGAAUAUUGUCAUAUUUGUUGGAGUGUACCCAAAAUCCAAAUAUUUCAGUCUUUUUUCUCUUUAUUUCAUUUUAAAAUAAAAUAAUAAUCAUUAUACCAUGAACUUUCAAAAGUACCAUCAUUAUGUCAGUGGAGAUGGGAAGCUGAAAGCCUGAAACAAAUCAAUGGUGAAAGACACCAGUUUUCCAACAACAAAAAAGGCCAAAUCUGAUUCCAACUCAUCCAGUCUAUCUGUGCACUUUGACAACUGAAACACUUUAUUCCAAUUCACAUUUCACUAGAAAUUCCAUUCCAUAUCUACUCAAUAUUCACUGAAAAGGGUUUACAAUGAAAUAACAACUNNNNNNNNNNNNNNNNNNNNNNNNNNNNNNNNNNNNNNNNNNNNNNNNNNNNNNNNNNNNNNNNNNNNNNNNNNNNNNNNNNNNNNNNNNNNNNNNNNNNGAAAUUCAAAGAGCAACACUACUAACAUCUCAGAAUCCUCUGUGCAAUCACUACCAAAACUUUUCCUUACACAUGAAUGAAGAAAUGAGGCUGUACAUAUAUAAUCUGCGGAUGACAACAUGCAAGAAUGCAAAUGGGGGAAAUGGGGAAACAAAUAUUCUAGACAGGGUCUUAUUGGAAAGAAUCUAGGAUUGGGGCUUGAAGAAAAAUGGAAGAAUGGCAUCAUAAGACUGCAGUCUGAGUGGGAGAAGAAUUCAGGCGGGAGAGACAGGUUGAAGAUGAGUUCAGUAAUGAGCUCUCAAGGCUUGGGCAUGGUUCAGGGAACACCCAUUGGGAGAACCCAGAGACAUUUGAGCAAACCCAAGAGAUGGAGGCAGGAGGAGUAGUUGAUAGGGAGAUGUUGGAUAGACAAAUGGAAGUGAACGGGGAUUCUUGAAUACCAGUGAAGCUUCCAGCAAUGGUUAUGUUUGUGCCGAUCACAUUCUGCAAGGUGAUGUGAUCCAAGACAGGGAGUGCAUUGGGGUCAAAAUGGUCAUCUGGGUGGGAGCCGAUUUGGCCUGUUGCACUGAAGGCUGUGUGGAUGUUUUCCAUUGCGACAUCUGAUAUGAUGAUUUCUUGGAUAUAACCACCUCUUCCCUUGGUAGUUCUGAACUCGAUGCCACUGAAUGAGUUGUAUAGGUGGACCUGCUCCACACAGACGUUAGAAAUGCCACCAGACAUCUCACUACCGAAGGCCAGGGAAGAGCCAGAUGAUGAUUGAAGGUUGACCCGUCUGAUGUGUACAUUUGUGGUGGGUCUACCAUAGGCAAUGCCAUAUUCAUCCCAGCCACUCUUGAGUGCAAUGGCAUCAUGGCCCAUGGCAAUGCUGCAAUCCUCUAUGCAGGUGCUAUCUGAAGAAUCUGAAAUCAAAACAUUAUACAAAGUUGACUUAGCAAAAUUCUUUUCAUGACUGAACCCUUCCUGAACAUAGAAAAAAGUAAAAUUAUAAUCUACAUGAACCACUAAACAAACCACAGGUAACAACCUGUUUCCUCUUUCAACAAAUAUCCCUAUCAAUAUACUUAAACAUUCAUAUAUACAUUAAAAACUAAUAUAGAUUUUCAGAAAUAUCUUACCAAUCGGAAGAGGGUUCAAACAAUAAACAAAGACAAAACAAUUCUAGCACUGAUAAUUAAAGAUCCAAAAGUUUAUCAAAUUUAGUAAAAAGAAACAGACCAAAACCUACAAAAUUAUUGUUAAACAAGUGAAAAACAAAACAUUAAAUUAUCUAUUAUCACUCUUGGAGACUGACGGUAUGAAAAUAAGUUCAAAUGCCUCAGAUUCCUUCACCUCCAUUCUUAAUUCCUAGCCUCUUCAACAACCAAGUUUCAAGUACCUUAAUUCGUCCAUCUCCAGAACUGAUAGCAAAGAAGUCCAAAGAAGGGGUAAAGGUUGUUAAUAAAUCUCGGAUAUUCGAUGGGCCCAUGGUCCUGUAUCAAAAGAAUAAAUUAAAUGUCAAAGUCCUUACAAUUCAUAAUUUACAAAUUAGAAAUGAAAUUGUAGAUAUACGAGAGGUGUUCCAAGACGUUAUUAAGGGAGAUUGACUGUAACUGCCUAUUGAUAAAGAAACAAAACAACUUACCAUGACGAAAAUAAUAUAGCUCAAAAUCACAGUAGGAAGUGCCAAAAAAAGGUGGCAAUCCUCUGAAACAUAUGAUGAAGAAGAUAUAAAAAAAUAUAUAAGAAAGACACAGCAUUAAAAAUUUUAAAGCUCGCCAAUAUGUUGCCAAUCCAGUAAAUCAUUUCAUUAACUAAACUGAUUCAGCACUUAAGCUCUAAUAACCUUUGUUUGGUAGCCGAGAAAAUGGAAGAGAAGGAGGAAAAAAAUGCAAUAUCAUGCUAUCUGUUACUGAAUCAAGCCAAACAAUUCAGUUAAACUUGGCUGAACAGCAGUUUUAGCUUUCUUAGCCUGAAUAACGAAAAUUCAAGAUUUUAUCUAUUUUACUUUCCUGCAUUUUCUCAGCUUCCCGGUUUGUCUACGGACAAACUAGAGGAAAAUAAAAUAAAAAAUAAAAAGAAAACUAAAACCAGGUAUUUUCAGUUGUUCUCCAUAAAAAGCAAACGAAAAAUCAACAGAACUAAAUCCUGAGCAAUUACCGAUCCGGCUCAGGCUGAAUUUCCGGUUCUCUUAGAAAAUAUUAUAUAGCAGUUCCAAUAAGGGACCGUCGUGCAUCAUUAUACUAAUUUUCCUCCGUUUUUCGGCAACCAAACAGAGGAUAAACUUGUUUUGAGGAGAAGAUGCACGCUUACCUGUUUUGGCGACCGGCGGCGGCGAGAUGCAAAGAAAAAGAGAGAACGAGAGAGGGGUUUUACCUGUUUUGGCGACCGGCAGCGGCUAGAAGCAAAGAAAAAGAGAGAACGAGAGUGGGGUUUUAGGAACGCAGCCGCGUAGCUGCUCAUUUCGCAAGGGCCCCUUUUUUAUUUCUUUUUCUUUUUUUUCAAUUUUAGGAUUUUUCAUUUUAGCCUCCAUAUUUGAGUGUAUUUAGAUUUGUGGAACCUGUUUUGGGGCUUUUUGUUAGGUACAAUUGAGAUGGGCUGAACCGAAAAGCCCGCCAGGAUGAACAACAUUAAUGGGCCUGAAUUUUAAACCUAUGAAUGGGCUUUAUACUGGAUUCAGCUGUCUGAGCCCAAUGAGUAUUGAAUGUGUUUCUGUAUAAAAUUAAACUUUUAACAUUGAAAUAUGAGGACUUACUUAAAAACACAUUUGGUAACUUUUUUUUUUGGUUAAUAAUGGACUUUAAGAAAAAAUUAAAAAUAUAUUAUUUUUUAGAAUAAAUUUGAGGCAUGUUUAGGUAUUUUUUGUGGUAAAGAGUUUUGAGAAGCAAUAGAAAAUAUAUAGAAUACUUUAAAAACUUUUGCAUAAGAUACUUACUUACACGAGGCUUUCAUGAAAAAUAAAUCGAUAAAAACAAUUUUCAUAUUUGAAUUGCGAAACAUAAAACAACUCAAAACUGUUUUUAAGCAUUGUUCUUAAAAAUAGUUUUCUAUUAAGUCACAAUCAAGGAAGCUUUUAUCUUUUAUUUUUCUAUGUUUCAUCCUUGCAUAAAGGGAGUAUAAAGACUAAAGUUAAUCUAAUUAACAAAUUUGGAUAAUCAUCCAAUAAAUGAGUAAAUUAGGUGAUGAUCUCUUUAUAUAUGCAAGUAAUGGAAUGAAUGUGAUGAAAAAUAGAAAAAAGUAAGGGGAGAAAUGUUGUAAAUAAAGUGUUUUUAUUGUGGUUCAAUGACCAAUCCACUUCCACACCUUGACAUAUUUCACAAUUUUAAAAGUUUUCUUAAUCAUGAUUCUCCUUAUUAUUUUUUAAGUCCGGAUUUCUUAAGUUUCAAUAGACUUUUACAAUCACUAAGAUGGUGUUUAUUUUUUCACUUAAUUCUAAAUAUAAGUUAAAACUAAAUAAUAUUUAAUAAUAUCAAGUAUUAGGUUGUUUUUUUUUAUAACAUUUUAUUUUUAUAUAAUAUUAAAAAGUAAAGAAAAAUCAAUAUGUUAUUUUUUUCAUUUAAAAAAAGACAAAUAUUUUGCCUUUUUUUUAAGCUAAAAAUUUAUAAUAAAAAAAAAAAAGCAAACAAUUUAAAGUGUAAAACAGAUUGUUUUCAACAAAAAUUUAAAAAAACAAACACUUUCUAAAUAAGAUUCCUUAGCCACUUGUACAAUGGCUUCUUUAAGCACAAAAUGUAAUAAAUGAAUACAACUCUGGUGAAAUGACUAAAGUGCUCACAAUGAGAAGAUAAACAAGUUUGGAUUCAAUAUAAUUUUGGGUUAUCUAAUUAAAAUGGUCAUUGAAAACCCAAUUUUGGAAAUAUAACCCUUCGUCAUUUUUUUACCUCAUUUUAACAAAAAAAAGCUCUUAUUAUUUUCCUAUAAAAAUAAUCAUUCCUUUUAAAACACACUAUAAAUACUUCAAAUAGCCCAAGGUUUUUAUGUAAAAAAAAAUGAAUUACUCUUCAAAUAAAAAUAUUGGAGGGAAUAAAUUCACAAAUAUGGGUAUUUCAUCUCUUUUAACUAAUUAUUUCUAUAAUUUUAAGAGUUUAAGAAGGCUAGACAAAGACUAAUUAUUGGACUUUUUUUUUUAUAAUCAAUGGAAGACAGGAAUACAAUCGACUACUUUGAUCAAUUAAGCAAUUAUACAGUUGACAAUAAACUAGUCGUUAGACAUUUUUUUUUAUAAUAAUUGGAAGACAUGAAUACAAUCGAUUACUUUGGUCAAUUAAUCAAUUAUUUAAGAAAUUUAAAAAAAUAUUGGAUAAAAGAUAUAUAUAUAUAUAACGAAUUAUUUCAAAUUGAAACUUAAGAUCAGAAAUCGUGCUUUUAAUGUUGAAAAAUCAUGUAAAACACAAGUUUUUAUCUUUGAAGUAAUCAAUUCAUUUUUCACAAAAAAUCAUUAAUAAUACAUUAAUGAAUUCUUUUAAAAAAUCUUAUAAAAAAUGUGAUUAUUUUUCAUUCCCAAAUACUUAGGUUCUAAAGGUCAAUUUUAAAGCAUACUUAUCCUUACUAUGCCUUACAAGAAAAUCUAUUCUAUACAUAUGAUUUUGUAAAAAAGUGUAAAUAAAAAAAAUAAAAAAUAAAAAAUAAAAAAUAAAAAAAACCUCUCUUGUUUUCCUCUUUUGAUUGGAUAUCAUUAUUAUACUUAAAAUUAAAUAUUUAAUCAAAAUAUUAUUUUACUAUCAUCAAAAUUUAGAUUUAACCAAACUUUAGGCUAGUAUGUUGAUAUGACAAGUUAAUUUUCUAUCUUAAAGUUUUAAAAACUUUUGAAAUUAAACAUUUUCUUACACAUUUAUUUUUAAAGUUUUUAGCAUAAAAUUUAAAAUUAAAGCUUUUAAGGAAAAACCUCAUAAUACAAUAUACUAGAAAGACAUGGUCAAACAGAUAGAGAGGAAGCCUCGAAAGGAAGGGGCAAUGGUUGAACCACUUGACAUUGUUGCCUACUACUAAGAUGGUGUAAGAAACAACAUAACCAAUGGAACAUAUGCACAUUAAACAUUGUAUAAUUAUUAUAAAUGUCUUAUACAUUAUAUGUGAAAAUACGAAAAAAAAAAUAAAAUAAAAUUAUAUUCAACAUUUAUAUUUGUAUACAAACAAUAUUUUCAAUACUUUGAUAUAAAAAACAAAUUAAAAAAAUGAAGAAAAACAUAUAAAUAUAUUUACAAUGGACAAACUUAUUCAAUUAGUAUAAAUAUCUUGUAUAUUUAAUACAAAUACCUUAUACUUUGUGAAAAUGUAAAAAUAUAGUAUUUGAUAUUGAUACAUGUGGGUAAGUAAUUUUUCUAAUGGUUUGAUUUAAAAAACAAAUAAUGAGAAUCAAGAAAAACAUGCAAAUAAAUUAGUGUGAAUGAUAAAGGGUGUUUUUUACCAUAAAUUUUUAUGGACUUAGCAUCAAUUAUGCAUCUAUAGAUGUUAACCCAAUUAGCAUAAUGUGAAAACCCUUACACACAAUAUAUAAACCCUAUACUUGAAUUAGGAAGGACAAAAAAAAAAAUAGUUAGAGCAUUUGGUACCAUCAAUGAUGACUUCACCUAAAGAAAAGUUAAUGAACAUUAUGUUCUCAAUGGAAGAGCAACCCUAGUAGGACAUAUGGAGUAAAUUGAUGCUCUUCUUUCGACAACGAAGUAGCUAAGUCAUGAAAAUGGGGUUUUGCUAACAACAUUAAAUGCAAGAAUUCCCCAAUAUACUGCAAUUCAUAUUCAAUUCAUAGACUUUCAACUAACUACUCUCAAUAACGAGCAAACCCAAGUCAAUACAUAAGAUUGAUUAUUACUUAUGAUAAUUGAAACCCUAAUUAAUAAAUAAGGACACAAAUAUAUGUAUAUAUAUAUAUAUAUAUAUAUAUAUAUAUAUAAAAUAGAGACAAUUGUGUUUUGGACCCAGGUGGAUCAAAAAUUAAGGUUUGGUUCAUAAAACUUACAUAAUUGAUGGAAAUGAUAUAAGUUAUCAAAAUACCAAAAUACUCAUUGAUCUUUCACGUAAGCUUUUUUUGUCUUUAUUGCACCACUAUUCAUGCAACCAUAAUAAUUCUAUUUUAACUAUUUGGAUUUUUCAUUAUUUUUUAAAACUUUUUUUUUAUAAAUAAUUGAAAAUCAACAUUAUUUUCUAUUUUAAAUUAUAAAUAAAGAAAAAUUACGUUCAAAAACUAUUUUAAAAAAUAAUUUCUAAAAAAAUGGUAAUAUGAUUUAUAUUUUUUAUAUUUUCUUUUAGAAAAAAAUAUUUAAUUAAAAAAUGAAAAAUAUUUUUCAAAAUAAAAAUUGAAAACCUUGUUUAGUACUAUUUUUUUAUAUGAAAAUAAUAAAAAUAAUUAAUUUAUUAUCCAUUCAAUUUUAUAUGAAAAUUUUUUAUAAGAGUAAAAAGAUUCAAUAUCUUUAAUAAAAGAAAAAAAAAACAAAACAAAAAGUUAGAAAUAAGUAAUACUUAAUUAGGAAUAGAAAAAGGGAAAAAUUUUGAAAUUUACACUCACUAUAUGCCUAUGUAGGGAUUAAAGGUAUUUUAUGAAUUAAUGAAGGAUAAUAUUUUUUAACUUAAUUUUUACAAUUUAUUUGGGUCUUGGGCUUAAAUGUGAAUGAUAUAUGGAUCUUUAGUCAAUUUUUGGGCCCAUCCGGGCCCAAAACACAAUUCUCCCUAAAAAACUAUUUAUUAAAAUCAAUAAACUAAUAAAAACCAUUUAGAGAGUUUCAUAACUUAGUGUCGAAGCUAUUGUAAGAAAUAAGUAUUAUAUAAUGUAGAGUUUAGGUUUAAAGUCUACCUAAGAUUAAAUUUAAGUCUUAAGACAAAUUCACAUUCAAAACUAGGUUUUUAAGUUAGAAAAAUAGAUCUCUUAAACCAAUUAAAUGGUAAAAAAAAUUACAAAGAAAAUUUCUCUUGCUGGUUUCUUCAUCUUGAAAACUAACGGAAACAUAUAUCAAUAUUUGGUAUGAAAAUUCGUAACCUUAGAAACACAGCUUUGGGUCUUGCUGAGAAAAACAAAGCUUAUUUGCUCGUAGACCAUCCUGGUGGUCAUCAUACCGUGUGAGAACCGGGGAAGCAUCUUUUCUCGUAGACCGGCUUUUGUAGUCUUUCUUUAACAAUUACAAGUUGUCAGGAUUCCCUUCAUCCUCCUAUAUAAUAUUGUUUUUGGUCUUGUUCUGGUUGUAUCUCCGUGGAAGAAAGGAAGAUGAAUCAAGUUCCUUUGUAAGUAUCAAUGUCUCUGAUUCAUUUUUUGGUUCCUAGAAUCGAAUCCUCGCUUUGUUCUUGCUUAAUUUCUCCUUUUUCUGUUGGGUCUUUCACUGCAGGUUUAGCUCUGCACGGGAACUGGCAAAUUUGGUGCUGAGCUCCAAUCUAAUCGACUGUGCUUUGACCAAAAUUCUUGAACUUAACAGAGACCAAACAGCCUUGCCUGUUCAAUACAGACUUUUUCAACUGUCUUCCAAGUGCACAAUUGUAGCUUUUGUCUCUUCACCUGACUGCACUCAAUACCCUCUUCCUGGACAAGGAGAUUUAGAUCGGUCUCCUCUCUUUGACUUCCUCCGUACCGAAGAAUACCCGUCCGUCUCCAUUAACAGAGCAGCAUUAACCCUCUAUACCCCUCUCCAUGAUCAUCUCUCUGGACUAACAGAUGAGGUCAAAAUCUGAUACUUGUUUGAAUUUUCGUUUCCUUUUCGUUAACAAUUGUGAGACACGAAACAGCUUGACCAUGAGAUCUCCCUCAUGGAGUCGAACUACCUGAAGGAUAAGACGUCACACAUAUCCAUUUUCAUGGCAUCGUCACAUGACCCAUUGAUCGGUUGUGAUUCAACUCUUAACAGGAAUACAGUAGAACUGGUGUUGGUAUCUGUCUUUAGAUAAGCUUGCAUAUAUCUUGUCACUGAAAAAGGAAUGUUCAGAAGUGAGAUUAGUGGCAUUAUUCUGACAUGGAUUUCAUAUGGUUACUUGUUUUGCAGUUGACUCAGAUUGAAGGUCAGUUAAUCAUCACUGGGUACUCCCUGGGAGGAUCCGUUGCUUCUCUCUUCACCUUACGCCUGCUAGAUGGCAAUUUAUUAAAGCCCAAAUGCCGCCCCUUUUGUAUCACCUUUGGUUCACCCCUCAUAGGCGACUUUGGCCUCCAACACUCCAUAUGGAAUUCUUUCUUCCUGCAUGUAGUGUCUAACCAAGACCCAGUCCCCGGACUCUUCCUCCCAUCCGGCAGAUCUCCGCCCACAUCCUCCCAUUCACAAACUA
rnacentral:lncRNA from 1 species